rnacentral:lncRNA from 1 species
UGCAUGGGUGAGAGAAUUUCCACAAUCUCCUGUAAACACUCCACCAUUGUAAAACUGAAAGUCUCGUCCAUGGCCUUCAAGUGCAACCGACACCGGUUGAUUCGGGACGGCCUUAAGCAAUGCUUCUUCGUCGUUUUCCGGUACCAUUCGAUAGCCACUGAUGGUGGCAACUUUGUUUAUCUGUGUGUCGCAAUUUUUUUGCAUUUGUUGAUAUGGGUACCUUUUUUCAGUGGUUAUUCCUUGGUUUUGGCUAAUGUAAUCGAAAGCAUUCAUCAUCCAUCCUCCUUUGCAACCUUGGUUUCCUCCAUUUCUACUGCAAUCCAACAGUUGUUGCUCAGAUAAUGGGAUUAAUUUACCAGUUUUGAUUUUGAUUAACCUUUCAACGGCUGCCACUGCUGAAAAUGCCCAACAACAUCCUGCAAAGUAAACCAACAAAUAACCCUUUUCAAGUAUUAGUGAAUAAAUAAAUGCUCGGGGGAGCAGUAUAUAUAAUUAUUUUAAAUUUUUAAUUAAUUUUAGUGUUACCUAUCAACUGAAAACUAACGCACACUACAGCAGAACAGGUUUUUAGCGGCGGUUUUUUAGGUCUUUAGCGGCACUUUUUAACGCCACUAACUCCAUUUUCAGCGCUUCUACAAGCGCCACAAAAAAUGCCGCUAACGACAACGUCGCUAACUAUUGCGGCGCUUACAUAAAGAAACGCCGCUAAAGAUCAUGUUCUUUAGCGGCGCUUAGAAAAAAACGCCGCUAAAGAUCAUGUUUUUUAGCGGCGCUUAAAAAAACGCCGCUAAAGAUAAUGUUCUUUAGCGGCGCUUAGAAAAAAAGCCCCUAAAGAUCAUGUUCUUUAGCGGCGCUUUAAAAAAACGCCCCUAAAGAUCAUGUUCUUUAGCAGCGCUUAGAAAAAAACGCCGCUAAAGAUCAUGUUCUUUAGCGGCGCUUAGGAAAAAAUGCCGCUAAAGAUCAUGUUCUUUAGCGGCGCUUAGAAAAAAACGCCGCUAAAGCUCAUGUUCUUUAGCGGCGCUUUGGAAGAAAACGCCUCUAAAAGUAAUGUUCUAUAGCGGCGCUUCUUCAAAAACGCCGCUAAAAGUAGUGUUCUUUAGCGGCGCUUAUUUCACAAACGCCACUGUUUUGAUAUGACUUUUAGCGGCGCUUUUUUAAAAAACACCACUAAUUUUGGAAUUUUUUUAAAAUUAAAUUUUUUAUUUUUUUCAGCCCUCCUGCAACAGCAAAUCAAAAGCAACCAAAUCUAAACUAACCAAAAACAAUAAAUUUAUAUAAUAUUUCAAAUUAAAUGACUAAAAUAAUAUUAAUUGAUAAAUAAAAGUGAAUUCAUACUUUUCUUUACAAAAGCGUUAAAAGUAUUUAUGCAACAUACACUAUGACAAUGGAAGUUGCGACUACUGAAACAUCUUCAUCAUAAUCUGAAGCUGCUGUUGAAGUUCAUCGUACUUUUUGCUCUGCUCUGCUUCUCUCGAUGCCGCAUCUUUUUGAAGUCGUAGCUAUAGUUCUUCAUAUUUCUUUUGAACCUCUGCUUCUAUUGCUGCUUCUCUCGCUGCUUCUCUCGCUGCGACCUCUGCUUCUCUCGCUGUAGCCUCUGCUUCCCUCGCUGCCGCCUCUACUUUAAGUUGCUGCUGAAGUUCUUCAUAUUUCCUUUGAACCUCAAAUGUGGUCGCUUGCAUCUGAGCCAUCUGGUCUUUUAACCUCUGAACUUCAACUUGAGAUUGACUCCCCGAAGCCAUGUAUUGGUGCGAGCUGGAUCCAAAAUAUUGGGUUGGGCUGAUAAAAUAUCCUUGAAAUCGAACCCGACCAUACUUUUCAGGACCCAAAACUUCAGUAAUAAUCUGGUUAUCAAUGUCUUCAAGAUGAACAGAACUAUCACUAGAAGCAAUCGCUUCGUACUCCGUCUUUUUUUCCUUUAGUUUUUCCUAAUAAAUAAAUCACAUAGUUAGGAACGCAAUAUAUAGUAAAAAAAAUGCAAUAUAACAAUGUCGCAUUACAUGCAAUGAAUUAAACCAUUAGAUAAAAACACUAUAAAUAACUAAAACAAGUGAAAUCGUAUUAAGUAAACGUACCAUAAUUUCACCAGCUUCAAGAGUCAUAGCAGAUCCAUCUUUCUUCUUAUGUGUAAUUUCAAAAAGUUGUAGGCGUCCAACUUUUUGACCGGACUACCGUUCCUAUAAUAUAGUAGUAAAAAUAUUAUUUAAUAUAAAUUUAUACACAUUUGAGAAUAUUAAAAAAUUAAAAAUACCUCCGCCUCAGCUACACAUGAAAAACUUCUCGACCCGGCUGUGUGAGUGAAUUUUUGUUGCUGCCGGCUGCUUUUUCCAACUCGUUCACGAUCCUACGUUAUAAAAUUUUUAGUACGUAAAUAGUAAAUACUAUAAACCAAAAUAAUUACAAUAGUUUGGAAGUAUGUCGUACCUCGCCUUUCUAAGAAUGCCAAAAUCUAACCGUAUCUUCCCAUUGGUACCUCAACAUACCCGGCGGGACAUUUUGCAAUUUCUCAUCGAGGGUGGUUUUUUUCUUAUAAUAUUUUUUCUUCAAAGUACUUUUAUUGUCUCUCCAUCCUUUUCCCAAUGCCUUCUUUACAUAAGCAUCGGAGGCCUCUAAAGCAAACCUCGCCUACAAAAAAAUACAAGUUAAUAAAGUAAAUAUAAAUGAAACUAUUUCCCAUAAUUGGUUAUGACAUUAACAUUUUGUUACCUUAAUAUUAUCGAGGGCUUGGUUUUUGUUGCUAUCGGGCAUUUGACGCCAUGACUCGUAGUUGAUAGGCAACAUAUUCGGAUUUCGUGCUAAAAUGCCCAUGUAUCCUGCUAAAAGUUGAGCUUCUGAUCCAACAGGCUGACCAAAACUAUUUCUACAUACCUUGACACGCUCGACUGGAUCUAACUCGUAUAACUCUCUAAGUAUCGCACGUCCUCGACCUCUACGCGUCCCACCAUUUUCAGCUACAAAUGGUAUAUUAUAAUAUAAGAAUUUGAAAAAUAAAUCAAUUAUAAGUCAACACGCAUGGAAUUAAUGUAAGUUACUUUGAACUUCCGUAGGAUCCUCGUGUGUAAUCGGAACAUUCGAAGAUCCAAUUGCUGUCUGUUGUUCAGUACUAUUUGUUUCUGUCGAUUUUGGAUCAUUUUGAACAAUGCUUUCCCUUAUAAUUUUUCUUCUAGGCAUUUUAUUUGCAGUACACAUAAAAUGUAAUUAAACUUAAUAACUAGUUACAACAAUAACAACACAUAUAAAAUAGUUGAGUUAUAUAAUAAGACCAAGAUUUAAUACUAAUGUAAGUUACAUAUAAUUAAACAAUCGUAAAAUCUUACUACAUCAUUAUUCGUAAAUAUCUUCAUCCGUAUCCUGACGAACCCAUUGAAAUUGUGCACUAGUACUAGGGAUAUUAUCGUUUAAGUUUUGUUCUGGAAAUGAAAAAGUUUCUGAUCUGUCGUCGAUGUUAUCUCUACUUCCACUGCCCAUGUCAAACAAGUCUCUAGGGAUGUUACGGAGUACAACGUACCAACCCUCAUCAGUUGGAUCUUUUGAGUAAAAAACUUGUUUGACUUGUCUUGAGAAUACAUACGGCUCAUCUAUCAGUUGUUGUCCUGUGUGAAUCAAUCGGUCAAAGUUCACCAUUGUAAAACCAAAUUGAUCUUGCUUGAUUCCACGAGCUGUAUUAACAUCGGCCCAAUCAGCUCGAAAUAAGACAACUUUCCAUUUGUCGUAGUAAUCCAACUCAAUUAUGUCAGUAAGCUGUCCGAAAUAUUCCACAUUUCCCUCGACAGGAUUAUUGUCCCUGUGCUAGCAUAACUUGUAAUUGCAGAAUUAACAACUAUUCCACAAUUUUGCAUUCUCCUCAACCUCUCGCGAUAUUUUGUAUGAAAUCUGAAUCCGUUGAUGAGGAACGCACUAUAUCUUUUAACCACUCGAUUUGGACCUUGGGAGAGCCAUUUAACUUCGUCGUUUACGCUCUUCCCAUUCCAAACCUAUUGAAUGGAAAGUNNNNNNNNNNNNNNNNNNNNNNNNNNNNNNNNNNNNNNNNNNNNNNNNNNNNNNNNNNNNNNNNNNNNNNNNNNNNNNNNNNNNNNNNNNNNNNNNNNNNAAAAUGUUAUGAGAAAGCAUUAUAAUUUGUAAGCGAAAGCUCCAACCACAUACCGUUUGGCUUAACCAUUCAUAAAAAGAUUCUGUAAACAACUUAUUGAUAUCUCGAUGUUGUGUUCUUCGGGAGCGCGCACGAGAUCUCAAUAUUUGUUUGUACUCACUAUGUUAAAAAAUGUGAUCUUUGUUAGAAGAUAAACAAUUUUUAGUUUGAUAAAUAUUUAUAAAAUUUGUAGAACUUACUUCCGUAAAGGUUCCAAUGAUUCGUGGUGAAACAGAACAUAUCGAUGUGCUUGUACCCACGAUAAAUUAUCUAAUUCCGUAAUUUCAACUUUGCCGAUUGGUUGUCCAAAACUUUGGAACAAAUAAGUAUCGGCUAAGUCAUAGUCCGUGAGUCCAGCAUUCCUAUUUGGUCUGUUCAACCUUGUUUCGACAUCUUCCAAAUAUCUCGAGCAGAAGGUCAUACAUUCCUCUGCCAAGUAGCCUUCAGCAAUCGAUCCUUCUGGAUAUCGCUUGUUGCGGCAGUAAGACUUUAAUUUGGAUAGGAACCUAAACACAAUAUACAACAUUAUCAAAAGUUGUAACUAAAGGCAUUGAGGUGAAUGAAGGAAAAUUUUAAAAAUAAUUCUUUAAGACCUUUCUAUGGGAUACAUCCAUCGAUAGGAAACGGGUCCACCAAGAAUUUCUUCGUACGGGAGAUGAAUUAUCAAGUGAACCAUAAUGGUGAAGAAGGAAGGUGGGAAGAUUUUCUCCAUGUUGCAUAAAGUCAAAGCGGAUCGAUCCUAUACCUUCUGAAGUUCUUGAACAUCCAAAACUUUGCCACAAAUGGCUUUCAUUAUGUUGGAUAGUUCAAUGAUACAAGACGUCACCUUCUUGGACAUACAACAUCGUAGAGCAACUGGCAUUAAGUCUUACAUCAAGAUGUGAUAGUCAUGUGAUUUUAGCGAAUAUAAUCUUCGAUCUUUAACACUAACACAUCGAGAUAUAUUUGAUGCAUAUGCAUCCGGAACCUUUAUAUCCUUCAACACCAUGCAAAACAGUUCUUUCUCCGUCUUGGACAUUGAGAAAAUAGAAGGCGGCAACCGAUAUUUCCCAUUCGGAAGUGGAUUGGGAUGAAGAUCAGGCCGAAUUCCCAUUUGGACUAAAUCAAGUCGACUCUGAAGAUUAUCUUUUGAUUUUCCAUCGACGUUCAAAAUUGUACUCACAAUGUUCUCGCAGACAUUUUUCUCAAUGUGCAUAACAUCAAGAUUGUGUCGUAAAAGGUGAUGCUCCCAAUAAGGCAACUAAAAAAAUACUUCUUUUUUUCCACAAGUCUGCCUCAUUAGGAUCGUCCUCUUCGUCGGAGCUUUCAUCGGCUUCAUCAUUUGAUCUUCUGUUUCUCUGUGUGUUUGGCGGUUGGUUCAUCUUCCCAUAAAUGAAAUUCAUAUCUUCCAACAUGAACAAGAUUUUAGAGCCACUGGUCUAGGAAGGAGCUUCUCUGAACUCUUCAGUGCCGUCAAAUACAGAACUCUGAAAUCUAAAUCUAUGAUUUUUCGGUAACCACUGACGAUGCCCCAUGUAACAGGACUUCUUCCCAUUGUACAACCAUUGCGAGCAUGUUUGUGUAGCAUAACAAGGACACGCAUAACGACCCUUAGUACUCCAACUGGAUAAAUUGGCAUAAGCAGGAAAGUCAUUUAUGGUCCACAUCAAAGCUGCACGUAAAUUAAAGUUCUCCUUUCUCAGCACAUCGUACAUCUCGACACCAGCCCAUUAUUGUUUUAACUUUUCAAUAAGUGGCUGUAAAUAAAUGUCGAUAUCAUUCCCGGGCCCUUUCUCUCCAGGGAUAAUCAUAGAUAAGAUAAGGGAAGAUUGCUUCAUGCAAAUCCACGGAGGCAGAUUGUAAGGAACAAGCACUACUGGCCAAGUACUGUNNNNNNNNNNNNNNNNNNNNNNNNNNNNNNNNNNNNNNNNNNNNNNNNNNNNNNNNNNNNNNNNNNNNNNNNNNNNNNNNNNNNNNNNNNNNNNNNNNNNAAUCCAUCAGAUGCUAGCCCAAGCCUCACACUCCUAGGAUCGCUUGCAAAGUUUGGAAAUUUAUUGUCAAAUGCUUUCCAAGCUAAAGAAUCUGCCGGAUGUCUUAGUAAUCCAUCAUCGGUUCGUCCAUCAUGGUGCCACGUCAUUGACUCCGCUGUCUUCGAUGACAUGAAAAUCCUUUGAAGCCUUGGUAUCAACGGAAAAUACCGCAAAAUCUUAACUGGCUUCUUCCUCGACUGUGCAUAAUUUUCAUCGUCGUUCCCGUCUUCUGUGUUUCUAUUUAUCCAACGGGAUUGGCCGCAUACAUGACAGCACUGUUGGUUUUUUCGAUCGCCCCAAUACAACAAGUAGUCAUUUGGGCAACUAUAGAUUUUGUUGUACCCAAGGCCUAAAUCUUUUAUCAUUUUCUUCAUAUCCUUGCAUGACUGAGGGAUUUUUGCAAACGGGAACAUCUCUCUCAAAAACUCUAAUAGCAUUGUCAACGAGUUUCCGGUCCACCCUCCCAAACAUUUUAACUGAAAAAGACGAACACAGAAGGCCAUUUUUGAAAAUUUUGAUCCCUCAUACAGUUCUUCGUUCAUGUCACUAAGUAGAGCGUAGAACUUUGCCGCUUCUCCAUUUGGCUCUUCAUGAGGUACACUACUUCCCGGUUCGGUAAAAGCAGUUCCACCAAUAUUACAAUCAUCAGAUCGAAUAAAAUCCCCUGGGAACAAUUGCACACCAUGAUUGUGCAUAUUAAAUGCAUCCCGCAACAUACCUUCCAUGUCAUCUCCUCUAUCAGACUGAUGGUAAGCAGUACCAGGAUAAGAUACCUCCAUCGUUGAAGAGGAAGUACUUCUAGGGCAUUCUCCAUGAAAAAGCCAUUGCUUAUAACCCUUAACAAACCCAUCAACAAUUAGAUGCUCGUAUACAACCUCACGAUAAUGCCAGUUUAUGUUGACACACUUCUUACAUGGGCAAAGAAUCAUGUUCUCUUGGCUUGCAUAUUGAAAUGCAUAAUUUAGCAAACUCUGCACCCCAUUUCGAUAACUGUUGCUAACCCUUGACAAAUUCAUCCAAGACCGGUCCAUUUCUUAAUUCUUGAAGUCUAACGUUGACGUAAAUUUGCACGGGUUAGUCAAAACGCCAGUUAUAACUAUAAAUGAGUUAUGUAAGUUAUGUACUAAGUUAUGUAUUAAACAAUAAUGUAAGUUAGGAAGGUUAUGUAUUAUGUAAGUUAUGUAAGUUAUGUAAGUUAUGUAAGUUAUUUAAUUUAUGUAAGUUAUGUAAGAUAUGUAAGAUAUGUAAGUUAUUUAAUUUAUGUAAGUUAUGUAAGUUAUGUAAGUUUAAUCUAAAAAAAAAAUUAUAAGUUAUGUAUUAUGUAAGUUUAUAUUAAAAAAUUUUAUAAGUUAUGUAUUAUGUAAGUUAAAAGUAAUGUAUUAUGUAAGUUUACAUAUAUGUAAACUUGCUUAAAUUUUAGUAAGUAAUAAUUUUAAGUAACAUACUUAAAUUUUACAUAUAAGUAAACUUGCUUAAAUUUUAGUAAGUAAUAAUUUUAAGUAACAUACUUAAAUUUUACAUAUAAGUAAACUUACUUAAAUUUUACAUAUAAGUAAACUUACUUAAAUUUUAGUAAGUAAUGUAUUUAAUUAACAUACUUAAAUUUUAGAUAUAAGUAAACUUACUUAAAUUUUACAUAUAAGUAAACUUACUUAAAUUUUAGUAAGUAAUAACAUACUUAAAUUUUACAUAUAAGUAAACUUACUUAUGUAAGUUAUGUAAGUAAUGUAUUUAAGUAACAUAUUUGAGUAAUAAAUUUAAUAUAUAUAUUAGUAAUAAGUUAAAUGAAAUUGUAAAAAUAUAUUAAAAAUAUAAUAAAUUUGAAUUUUAACUUUAAUUUAUGUAUGUUAUGUGAAUUUUAACUUCAAAACAAAUAAAAAAUAACUUUGAAUUAACUUAUAUAUGUUAUGUUAGUUUUAACUAAAUUUUUGAAAGUUAUCUAAAAUUAAACUUAAAAAAAAUUGAAAGUUUGAAAUUUUUUUCCAUGAUUCAAAUUAAAUAAAAGAAAACAAAACAAAGUAAAUUUCCGUGAUUAAAAUAGCAACUAAAGGAAAAACCAAAAUUUUGGAGGAAAACAUAUAAAUAUUUGCAAACUAUAUACAAGCUUUUAGCCAAAUGUUUAUAUUAUUUAGACAUAAAUAACCUUCAUUUUCGAAAUAAUUUAGUUGCGAUAUGGAAUAAUAUGUAUACAACAAAUAAGCAUAUUUGAUAUCAAUGAAACUUAGAUGUGAAAAGAAAGUGGAUUAAUUUGUUUUUUAAUGUAACGUAUAGUUAAGAAAUUUCGAAUAAUUUUAAAAUAAACAAAUUUAAUCCAAUUCCCAAUACAAUUUAUUAAAUUGCUUCUAUUUUGCUCAACAUAUAUAGCAUUCGUUGAUGGAUGAUAACAGAAAACAUAAGUCAGAAAAGUACAUGGCAAAAGUAAAAUAAGUAAAAUGAAACAUAAGCUAAAGGAAAACAUCCAAAACCAAUUACAUAUAUACAAAACAAGAGCCCCAAAAGAAACAUUUUUCCCUAAACAUCAUGAUAAAACUAUUACUGAUUUAAGUUAUGAACUAAAAUAUACCUUAAUAUUUCACUCAACUUUGUCUACUUCACUCUCACCAGCAAAUAGAGACUGCUGUGAGAAUUAUAAAUUUUGUUAACUGAUUUGGGAGAAUGCAUAUAAAUAAGGGAAAAACUGUCAAAUUUUAACAUGUACCUGCCGAAACAAUAGUUCAGCCAAAACACAGGCAGCAAACCAGAUGUCAAUGGUCAGAUAUGUAUUAAGUUGCACCAAAUAUUAAUUCUGCCUACAAUAGAUGAACCAUGAUCAGUUAGCAGCAAAUAUGUUUUCAUUUUAGCUAUCAAAUAUGUAAAAGUUUAUCGAUAUCACAACCAAAUAUUACUUGGAAACAUUAAAUGGCAGCUUAAAACUUUACCAAUUUUAAAAAAAUUCAAAUACUUAGAAAAUAUUGGGUUCCAUCCACUGCAGUAUUUCACGUUUGCAAAUUAAACAAUCAUAUUAUAUACACNNNNNNNNNNNNNNNNNNNNNNNNNNNNNNNNNNNNNNNNNNNNNNNNNNNNNNNNNNNNNNNNNNNNNNNNNNNNNNNNNNNNNNNNNNNNNNNNNNNNUAUUUUACCAUUCCUAUUGGUAGAGAUAUUGCUUUAUAACUAAAAUUUAUUAUUGCAAACAUUCUUACAUUUUCAUAUUUUACCAUCUAAAAAUUUAAAAAAAUUAUUACAGAAACAUAUCUAAAUUUGUAUUAUAAUAUUUAGGUAGAUGAUAAAUUGAAAUUGAGCAGAAUGGUUAUUGGAUUAGAUAUUGAUAUUUAUUAAUAAAAUUUAAUAUUUAAAUAAACUUGUUAUUAUUGUUAUUACUUGAAAUACAUUAUAUAGUACUAUAAAAAAAUGUUUAAAAACUAUUUCCUCAACGUUAAAUUAAAAAAUAUAAAAAAGAUAUUAAAAAUUUAUUUUGCAAUUUAACAUGCGGGAUGAGAACUGAACCAAACAAUGGAUUGGCAAUCACCAUUUUCAUGUCUACUGUAUAAACAAUGGAUUGGCUUCAACUCAACCAAACAAGUAUUAAAUCACUGACAGUCACCAGACCAAAUAAGUGGAUUCAAAACAGUAGCUUUAUACCUUGGAAAGUGUAUCGGCCAAAACUGAAGAUGGAGUCCAAAAAGCUUCGGGGAAAGUUGAAGCUUCAAAUCGUCGGUAGCUGAAAGAAAGGAGCCGUUUUAGCCUUCACUGGAAGCCGGAUGAGAGGAAAGGGAAAAAUAAAAAUAAAAACAGUUAGUUGCUUAAAAGGACGAACUUACCGAUGGUUGCGGCACCGGAGACGGACGGAGAAUGUGAUGCAGCACAGGAGACGGCAGAGUACCAAGUGGUCGGGUUUGGGGAGCUGUUAGGGAUUAGGGGAGAUUUUAGGGAUUUGGGGGGAGAAAGAAUUUUGGGGGAAAUCAGGGGGAGAAAGAAUUUUGGGAUAACGGAUGAAAAAAAAUGAUCGGGUUCCAAUUUUGGUCAGAAUGAUGGAAAAAAAUGACGCCGUUUUCAUCUAAAAAAUUAACCAUUUUGCGGCGUUUAUAUUAAGCGCCACUAACUAUAAGUCGAAACGCAGUCGUUUCAUCAACAAAUAGCGCACACCUGUGGCGUUUUUGAAUAAACGCCACUAAUAAUACAGCGACACGGCCUCGUAUCGAUAAAUGUUAAAACAUUUUUGCGGCGUUUUAAUUAAAGCGCCACUAACUAUAAAUCAAAACACAGUCGCUUCAUCAAUACUUACCUCAAACUCGUGGCGUUAAAAAAAUCGCCACUAAUAACAUUUAAAAAACGGCAGCGUUUUUAUAAAUGUUAGAAUAAUGUUGAGGCAUUUUAAGCAAAGCGCCACUAAAUAUAAGAUCAAACGAUGUCAUUUCCCCAACAUUUAACUCAAGCUUGUGGCGUUUCCAAACAAACGCCACUAAUACCAUUGACAAAACGACAACAUUUCGAUAAACAUAAAUACAAAUUUGCGGCGUUUCAUGUAAAGCGCCACUAAAUAUAAGAUCAAACGAUGUCGUUUCCCCAACAUUGAACUCAAGCUUGUGGCGUUUCCAAACAAACGCCACUAAUACCAUUGACAAAACGACAACAUUUUGAUAAACAUAAAUACAAUUUUGCGGCGUUUCAUGUAAAGCACCACUAAAUAUAAGAUCAAACAAUGUCGUUUCCCCAACAUUUAACUCAAGCUUGUGGCAUUUCCAAACAAACGCCACUAAAAUAAAACAUAUAAAACGUAACGUUUUACAGUAUCAGACACAAAUUUUGCGGCGCGUUUUAUAAAAAGCCACGAAUUUCUAACCUUUUGCGGCGUGCGGUUGAAAACGCCACUGAGGACACUGAUCAAAACGCAACGUUUUGCCAUUUCUGAAACAAAGUUGCGGCGUUUUUAUAUAAACGCCACCAUGAAAACAGAGUAAAACGGCAUCGUUUUUCAUACUAAUCCAUAUUUGUGGCAUUUUUUACUAAAAUGCCACUAAUGCAUAAACACUAAAAUAAAUUUAAUUUCUAUCCUUUUUUAUUAACCUUAAACCCUUAGAACCAUAAAUAGUAAGACAUUAACAAUAAAAAACUAAACCCUAAAUCGUAAACCCGAAAUCUAAAUAAUAAACAUUAACCACUGACCUAAAACACUAAACCCUAAACUGUAAUAUACCCUAUAACACCCUAAACUUAAUUUAAACCAUAAAUAUAUAUUAUAAGUUACAAUUAAAAGUAAUUAAAAAGAAUCGUAUAUUGCUUGUUUAAACCCUAAAAAAUAACUUUUCUUUAUAUUUUUUAUCAAAUCCCUAACCCUACUUAAACCCUAAUACCAACUUAACCCUUAAACCAUAAUUAAACACUAAGACUCUGACUAUAAAAACUAAACUCCAAACAAUAAACUUUAAAACACUAAAUAUCCCAAACCCAAUAUAACAUACCGGCCUAAACCUUAACCUACAAUAUAUUAAUAUAGUACUAAACAUUAAACCUUAAACCCUAAACCCCUUAAACUAUAGCCCUUAAACCCUCUUAAACCCUAAAAUUUUUUAAUCAAUAUUAAGUACUGCUUCCACAAUUCUUUAUAAACAUAUAUGACCUUUUACAUUAAUAUAUAUAUAUAUAUCUAUAUGUGUAUAUACAUGUACAUCAAUAUCCACAUGAAAUUUUUAGGGGUUUAGGGUUUUAAAGAUUAUGUUUUUAGAGUUUAAGGGUUUUGAGAAAGCAAUAUGGUCGGCAUCGAUUUUAACAGCUUAAUGGUAACUUAAAUGAAAACUUCUAAUUAUAAUUAAUAUAAAUAAAUCAAUUAAAUAACAAAUAGAAAAAUAAUUAUUUUGCGGCGCUUAUCAAUAAAUGCCGCUAAAUCACCCAAAUACUAAGUAAAACGAUCGCAUUGGGCUUAUGUUAUUGGCAGCGCUUAUCCAAAACGCCGCUAAAACCCCGAAUACUCAGAGAACGAUGUCGUUCGGCUUAUAUUUAUUUGCGGCGCUUUCGUAGAAACGCCGCUAAAGUACUGAACAUUAGCGGCGCUACCUCAAAAACGUCGCUAGAUUAUCGAAUGCUCAGAAAACGACGUCGUUGGUCUUAGGUUUGUUUGCGGCGAUUUAUCAAAAACGCCGCUAAAUCCCCGAAUGCCCUGAAAACGACGUCGUUGGGCUGAGGUUUUGCGGCGCUUUAUAGAAAUCGCCGCUAAUGCUUUUUCUUCAGCGGCAUUUUCCGUUAAGCGCCGCUAAUGAUUGAUCUGGAGCGGCAUUUGUUAUUCAAACGCCGCUAGAAACGCCGCUAAAAUCCUGUUUUGGUGUAGUGGCAGUUGUGAAAUUAUUAAAAUAUUCUCGUAACACCAAUUUAAUUAUAUGUAUUAUUGAGACUUACCAUAUUUACCCUGAUUCUUAAUAGGAGUAACGGCAUUUUGGUCCCUCCAAUUGAAGCUUUUCGGAGCGUUUAAGUAGUUUUCAUACAUAAACGAUGUUGAUUCCAACCAUGUGGGAUUGUUCUGCAUCUUGUAUCCAGUGUGAGUUGCAAUGAAUUCAUCCUGUGUCAUGUCUGCAAAUUCAUUGAGGCCUAGCUUAAAACUCCUAUUUCCGCCAUUGUUGAAGCUCUCAAUAUAUUCCAAGUUGUCUUUGAAUAUAUCAAGACGCUUCUCCUUCUCCAAUUGUCUCUCAUAUUUUCGACUGAAAUCAACCAUCCAUUGCUCAUGUUUGUCAACAAUGGUGCUUUCAAGAAUUGUUCGACACAUGGCAAGAGAUACCAAUGUCCCAAGAAUUAAAAACAAAAACACAUGGAUUAAACUCAUCAAUUUUUUUUUUUUGCAAUACAAGCAGAGAUACUCCACUAAUUUAAGGGCUUUUUUCUUUUCUAAUUGCUAAGUUGUGAGGAACUAGCACUCAAUGAACCUAUAUAUAUACUACAAAAAAAUUAUUGAAAUAAAUAUUUUUUUAAUUAAGUCAUCUAAUGAAAAUUCAACUAAAAUGCCAAUCAAGUCUAUUUUUUUUUAAAAAAAAAGAACAACAGUAUUUUUUUCUUAGCAAAAUCCAAAUUUGACAAAUAAAAACUCUGUUCACAAUAUAAUAUGAAAGAGAAAAUUGUAAUCUUUCUAAUUGAUGAACCCUACUCACAAUAUUUUCUAUUUUUCUUUCUCUUGAAUUGAAAAUCGAUUUUAGGAAAUCACCCAAAGUUCACAUUAUGUUAAUUACUACUACAUAUUUUCAUUUUUGGACCUUCUAAUCUCUAUUAUUUUGUUAGAAUUGUAACUUUGUGAAACUAUAUACACGUUAAUUAUUUUAAUAAGAUUAUGUUUUGUAAUAUAAUUAGGGAAUGUAAGAUGAUGAGUAAUUCCCUUGUUUGGCUCAUUUGAAUGGAAUAUAAGAUUCAAAUGGUUGAUUUACAGAAUGUAAGAUUAUUUAGAAGCACAUUUUAUUAAAUUAUAUUUGUUAUAAAUUUUUUUAACAAGUAUAGUUUCUUUAAUAGUUUUUAGUCUAAAUUUUCAGAAAUUAAUAAUAAAUUAUUAUAUUUUUUAUUACAAUCUAUAUACUAAUAAGUAUAUAAUAGUUAAAUAAAUUUAUAAAUCAUAAUUAUAAUAAUUAAUGAAAAAUAAUUACGUCACCAAUCAUAAUUAUAACUAUAAUUAAUAUAGUAAUAAAUAAGUCAUUACUGUAAAUAUAGUAAUUAUAGUUUUAAAGUAUGAUAACUGUUGUUUCACGAUUUAUUAAAAACUUUAAUUUUAUUAAAAUAAUAAAAACAAAGAGUAAAUAUGCCCGAAAUUCAAGAUUAUAUCCAUAAUCUAAGAUAACUUAACAAAUGAAUUGUAUUAAGAUUACGAUAUCUUGAUACUAUUUGAAGAUGUAAGAUUAAGGGAUGAUUAGAAUAUUGAGAAUCCAAAUAAGAUAAUCUUCUUCUAGAAUGUAACAUUACAUGCAAUAAUGUAAGAUUGAGCCAAUUAAACAUUACAUGAAGUCUUUAGUGAAAUCAUCUAGGCCUUCAUUAUCGUCUCUUACGCCCCACUACAUAAUUGGCGCGCCGAUGAAGCAAAUGAGAAUGUUGACAAGCAGGAUUUGCGCUAUUUUUUCUCUUAAUUUCUUAUGUUUGAUAGUUGCUGCGUGGAAUAGAAAGAUAGACCAGAUGCAAGUCACGGUCAACUGCCCUUAUUUGCAAGAGAGCCAGGAUGAUUUUUUUUAUUAAUUUAUUUUGAAUAUUAUUAUUAAAAAACGGACAAAACAAAAUUUAUUGUGGAUUCAGUUAUUAUAGUAUUUUGAGUUUAAGGUAAUUAAGAUACGAACAAUUUCCUCUGGUUUGCAAAAGUUAUUUCAUCAAUGGUAGUGGGACAUUUAGACUUCACCAUCAUGAGUCGUAGAAUAAUACAUAUUCGUAUAUUAAGAAAGAGGAAUAAAUAAAACAGAAGCAAACCCAGUGAUUGUUUCCUCUGUAGGGAGCACAAGCAAUCUAAGGAUAAGAAAAUGGUUAAAACUUCAAGUUAUCCCAAAGCGAACAAAAGAAGUAUAAAAACUUAUUAAAAUCUAACUAUUUUUAUCAACAAGUGUUGGUUACAAUGGUAAAGUAUAUUGCAUUGCAGACGACAUUGUUGGAAGGGACAGUCAUAAACCUAGAACAUAGACCAUAAAACAUACAUGAAUAAUACCCCAAAAAAGGUCCAAGUGUUUCUUUUGUAAGAACAAAAAGAUCACUGCAAGGAAAAAUGCAAAGAGUGUAAGGAUUACCUAGCCUCUAAGCGUAAAGGUAUGAAACUCUUGAUUAUUGAAACUUGUUUAGCGAAAGACUUAAUAGACCACUAAGUCAUUUAUUAUAGAGUCACUAGUCAUGUUUGUAUUUCUUUGUAGGGGUUUAAGGAAAUGAAAGAUCUUCAAGAUAAGAAUCUACCAUUGCGAGCCGGAGAUGGGAGCUAUGUGGCUACAAAAACAAUCUGAGAAGUACAUCUUUAUUUUGAUAGUUUUAGGAAGAUUGCUUUGGGAGAUGUUUUCUAUGUACCAAACUUUAGAAGAAAUGUAAUUUAUGUUGCAUGUUUAUUUAAAGACGAUUAUACUGUGACUUACUGUAAUGGUAUUGCAAUUCAUAGAAAUCAAUCUCUUAUCUCUAAUGGAGGGAUGCAAAAUAAUAUUUAUUUUAUCAAACCAAAUGUGCACUUACUGCUAGAAAUUGAACUCGUAAAUAAGAAACUUGAAACUUCUCUCUAAUGAAGCAUACUCAUGGCAUCUAAGACUUUAUCAUAUUAAUGAAGAUAGAAUCACUACAUCUUUCAUAAUGAGAGUCAUUCCUUAAAGGCAAAAUGAUCAAGUGACCUUUUAAUGCAAAAGAUACACAAAUCGUUCAACCCUUAGAACUUGUGCACGCUAAUGUAUGCGGUCUCAUGAACAUUAGUGCUUGAUAUGGUUACGAUUAUCAUGUAACUUUUAUAGAUGAUUAUUCCAAAUAUGAUUUGGUGUACCUAAUACACCGCAAGAGCAAAAUCUACAAUAAAUUCCAAGAGUUUCAUGCAGAAGUGAAUAAACUAUUAGAUUUUCCCAUUAAGGCACUUCAGUCUAACCGAGGUGAGGAAUACUUAUUAGAAGUCUUCUUAGAAUACCUCAUAGAAAAUGAAAUAUUAUCCUAAUUAAUUAUGUCGGGUACUCCACAAGAGAAUAACAUAGCAAAGAGAAGGAAUAGAACUUCACUAGGCAUGGUUUAUUCAAUGUUAAGUGAUUCACAACUGUUGAUAUUCUUUUGAUGAUUUGCAUUACAAACAACUUAAUAUAUUUUGAAUGAUGUACCAACUAAGGCACCAAAUAAAACUCCCUACCAAUUGAUAGGGCAAGAAUCAAGCGUAAAGCAUUUGAGGAUUUGGGGAUUCCUAGCCUAUUCGAAAUAUUAGUCUAGAAAAUAAUGUUUUUAAGCAUAGCAAAAGAUUGCUUUUAUUUUAAAUUGAGCCCUUUUUAUAUUUAUAGUAAUAAAUCCAUAACUGAAAUUAUAUUUGUGUUUUAAACGAGGAGGUUAAAGUCAAUGCCACCUUUCUACCGAAUGAUCUUCUUCGCUAUUCUCGAACACAAAUUGGUUUGAGUGGGGGCUGAAAUUAAUCGAACCAAGUUCAUAGAACAAAAUAUUUUAUUAACUUUCAAUAGGAAAAUUUUAUAACAGGAAACUAUGUGUUUUCCCUAAAAAAUAAAAUUUAUUAUAUAAUAUAAAAUUUCGACGCUCAGUAGUGUGUGUACUAUUGGAAAAAAAAUUCUGGUUUGAAAACGAUUUUCUUACACAACGGGAAAUUAAAAUCUUGAGAAUCGACUCAGUUUGUGAUAUUUAUAGCAAUAAGCCCUAACCAAAUUCAUAUCUGGGUUUUCAGCCUAGCGAAUGUUCGUUGUUCUUGACUUUCAACUAAAUGAUGUUCUUUGCUAUUCUUGUACAACGAGCUUCUUCGAGUGUGGGCUCGAACCAAUUGAAUUGAAACACAGAACUAUAAAAAGUUUUCUCUUUUAUUUAGGGUUAAAACAAAAAUUCUCUCUUCUUUAAAAGAAACUGGUAGAAUUCUUAUUCAUGAAAAAUAUGUUUAAUAGUUGAUAAUAAAUUCUCUUUAUUUUUCGGUAGAAUAACAAUCUCUCAAAGUUGUAUAUAAUGUCCUACUAGUGUCAUCUAUUUAUAAGAAGAAAAGGUAGAAGAACCAUUAUUUUGUUGUAGUGGUUUAUUUCAAAUAGAAAAAUAAUUUCUUAAUUAGAGUAGUAGUGGGGUGGAUGACACACCCUAGUAUUCUUACUAGGGUUGUCACCCCCUUAUGUUAUAUGAGGGGUUUUGGGCCUCUCUCACAUCGGGUCCAAUUACGAGUACUUCUUGGACCUUUUGACUCAGUACUCUAUAAUGUGAUCCAACCAGAUUUGGUUUUUCUAUUUCACAAAAUAAACUUUAAUAUUCUAUAUCAAAAAAUUCUCAUCCUUAUUUUACCCCAAUAAAAUUUUGACGAUGCCGAAACCAUUUUUCAAUUUUUAAAAACACGGGGAUCGACUUUGAAAAUAAAAUGGGAGUCGCCACCGAUCUUUUAUUAAGGUGUGAUCGGUUCUCCAUUAAAAAUAAAUUUUAGGUCUGCGAGAUUUGAGAAAAAUAGGUUCGGGAGUCGGUUACGCACAAGGAAGGGUUAGCACCCUCGUAACGCCCAAAAUUGGUACCGAAUUGAUUGUUUAAUGUCUUAAUGUCGAAAUUUUGAAAAGAUUUUAAAAUACUAUCCUUGGAUGAGAAAACUUGAAUAAACUAUGUUGGAGAUAAGAUGCACUCAUUUCGUAGAAAUAAAUUGCUACACUCAGUGAGUUAGGGUGCAACAAUUCAAUCUUUGAAAUUAGAUUUGUUCCCUUUUUUUUAGAAAAUCAUGUGUUUUAAGAAGGAUAUUUGAUUAUUUGAGUCAAUCGAGAAAUUCGAAACCAGUAAGUUAGGGUUCAAUUUCUCGAAAUUCUUAAACAUCAAGCAUUGCCUUUAUUUUAAAAUCGAGAUAACGAAAUGUCAUAUCCAGUAAGUUAGGAUUUAACAUUUUGAAAUAUUAAGAAUUUUAUUUUAAUAAUUGAAUGGUUUUAAUAAAAUGGGAGCUUGAUUAUCUAAGUUCAUCGAGAAGAAUCGAAGCCCAGUAAGUUAGGGCACAAUUCUCUCGGGAACCUAUGAACGCCAAGCUUCCUUUUUUAAGGAUUAUGAAAUAAAAUGAUUAUGGAGCUUUAAUAAAAAUCAACUCUUACAAAAAGAACAUGAUUAAAUAACGAUACAUAUAAUGUAAAAGAUAAAUAACAAUUUAAACUUAAACUAGAGGCAAUUUAACAAAUAAUAGGCAAAUAAAAACGUUGACUUUAAUCAUAUUAUACAAACAUCCAUAUUAAAAAUUAAGCAACCCAUAAAUUCAUAAUCAAUUAAAAACAGAAAAGGACAAUAAUAACAAUAAGUAAUAUGAAUAUUUGAUACAAUUUGGUAAUGGAACUAAGGAAACAAAUAAAAGGUUUCAAUGAAUUUUAAUGGAAGAUUAAAAAAAAAACAAAAUGAAAUAAAAGUGAAUAACUUAAAAUGAGUACCUACAUUUUGAUUUAUAUAAAUAAAAUCUAGUAUAAAUAAUAGUAUAUACAUAAUAAUAUAUAUAGAAGUUAAAACAAAACAACAAAUUUAAAAGGAAUAAGGCUUCCAUACAUAAAAUAUAUUAUUUGAAUUUAAUAAUGUAUUAUUGUAUAUAUACAUACGUAUAGUAAAAAAAACAUAUUACAUAUACAUAAUAUAUAAAAAUAUAAAGUAUUACUAUUAGAAAUUAACUUUCUAUAAAAAUAUAAAGUUAAUCAUAUAUAUAAAUAACAAAUAUAUAAAAGAAAAAUAAUAAUACGAUAAUAAGAAUAAGUAUGAUAAUAAAAAUAACAAUAAACUUCCUAAUAAAAAACUAAAUAACAAGAAGGAUUAAAUCACAAACAAGUUCAAAUUAACAGGGAACAACUGGUAUUAAAGAACAGUGGGGGACCAUGCUGCAACACGCGUAUUACAUGGGGGCCUGAUUGGGAAAUAUCCCGCUUCCCCAAAACGUAGUGUUGCAAGCUGGAUUGAAAUGGAACAAAAGCAGAAUACGGGGCCAAAUUAGAAAGAAGGGAGAUAGCCGAUUCGAAUACACCAGAAGAGGGGUGGACCGGUCGCGCAAAUAUCCCUCCCUACGCCAAAACACUUGGAUCUAGCCGCGUUUGGGUCGGGUCAUCGGGUCGUGGCCUAAAACGGCACCGUUUCAGAGCCACUGUAUCAGGCAAUACGACGAUGUUUCAUGAUUCCCCACAUUAAGCCAACAUUAAAACUCCAUUAGUCUAAACAGAAAAGGAAAAGAAAAAAACCCUAAUAAAAAAAAACCAAUCUCCUUUCAUUCAUAAGUCGUGCCGCCUCAGCCCUCUUUUCAUCCGGUCCAAACUCUGAUUACGGUGGAGUGAACCAGGAUCCGACGCUCCCACCUCUAAGGUGAGUCUCUCUUCUUUCUUUUUUUUACUCUUUUUUCACAGUAAUAAAAAAAGAAGACGAAUCUAAAAAGGAAACAGGAAAAUCACUGAAAAAUCAAAGAGGAAUCACCUUUCGAACUCUUUUCUUUUCGAUUUCUCUGAAUUUUUGGCAAUUUUACUCCUGGUAAAUGUUCGAGAAAAUAUAUUCAAUAUUUCAUAACUCAACAUGUUCACCGCGACUAAAUGAUUUAUUUUCAUUUUUGGGCUUCAAAAUAGCUAAAAAAUGUAAGCUUAUUCUUCCGAUCAUUUUUAAGCAAAAUGUAAGCUUAAAUUUACACCCAAUGAACCAGCUUUCACUUCCGUAUCUAUUUAAACUCGGGCUUUUACUUACAUCAAAGUGUACAAAAUAAUUGUAACCUUCUCUUGCAUUAAUACUCAUGGGGCCACAUAAGUUAGUUUAAACAAGUUAUAGGGGUUUUCUAGCCCUUUCUCCUUUUGCAUUAAAAGAUCACUGAGUUAUCUUACAUUCCAAGCAAGAUUCACAUUGUGGAAGAUCAACUUCUUUAAGCGAACUUAAGAUGUCAUCUUUGACAAGCCUAGUGAGUUUUUCUCAGUUAAUUUGACCAAGUAUCAAAUGCAAAAUAUAUGCAUUAGAGUGAGAAGUUUUAAGUCUUUUAUUUGAUAUUUUAGUCUCAAGUAAUGUGUACAUCUUUGGUUGGAUUAAAUGAAGAUUAUUGACAUCCACCCAUUAUAAUUAAGAUUGCGAUUCCAAAAUAUUGCAAUUCCACUAUAUAACGAGGCAACAUAAAUUAAGUUUCUUUUGAAAUUUGAUACAUAGAAAACGUCUCUUAAAAUAAUCAUCCUAAAAUUUUCAAAAUAAAGAUGUACAUCUCCCACUACUUCAUCUGCCACACUUGUCCUGUUCCCAGACCACAAUGAUAAGCUCUUAUACCUAAGAUCCUUUCUUUCCUCGAACCCCUAUAGAUAAACACAAACAUAAUUAGAGGAUCCCAAAUCAAUGACCUAGUGCUCUAUUGAAUCCUUCACUAAACAAGCUUCUAUCAUCAAGAGUUCCAUGCCUUUAACUUUGGUGGUCAAAUAUUCCUUCAACUAUUUACAUUUUGGCUUGAGGUGUCCUUUCUUGUUGUAGAAGAAGCAUCUAGACUUAGAUAAGUCUUUCGGCUUCCUAGUUCUCUUCCUUUCCACAUAUGGUGGCCUCGAGACCAUUGCCUUGCCUUUCUUAGCACGCUUUGUAACAACCCUUACAUGUCUCCGUCACCUGAUUAGGGUUACAAAAUGCUACCAUACAAAAUAGAAUAGAAACAAGCUAUCAGAGUUCAAAUUUUAUUUUUAAAAAAGUAUUCAUUAAAAUCUUGAAAAUCGACAAUAAAUUCCAAGAGUUUUGUGCAGAAGUGAAGAAACUAUUAGAUUUUCCCAUUAAGGUGCUUUGAUCUAACCGAGGUGAGGAAUACUUAUUAAAAGUCUUCGUAGGAUACCUCAUAGAAAAUGUAAUAUUAUCCUAAGUUCAGAUUCAGACAAUUUUGUUUAGCCUUAGACACGACAAAGUGUUCUAAUAGCACAUCCCGCAUGUCACUUAAUUGGCUGAUGUCGAUAAGUAAGGAUGCCCUAAUUCCCCCCCUUUAAUUUCUAUCCUUUGAUAGUUGGGUGAUUGGGAUGAUUUAUUUAUUCAUUUUGGAAGUUUUUAUUAGAAUUUGACUUGCUAAUUUGCAUAUUUAUAUUAUAUUUGUGCAUUUUCACUCGAAUCAAAUUUUAUUUCACUCGACUCGAUUCGAAAAAAAUCAAAUUGACUUAAGACCUUAAAAUAAGAAUCGUAAACUCGAUUAACUCGAAAUUUUUUCUUUCGUUUCAAUCGAACACUCACCCCUAAUAUUUUGUAUAGCAUUAUCAAAUCUACUUAGAACCAAGUAGACGAAAAUUCUAACCCAUACGAUACUUUAUUACUUAGUUGACGCAGCAAAUGUUGACAAAGCUGCGUUUGCGCCAAAUUUUUUUUUCUUAAUUUCUAUUGUGUGAUUGGUACAUGGAUGAGAACGAACAUAAUUAGUGCCAUCCCACCAUGCAAUUGCAAGCCUAAAAAAAUCUAAAGAUGGUAAAAAAAUCUAAAGAUGGUGACAAUUCAAAAUGGUAAUAAAUUGAAAUAAUUCUUUUUAUUUUACCUUGCUCAAUUUUUAUUAUAUUUAGUUUUAAUUCAUGUGUUAUCUCUGAAUGAUAUCACAAUAUAUUUUAAAAAAAAUUAAUAUUAAUAAUAUUUAAUAACAUAAAAUAAUUUAUAUGUAAUAAAAAUUUAUUAACCACUUUAUAUUAGAAUAAUCUAUCAUUAUUUCAAAAGGUAAAAAUGUUAUUAUUACACCAAUUAAAAAAUAUCAUAUAUUCGAAUAAUUAAUUCAUCAUAAUUUUAAUAAAAAAUGUCACAUAUAAUAAUGAUAAAUGUAAAAUAAUUUAAUUUAUGUUUAUGAUAUACAUGACUUAUUUAUACCUAUUAAAAUAAAUAAUUACAAAUAAUAAUGUAUAAAAUUUUGGCUUGAAGUGUCCUUUCUUGUUGUAGAAGAAGCAUCUAGACUUACAUAUGGUGGCCUCGAGACCAUAGCAUUGCCUUUCUUAGCACGCUUUGUAACAACCCUUACCCGUCUCUGUCACCUGAUUAGGGUUACGAAAUGCUACCAUACAAAAUAGAAUAGAAACAAGCUAUCACAAUUCAAAAUUUAUUUUUAAAAAAUUAUUCAUUAAAAUCUUGAAAAUCUACAAUAAAUUCCAAGAGUUUCGUGUAGAAGUGAAGAAACUAUUAGAUUUUCCCAUUAAGGCACUUCUAUCUAACUGAGGUGAGGAAUACUUAUUAAAAGUCUUCUUAGGAUACCUCAUAGAAAAUGAAAUAUUAUCCUAAUUAAUUAUGUCGGGUACUUCACAAGAGAAUAACAUAGUAGAGAGAAGGAAUAGAACUUCACUAGGCAUGGUUUAUUGAAUGUUAAGUGAUUUACAACUGUAGAUAUUCUUUUGAGGAUUUGCAUUACAAUCAACUUGAUAUAUUUUGAAUGAUGUACCAACUAAGGCACCAUAUAAAACCCCAUACCAAUUGAUAGAGCAAGAAUCAAGCGUAAAACAUUUGAGGAUUUGGGGAUUCCUAGCCUAUUGAAAAUAUUAGUCUAGAAUCCAAAGAAGAUAAUGUUCUUCUAGAAUGUAACAUUACAUGCAAUAAUGUAAGAUUGAGCCAACUAGACAUACAGUUUUAGAAAAAUUACGACUACAAUAAUUAGAUUUUAUUAAUUUCUAUUAGCAUUUUAUUGUUAUUAUAUCACUACAUUUACAUUAAUUAAAUUGAGUUUUUUUAGUCCAUUGUUAUUUUUAUAGAUUAAAAUUUUCUCUUUAAGUUAUUUCCGUAUUUAUCCCAAUUCUCUAUAACAGUCACCCAUUAUAAUAAUAUUUUAUUAUAAUAGUUAAGUUUCUAGUGGAAUCGGGUUUUUUAUGUUUUAUUUUAAUCUUGUACAAUAGCUUUUCAUGCAACAAUCAUAGUUAUGAAAUACAUUCCUUAUUAAAUUAGUUCUCAACAAUAGUAUAUUGUCAAAAUUUGAAGCACAAUUAUAACUAUUUCUCAUAAACAAGUCUACCAAUUCUAAUUUAUUAUACAAAAAUGAUCUUAAUUAAAAUGUUAUUUCAAUAAAAUGUUUAAAUUUCACCUAAAAAAUCUAUUAAUUAUAUUUUAUUAAAUGAAAAUAAUCUUCAAUGACUGGAAUUAAAUAUAUCAAUUCAAUAAACUAUUAAGUUCUCUAAUUAAAUAUUUACUAUGAAUUUGGAACAUUAUAAAUUUAUAAAUUCAUUACUUGAAUUUAAUAACUUAUUAUUAAUUAAUUAAUUUAAUUUGAUAACUUAUAUUGAUUAAUUGAACUUGUUAGAUUUAUGAACAUUAUAAUUAGUCAUGUGAAAGAAUGUACAGUAAAAGAUGCAUAAAAAUAAUAAUGUGUGCACCAACUAUAUGUUUUUUUUUAAUUUAGGCCUUCAUUAUGGUCUCUUACGGCCCAUUACAUAAUUGGCGCGCCGAUGAAGCAAAUGAGAAUGUUGACAAGCAGGAUUUGCACUAUUUUUUCUCUUAAAUUUUCCCAAUUCUCUAUAACAGUGACCCGUUAUAAUAAUAUUUUAUUAUAAUAGUUAAGUUUCUAGUGGAAUCGAUUUUUUAUGUUUUAUUUUAAUCUUGUAUAAUAGCAAGAGAUACUAAUGUCCCAAGAACUAAAAACAAAAACACAUGGAUUAAACUCAUCAUUUUUUUUUUUGCAAUAAAAGCUGAGAUACUACACUAAUUUAAGGGUUUUUUUUCUUUGCUAAUUGCUAAGUUGUGAAGAACUAGCACUCAAUGGACCUAUAUAUAUACUACAAAAAAAUUAUUGAAAUAGAUAUUUUUUAAUUAAGUCAUCUUAUGAAAAUUCAACUAAAAUGCCAAUCAAGUCUAUUUAUUUAAAUAAAUAUUUCUUUAAAUAUUAAUUUCUAACUGAUAAUGGGCUGAUUAGGAAUUAAAGUUAAAGUAGAUUUAACUUUUUUAAAUUACUUAUGUACUAAUUUAAAAGAUUAAAAGAUUUAACUUAAUUUCUAUCCUUUGAUAGUUGGGUGAUUGGGAUGACUUACUUAUUUUGGAAGCUUUAUUAGAAUUUUGUCUCAAUGGAAAUUUGUCCUAUAGGACACGCUUUCAGUUAUGUCAGCUAUAGGACGUGUUUCGGUGUAAAUGAUAGUUAAAUAUUAAUAUUUUUGUUCUUAAAUUUUUGUGUUCGAUUCGUCUUCUCCUCAAGGAUUAUCGACUUCAAUCUGCUCCACUGCAACCUCAGGGAGAUAAGAUUUGAUGCAAUUUGCUCCGCUACUGCUUAGGGAGACAAGAUCUGCAAUGUCCAACCUAUUCCACUGCUGACCAGGGACAUAGGACUUGUGGCUUAAAUCUGCUUCCUUACACUUGAAGAUAAGAUUCGCCGUCUUCGAUCUGCUCCGCUAUUGCUUAGGGAGACAAGAUUUGUAAUUUCCAACCUAUUCCACUACUGGUCAGGGAGCUAGGUUUUGUGAUUUCACCGAUCUGUUCUCUGGGGAACAUGACCUGUAUAAUUCAUUUAUGAACUUAAUUAUGCUUAGUGAUUAGGACGUCAUGAUCAGCAUGAGUCAAAUGCUCCUAACUAGGUAUGUAUAAAUGAUGUUUGCAUGAAUGCAGAAUGUCAUUUUUGACAACGAUCUUUCUUUAUCGCUUAAGUUGUCAUUGUUCGAAGUUUAUUAAGGCUUUAUCACUGACGUGCUACAACGCCUUCUUGCUCGGCUGGCAUCUCCAAAGAAACACUUAAUGAUAUUGCCCCCACCAUGAACUUCAAAGUUCAAUCCACUGAGACACACAACUUGUACCAUUUUUCUCCCACUGCAACCCAAGGGUAGAAAUAUAUGGCUUUUCCUCAGUCCUUUCCUAUCACAAUUCAAGGAUACGAGAUCUAAGUCUGUCUGGUCCCUUACACCAUUCCCAAGGUGUCGUACCAAAGACUUAUGCACAGAUGAAGGCUCUCUUCUCCGAGGUAACCUCUUCCUCUUGCCUGGUGAUCAUUGUUUGCUUGUCUAUUUAAGCUUUGUCAUCAACUUGACCUCUUGUCAUUUUGUUCAAUCAAUGCAUUUGACGAAAAACUCCAAAGAGAAAGUCCUAAUUUAGACUCUUCCUUCUCAGAUUUCCAUCCUUUAAACUUGGUGCGUUCUAAACAAUAGUCCUGUUUCAGGUUCCUGUAUUAUUUAGAAACUUUUCAGAGUAAUAUGCAAAACUUCCUUUGUGAAAGUUUUAUUAGUCCAUUAAUCAUUAUUCCAAUGCAACAUGUUUACAAAAAAAUGUCAUAACAAUGGAUAAGAAUAAAGUUGGUUCUGAGCAUAGCUCGAAAGGAAUAAAUUAUCAAAAAUAGUAAAGAAGGAUAAUAAAGAAAUUGAUUAGGAAUAUUCUUGAUAAAGAAUGAGGUAUUCCAGGAACAACAAAUUCAAAAUAGUAAGAAAAUUGGGUGCCCCAGAUAUCGCAGCUUGAACUUCUCUGUACAAACUUUCUGAAGACCCUUCAUGUGUUUAGGAGAUCUUUAGUGCUUUGUCGAUGCCCCAAGAUGUCGCCUAUCCUUUCCUGUUGAUUUAGGCAUAACAAGAUUACCACAUGCCCCAAUCUGAUUAAGAUUCGAAUCGCUCUGAUCACUUCAUGCCCCAUUCUGAUCAAUAUUUGAGCCACCUUUUUCGGGUUUUCAACUCAGAUCCCCUUUGGCCUAAGGCGCCCUUUGCGGGUUUUCCCCUUAGCCUCUCCAUUUUUACUUUUUCAUUUUUUUCAUUUUUAUUUUUUUGGAAUUGGUCCUUUCUUCUUCUUUAAAUGAAGCAUUUCUUGACUGGAUCCGUGUUUAUAGGAUCGGCAGUCUCGCUCAGGAUCAGUGCUCAUCUGAAAAGGUCUUCUUUACAACACAGGGACAUCCCCGGCUUAACAUUCAUAUCCUUCUAGAAUCCUUUUGUUGAGGAAGGAUCUUUUCCAACAUCCAGCCCUCUCGUGGAAUUCUCUAAGACGACUCUAUUUAUUAUGGGCUUGUAUCAUUUGUUUCUGAUACAUCCGACCCUGAUGAAUAGCUUUUAACCCUUUUCCUAGGUCCAACUGAUCACAUCGCGAUUGGAUCCUUCCAACUUUAAUACCCGAAGAGAUGGGAUUUCAAUAGGUAAUACCACUUCAAUCCCGUAAACCAAAGAGAAGAACAUUGCUCCGGUAGAAAUCUUGAUAGAUGUUCGGCAAGCAAGGAGGGCAAAUGGUGAUUUCUCAUGCCAGUCCUUGUAAGUCUCAGUCAUUUUUGCAACUCAUUGCAGUGAUGAACUACGGUAUCUGAUUUUGAAUUGAUCACAGACCUCAGCUAUCAUACUAACAUUCAUGAUAUCGUCUUCUCCAUAAUUCCAUACCGGCAUAUGAUGACAUUGACACAUGAAGCAGCCUCUACCCGUUUGACAAAGUAACUAAUGAUAUCAAACAUGAAGCAAUGCCCAUUAGAAACCUUCGAUGAUGAUGACGACCAUGCCCCAUUUGCUUAAAAUUUGAGUCACCCUUUUUGGGUUUUCAACUCAAAACCGCCUUUGGUCACAAAGCGCCCUUUGAGGGUUUUCGCUUUGGCCUCUCCUUUACUUCAUUUUAUCAAUUUUUAUUUUGAUUUUUUUCUUCUAGACUUUUCUCUUUUUUCAUUAUUUUUCCUUUUUCUCUCAUUUUCAUUUUGACCUUGAUUUUGAUUUUUCUUUUUUCUUCUUUUUAUUUUUUGAUUUUGAUUUUUGAUUUUUUUUAUUUUUUUUGGGCUCAUAGGGUUAGGCAAGUCCUCGUUAUCCCUUUCGAAGAAUCCUCUUUGAUAUCAGAUUUCCUUCAUAGAGCCUUUUGGGGUGACACUACGACUGAAAACUUUUAAUCUUCCUCUUUCAUCAGGACGAGAUCCAAAAAAACUUGAAGAGAUGAAAACUCGACUUCAAAUGGACAAAGCUAUGCUGACCCAACGAGAAAGGCAUUGCCACGACAAAGAAUUGCAUCAUUCAUACUCAAAUUUUUGCCAUCGCGCUGUUGUGCAGAUUUCAUUAUCAGCGGUUAACUCGGGCAUAUCCUGGCAUGAUCAUACAAAAACAUCUUUGAACCCUAGAGGUGACUCAACAAGGUCUUGCUUCGUCUUUGCAAUCAGGUCAAUUCUAAUAUUCACCAAGCUCACAAUUUCUAAUGAUUCCUUGUGGGGUAGUAUCCGUCUAUCCUCUUGUUCAACCAUCCUCAACAAGUCCAGAGAUAAGCUACAAUCUUUGUCAUUUUCAAAGUCAUGAGAUCCCUCUAAACACAUGCCUUGCUCAAGAGGAAAAUUUGAAUCUGUAGCAGUGUCAUUCAUGUAAUUGAUAUCUAAGGACCCAUAAUAAGUACCGAAGGAUAUACAAAAGAAUGCACAAAUUCAUGAAUAAUUAUUUGUACCAUAUGAUUAUGAAUAACAAUUUAGAAGAAAAUCCAAAAGAAUGAAAGAAUCUGGAAUUAUUUGUAAAGAAUGAAAAUAUUGGCUCAGUAAUAAUUGUAAAGAUAUAUUUCAUUAAAAUAACAACGUUCAGACAUGAGCCUAUUUCACAAAGGAAUUUCUAUCAUUUCUAGGCUAAGAAUAAGAAAAUGUUCAGAACAUUACUCUAAAUAAGCUCUAAGAACUAUAGGAAUUUCUUCCGCAGUCUAAUUGCUUAGAACACUCCAUAUUUAUAAAGGCAGAUAUCUAGCAAGGUCCCUUUUCAUUCUUGUCUUCAAAUAUGUCAUUAAUGUGGACACUUCCAACACCUUUUAAUACAUUGUAUUCACUCCAUUAUCAAUCAUGAUUGGGUAGCGGGCUUUCUGCACUAGAUGAGCGAUCAAGCUUCACAAUACCCAUGUUGAUGAGUCUUUCAACUUGCUUUUUGAAGGCAAUGCAAUUCUCUAUUGAGUGCCCCGUAAUUCCCGCAUGGUAGUCACAUUGUACGUUCGCAUCAUACCAGUUAGAGUAUGGAGGUUGUAGACGUUUCACAUAAAAAAAGGAGACAACGUGUGCAUCAAACAAAUUUUGAUACAGCUCUUUAUACGACAUCAAAAUUGGUGUGAACUGGAGCUUCUCAGUACUUGGUUUCACUCCAGAUUCUUGUCUCAAUAAACCUUGUUGACUAGCGACCCCUUUACCUGGAUGACUUACUGACCUUGAGUAACCUAUUUUAUUCAUCUCAUCUUCUUUUCUCCUUGAGACUGAUCUCUUAUUACUCUCUUUCGCCUCAAUUUUUCCAGUCCUUAUAGCAUUCUCAAUCAUUUCACCAUUCAUCACUACAUCAGAAAGGCUUUUUGUUGCACUUCCUAACAUAUGCGUGAUGAACAGGGCCUUCAGUGUGUUGAUGAAGAGCAUUGUCGUCUCUUUCUCCAAGAGGGUGGCUGAACCUGGACUGCAACCUCCUUCCACCUCUGUGCAUACUGCCUAAAACGUUCAUUCGAUUUCUUUUCCAAAUUUUGUAAAGUGACUCUAUCGGGAACCAUAUCUGUCACAUGAAUGUAUUGUUUCAUGAAUGCCUGUGCUAGGUUCCUCCAUGAACCAAUCUCGGUACGACUCAACUGAUUGUACCAUUUCGACGCUGCUCCAAUGAGGCUAUCUUGAAAAACUGUAUUAAUAGCUGAUCAUUGUUAAUAUACCCAGUCAUUCUCCUACAGAACAUGGUGAUAUGGGCUUCGGGGCAGCUAGUCCCACUAUAUUUCUCAAAUUCAGGCAUCUUGAACUUGUGAGGGAGUACUAAGUCUGGAACCAAGCUCAGAUCUUUUGCAUCAAUUCCAUGGUGACUAUUGGCGCUUUCCAGGGCUUUGAAUUUUUUCUCCAACCAUUUACACCUAUCUUCCCACUGUUUUGGCAAUUUCGCGUUCACCUUUCAUUCCUUAGCUGCUUCAUCAAAAUUAAAGAUGGUAAUAUUAACCAGAUUACCACCAGCGUUAGAACCUGAUCCGGCCAGAAAGUUCAUCGGUAAUGAAACAUCGGUUUGAAACCUCUGAGGCCCAAUUAAAAUAGAGGAUCUGGGCGGAGGUACCUCGGUCUGAGUCUGCGCAUGUAAAGGCGUAAAACCUAGAGGAUAGAUAGGUCUAUCCUUGUCUUCUUCUUCAUCAUUCACCACAGGGCCUUUCCCCUUAUUUACACCUUUAGUCAAUAGAUAGGUCAAUUCAGCCAUCGCAUCUUUUUGAGCCUUGAUCAAUUUUUCCAUCAUGUCUUUUUGAAUUUUAUCUAGCCGCUCUUGCAUUUGUACUUGUAACCGUUCUUGCAUAUCCUUUUGUAUUUUCUCCAAUUUCUCUAAUCUUUGAUCCAUUUCCUUAGUUUUGCGAUGAGUACCAUAACGAUGUUUGGUUGGUUGGUUUUCCAGAUUAGCUGAAAUAAAUUUACUCAAUUAGGCUCUUUCAAUGGACUUUAAUGCAUGUAAUGUAAAUGCAUGAAAUUAAUGCCUAAAGAGACAUUGAUUCUGAUUCAAUUACAUUUAGAAAACUUUACUAGAAGGCAAAUUCCUUUACAUAAAGCAGAUGCAUGUACAACUUUGCCCUUAUAUUCCAAGAGACAACAUCGAUCUUUUUCUUCAUCCGCAUGUUUGUGAUAAUAUUGCCAAUUUCCAAUUGAUGCCACUGCUAACUCCUUUUCUUGAUCUUGGUCGCGAUCCAUCAUCUGUCCAUCUUCAUAAGGCUCGUCAGCUUCUUUAAGGGAGUUGGAAUGUCAAAGGCUCUUAGACAAUCGCCUUGCAUCCUCGGGCCACGAAGUAAGGUUACGAACUCUUCCAUCGCCCUUCUUAUGUUUCUCAGAAUAUAUUCAGGCAGCCGUAUUAUUUUCCACUUUAUCAAGGAAUCCGUAUUCCAUGACAAGAUUUCUAAUUUAGUAAUUGGAUUUGAAUCAAUAUCUCUUUCCUAAGAUGCAAAUGCAAUGCAAUCAUAAUCAAAACAAAACAAGAUGGGUUAGUACAAAACAGAAGCAAACAAGGAAAACAAAAGUACCUAGUCGGGUAACCACUAAGGAUUUGCAGUGGCUCUACCUAGGAUGGGUUCCUAAGGUCUUCUACAUGCGGUUUGGCUCUAAAGUCAAGGUACCUGAACUAGCUGAUUCCUUGAUCUUCACCCAUUAUAGGCUCAUACAGACCGAGUUCGGUUCAGGGGAAUACAUUUCCCUAUGGCUGCACAGAGAUGAAAAUCUCACGAAGACAUAGGUACGGAUGUAUCCUGAAAGUGAUUCACUAUCCUGCACGGAGGUGAAAACCUCACGAAGGAGUAGCUUCUCACUCCCACUUAAAAGGACAAGACUAAACAGUCUUAUGCAAUAUGACGCCAAAAUAUACAACUCAAUUUACAAUAAUCAUGCAAACAAGUGCAAAGAAAAGAUCGUAAAUUUUCAAAUCAAAUUUUCAAUUUUCGAUAAUAAGACAGAAAACAAUCAAUUUUACGGCUUGACUCUCUAAAGGUCCCCAGUGGAGUCGCCAAGCUGUCGAAACAAUUUUUAAAAUUGAAAAAUGAGGAUCGACUUUGAAAAUAAAAUGGGAGUCGCCACCGAUCUUUUAUUGAGGUGUAAUCGGUUCACCUUGAAAAUAAUUUUAGGUCUGCAAAUUUUGAGAAAACAGGUUCGGGAGUCGGUUACGCACGAGGAAGGGUUAGCACCCUCGUGACGCCCAAAAUUGGUACCGAAUUGAUUGCUUAACAUCCUAGUGUCGAAAUGUUGAAAAGAUUUUAAAAUACGAUCCUUGGUGAGAAAAUUUGAAUAAAGCAAAUUGAAUGACAAGACAUACUUAUUUCGAAGAAAUAAAUUUCGCACUCAGUGAGUUAGGGUGCUCCAAUUCAAUCCUUGAAAUUAAAUAUGCUCCUUUUUUUUUAAGAAAAUCAUGAGUUUAAAGAAGGUUUCUUGAUUGUUUAAGUUAAUCGAGAAUUCAGAAUCCAGUAAGUUAGGGUUCAAUUUCUCAAAAAUCUUAAACCUCAAAUAUUGCCCUUAUUAAAAACGAGACAACAAAAUGUUGUAUCCAGUGAGUUAGGAUCCAACAUUUUGUAAUCUAAAGAAUUUUAUUAUUCGCAGUCGUAUGGUUUUACAAAAUGAAUAUUUGAUGAUCUAAAUUCAUCGAGAAGAAUUAAAGCCCAGUAAGUUAGGGCACAAUUCUCUCGAGAACUUACGAACGCCAAACUUUUUAGUAGACUUGAAAUAAAAUGAUUAUAAUAUUUUAAUGAAAUGCGAUUCUCUCAAACAGUAUAAUUGAAUAGCUAAAUAUAUAGCAAAUGAUAAAUAACAAACUAGAUUUACAACAUGAAGCAACCAAACAUAUAAUACAUCAACAUUAAAUAAUCAAAUAAACUAAUAAUCAAUCUUACAAAUAACAAAAAGAGAGUAAUUAAUAUAAAAAUAAAUUAAUCACAAGUAAAUCGCCUAAAAUAAUUGGAAUGAAUAAAAUUUUGAAGCACAAAAAUAAAAUUUGCGCAAAUUACAAGUUAUGAUGCAUUUUAUACGCAUAUAUGUGUAUUAAAAUAGUUCCAUAUAAAUUAUACAUAUAAGUAUAAUAAUCACGAGAUGUCAUGGUCAAAAUAAAAUCUAGAGCUAUAGUCUAAAAUACAUUAUUGAGAAAUAUGAAGUAACAUAUCGAAUUCUUAAAAUGUAUUAAGUGUGAUAAAAUAAAUAAUAAUGUAGCAAAUGGGAAAAUAAAAGUAUAAAAGGUCUGUAAAUAAUAUUAAGCCAAUAGUAAAAAAAUGCUUUUUUUUUAAUAUAUGAAUAUAAUAAUAGAUUUAUUCAGAAACUAUGAAGGCAAAACAAAAUAUGAAGAAAACAUUUUUUUUUUGAAAUUGAAAAUAAUAAUUUACAAAUUUAAAACCAAAUUUUCAAACGAAAAUAGGAUGAUAAUAACAAUUAAAACAAAACUAAAUGAUUACAAUAGAUUCAAAAUAUCGGUAUAUAAUGGUUUUGAAAAUAUAAGAAAAAGCAAACUAAAACAAUAAUUUAUUAUAAUUUGGACUAUAAUAAUAGUAAACCUAAAUACUAUCAAAAUAAAUAUUAUAAAAAUAUUAAAUACUAUAAUAUGUAAAAUAGAAUUAAAAUAACGUUGAAUUUUGAAAGGAAAACUAAAUUAGUAUUAAAAUAAAAUUUAUUUUAAAAUGAAGGACCAAAUCAGUAAUUAUGCGCAAACAUUAAGAUUAUUUCAAUUAAUCAUAGAAACGGCAACGUUUAAAACUGGAUUUAAAUGAAAAUAAGGUUAAAUAUGCGAUACAAAUUUCAAACAAUUAAAGAAAUUAAUUCGCCAUCCCCAUAAAUGCUCAAGGACCUAUUAGACAAAUAAACCAGACACCCAUCACUCGCGGAUCCUACCCGAAUCGGGUCACCACUCGGGUCUGGAUCUUUAAACGACGCCGUUUCGAAGUCAUUGCACUGACUUCAAACGUCGUUGUGUGAGUCUCCGCAUUAAGAAGCCAAAACCUAAAAUACUUUCAUUUCCUAAAAACCUAAAUUGAAUCAGAUGAAUGUUGCGCCGUUCCACACCGAAGGCAUAUGAACGGUUCCUCAACCCAGCCUAUACUCCGAUGACGACGGAGAAGGCCAGGAAUCUGUCAUCAGGUAUGUUUUCUCCUUUCUUUUACUGUUUCUUUCCUGAAGAAAACAUUAGCCAAGUAAAAGCGAAGAAAGAAAAAAAAAGGGAAUCGAGAAGCAAUCUGCAAAAAAAAAAAAUGAAAGAAACCCCGAAAAUCACCUUUCGAUAUUUUUCUUUGUAUUCUGAAUGCGUAAAAAAGAAGAAGAUCCUUUUACAUUGUUUGCCUUGGCUCUUUAUAGCCAAAAUUACAACAUAAAAAAAUAAAAUAAAAAAAAUGAUCUGUCAUUGCCACAUUUUCGCUUUUUGUUUUCUCUUUCUUUUUCGUUGCUGGUUGUUGCUUUGUUGGUGUUGUUUGUUUCUGUUGCAGGUGUGGCAUUUGUUGUGUGCAGGUAUGGCCUGGAGAAGGCUCGCGUGGACUUGGCGCGGAGGCGCAGUACGCGCGGGGAUCUGGUUCGGUUGCGGCGCAACAACUGCUAGGGUUUCUGACUUCUAGUUGGGUUAGUCGGGCCAGGGUAUUGGGCUUAGGUUUAAGCUAAUUGGGUUUGUACUGGGCCAUUUGUAAAUGGGCUUGGCUUGUAUUUUGGGUUUGCUGUUGUAAAAAAAACUGGACAUUUUAUUAUUAUUUAUUUAUAUAUUUUAAUUAUCUGGGUUUUAAUAGUUGGGCUCGGGCCGGGUAAAAUUUGGGUAUUACAUAUAUUUGUAAAAAACUCAAAAGAAAUUGUAAAAAAUUAUUAAACAGGAGUUAAAUAUUCAUCCCUUCAUUGCUGUUUUCCAGUCGUAUUGCUGCAUGUAAACUUAUUAUAUUUAAAUUCCAAAUUCUUUAGUGCAAGUGUCUGGGUCUUCAUUCUUUUCUCUUAUAAGAAGUUCAGAUUCAGACAAUUUUGUUUAGCCUUAGACACGACAAAGUGUUCUAAUAGCACAUCCCGCACGUCACUUAAUUGGCUGAUGUCGAUAAGUAAGAAUGCCCUAACUCCCCCUCCCUUUAAUUUCUAUCCUUUGAUAGUUGGGUGAUUGGGAUGAUUUAUUUAUUCAUUUUGGAAGUUUUUAUUAGAAUUUGACUUGCUAAUUUACAUAUUUAUAUUAUAUUUGUGCAUUUUCACUCGACUCAAAUUUUAUUUCACUCGACUCGAUUCGAAAAAAAUUAAAUUGACUUAAGAUCUUAAAAUAAGAAUCGUAAACUCAAUUAACUCGAAAUUUUUUCUUUCGAUUCAAUCGAACACUCACCCCUAAUAUUUUGUAUGGCAUUAUCAAAUCUACUUAGAACCAAGUAGACGAAAAUUCUAACCCAUACGAUACUUUAUUACUCAAUUGACGCAGCAAAUAUUGACAAAGCUGGGUUUGCGCCAAUUUUUUUUUCUUAAUUUCUAUUGUGUGAUUGGUACAUGGAUGAGAACGAACAUAAUUAGUGCCAUCCCACCAUGCAAUUGCAAGCCUAAAAAAAUCUAAAGAUGGUGACAAUUCAAAAUGGUAAUAAAUUGAAAUAAUUCUUUUUAUUUUACCUUGCUCAAUUUUUAUUAUAUUUAGUUUUAAUUCAUGUGUUAUCUCUGAAUGAUAUCACAAUAUAUUUUUAAAAAAAUUAAUAUUAAUAAUAUUUAAUAACAUAAAAUAAUUUAUAUGUAUUAAAAAUUUAUUAACCACUUCAUAUUAGAAUAAUCUAUCAUUAUUUCAAAAGGUAAAAAUGUUAUUAUUACUCCAAUUAAAAAAAUAUCAUAUAUUCGAAUAAUUAAUUCAUCAUAAUUUUAAUAAAAAAAUGUCACAUAUAAUAAUGAUAAAUGUAAAAUAAUUUAAUUUAUGUUUAUGAUAUACAUGACUCAUUUAUACCUAUUAAAAUAAAUUAUUACAAAUAAUAAUGUAUAAAAUUUGCUUAAUAAAAAUAUAAAUUAAAUAAUAAAUAGCAAAACUAUAAUGUUAUUUAUGAACAAGAUGGAUCCGGGGUGGGGAGGCUUGCACCCCCAUUGGAUUUCUCAAAAAUUCUCAAAAUUUUAUUAUAUUCUUAAUUCCUCCCACUUCUUAUCAAUUCGCUCCUUUUAUCUCAGAUUUUAAUAAUUUUUUGUUGAUUAAAGUUGUAAUACCCAAUUUUAGCCCGGGCUCACAAUAAUAAAAUAAAGUCUAAGUCCAGUACAAAAUUAUAUCAUUUGGCCCGAUCAGAAUGGUUCAUUACUUGAAAAUGUAGAAGGUCCAUCUACAAGCUUAUGGAAACAUAAUCUUCAAGGAUGUGCAAUCUUAGAUAUGAUAUAUGCAAUCUUAGAAGAUGUGAUUUUGUAAUCUUAGAGAUUUAAUUUGUAGAUACCCUUUAAUCUUGGCCAUUGAUGUAAUUGAUCUGUACCGUUGAAUUUGGGGAGGCUCAACUAUAAAUAGAGGCCUCUCCCUUCAUUGUAGAGGGGGAAGUGGGGAGUAAUAAUAAUUCUUAAGAGUAUUUACUCAAAUUUCUCUCUCUCUUGCAUUCCUAUUUUGUUGAUUGUGUAUAAUUUAUUUAUUGAUUUGUAUAUUGUUGAUUUCAAAUCUCUUUUUCCAUUAUUAUUCAUUUUCAAAUUCAUUAUUUUCAAAUUUGUUUACAUUUUAUUUGGCCUUAUAUUUUUUUUUAUUUUAUACUCUUUGUUUUAAAUUCAUUGGUAUUUGAUUAUUGAUGCUAUUUAAUCCUCUAUUUGUUAUUUUAGUUUUUUUAUUAUUAAAUUAAUUAUUUUAAUAUUAUUAAUACUAUUAUGUGGCAUCAUUAAUCUUGUAUCAUUAUUAUUAUUAUUUAUUAUUUUUAUUUUUAUAUUCAUGCGCAUGCAUCGUUUUUAUGUAAUAUAUAUAUAUAUAUAUAUAUAGUAUACGUAUGCUUAUAUAUAUCUUAUACAUAUGUUUUUAUUUUUAUUUUACUUCCUAACUUUUAUAUACAUAUAUAUACUUUUAUAUUUAGUUUCAAAUUUUUUUUUUACUUUUGUUUAUAUGUACAUGUAUGUAUUUGUAUAUUUUUCUAAUGAAUAUUUUUAUAUAUAUAUAUAUACGCACAUGUCUAUGUUUUUUAUUUCCUUAAAUACAAACUUAUAUUUUCAACACAUAUGUUAUAAUAUAUAUAUGUAUAUUUAUAUAUUUUUCUUUAUUUUCAUAAAUGCAUUAUAUAUAUUUUGUUAUAAAUUCUAUAGUCCAAAAUUUUAUAUGUAAACCCAUGUGUAUGUCUUUUAUUCUUUAUAAUUUCAUGUAUAUAUUUUGUACCUUUUUCUCUCUUUAUAUUUUUUUGUUUAUUUCCUUCAUUUGCUUAUUGAUUUAUGUUUUCAUUUAUAUUUUGUUCAUUUGAUACUUUACAUAUCGUUGUUUUUUAUGUACAUUAAUUUCGUUUAUUUCUAUGCCAUUGUUGUAUUUAUUAUUAUAUUUUACACUUAAUGUAGCAUUACAUCAUUUUUUACUCGAUUUUAAAAUUUUCAAAAUUGAGAUAAUACUCGCAUUUAGGAUUUUCAAGGAAAUUGAGCCCUAACGUAUUAGGUUCCAAUUUUCUUCGUUAAAUCUAACAAUUGAGAAUUGUCCAUUAAUCAAAAAAUAAAAUGAAAAGCUUGUUGUCGGUAAUUUAAUAUGUUGUAUCCUAACGUAUUGGAUGUGACGUAUUGAUUUCUCGAGACAAAGAUUUUUUUAAAAAAAAUAAUAACAAAGGAAAUAUGCCAAGUUUAGGAUUUUGAGAAAUUGUGCCCUAACGUAUUGGGCCGCGAUUUCUUUAUAAAUCUUAAACAAAUGAAUAUUCUUUUAAAUUUUAUUACACGAGUAUUUUGGACUAAUUCAUUUUUGAGGAAUUAGAAUGUCGUACCCUAACGCAUUGGGUGUGACAUUUUCUUUCUCCGAAAUGAUAAGAGUCUUAAUAAGUAACGCUUUUUAAGUUUUUAUUAAGGAUCAUAUUUUUAAAUUUUCGACAUUAAGACACUAAUUAAUUAACUAGGUACCAAUUUUGGGUGUUACGAGGGUGCUAAUCCUUCCUCGUACGUAACCGACUCCCGGAUCCAUUUUUCUAAAACUCGUAGACCAAAGCUAUUUUUUAGGUGAUCCAAUCACACCUCAAUAAAAGAUUGGUGGCGACUCCCAAUUUUUGUUUUUUUAAAGUCGACAACUAAUUUUUUUUUUUCCAAAAUAAAAGUUGGUUUCGACAAAAGUUUUUGAAGUGACUGCCUAUGUAACAUCUCUAGCCCGUUAGGGAACAAGACGUGCCAAAACCAACCAACAGUCUGUCCAACGAAUUGGAGUGUUAUCGACGGUUUCAACCUUUUUCAAAAUGACUUAAACUCUUAGAAAUAAACUAUGAAAAAUCUCUUUAAAAGCAUUCUUAGAUUUUUGUAACCCCCUGUUUAAAGAAAACAAUAGGAAUGUAUAAAGAAAACUAUAAGUCAUCCCCGUAGCUUUAAAUGGCGUACGCAUAUAAAAGAAAAUCUUAUAAGGCAUCAACAGUGAAAAUAGGUAAAUAUUUGCAAUUAAUAGAUACAAAUAUUUUUCAACAGAAACCAUGCAUGAAACCAACAACAAAAGAACUAAUAGCUCACAAAUAUCAGCAGCUCUGAUGUAGUCCCCUUCUACAAAAUCUUCUACUGCUACCAACAAUCCUGAGGAGAUAAAAUAACUAAGUUUAAUUGAAAUACCUUUAAUUAACAAACACUAGUACUCAUAACAAAAUAGACUUUCCAUGAUAUUUGUUGCGGUGUGUAAAAAUAAUUGCAAAUUAUGUGCAAAUAUACACAAUUGUAACAAAUAAUAAAGUACUAAGUAUAUGAGUACCGUCUCCUUAGGGACUGAACAGGUAGUCAAGAUUUGUGAAAAUAAUUUAAAGAACAAUUUAGAAAGAAAACAAUUAUAAAUGGGGUUUAUGCGAUUAAUUAAACUAAAUGAUUCUAUCCUGCAAAAUUUCAACAGAAUAAUGAGUACUUCAAGAAAUGAGUUACUAAUAUCAAAUAAUGCUAGAAUACUUAAUUCACUUCUGUCUCUGAUCAAUUUAGUUUGGAUGAAAUUGUUACGAAAAUCAUGGCCUAAUUAGCAUGUAACAUUCAUAACCUAUUUCCUUCGCUAGAAUAGGGUUACAGAGUAUUACCGUACAAUUCGAAACAUUCCAUAACAAUAGCAUCUAAUUCAUCAAAUUAAUUAUUAACAAUAUUCAUAAAUAAUUCGAAAUCAAGCAAGACACACAUUCACAGAACUUAAAUCGAGCCUAUGAGGCCCUAAAAAUAUCUUAGGAACAAUCAGAGACUAAUCUAAAACAAAACAGGAGAUUUGGGACAAAAAUGAAAAAAAUUCAAAAAAAGGGUCACACGGCGGUGUGUCUAGGCCUAGACUGUGUGACUCUAGACAUGGCCCUGUGGCCAUCCCACAUGCUCGUGUGCAAGGGCCGUGUAACUCUCUGACUUGGGUCACACAGUCGUGUCACAGCCAGUGUAAACCUUGCACCUAACAUGCUAAGGGCACACCCCCGUGUGUGACACAGGACCAUGUGAUAACCUGUGUCCCAGGUCAUGUGUACCCAAAAGUGACUAAAAUCAUGCUUAUUUUUCAUCCAGUUACAUAAGUACCUAAGCCAAUUCAUAACACAUGAUCAUAAGACUAUAACCACACCUAAAAAAAAACUAAAACAUGUCAAUUUCAACCACCUAAAACCAAACCAAGGUGUCAUACAUGAAGUUACAAAAUAAUGCUUAUACCCAAUGUAAUGACCCAUUUUGCUCGGGCCCAAUUAAAUAUAUUAAAACCAAUAAUAAAUAUAAAUCCAAUAAAAAGUCCAGAUACAAUUUACAUAGGCCCAAAUUCAUAUUGAAACCCAAAUAUUAAAAAAAACCCAAUUUAUAGUAGCCCAAUCUUUAACACUAGCCUGAAUGGCCCAAAACACCAAGUCAACAGAAACCCUAGGUGCGCCGCACCUAGGGUUUUCGCCGUCACCUUCGACCCUCCCACGCACGCUAUGCCAGGUCCACGCUCACCUCCACUCCAGUUGGCUUUCAUACAUCUGCAACAAACGCAAAUGACAACAAAGAAAUGAAGGGAAGAGGCCGUAAAAAUCGUAACAAUAAAAGAAUACAGCAAAUAACAUAUAUUUCAGAUAUAAAAAAUUUUGUAAUUUUCAUUUUUAUUUGAUGCAGCUAUAUAAAGCCGAUUGUAAGUCGAAAAAAUGGAUACGAAAUCAAUAGAAAAACUUCAAAAAAAAAAGAAGAGAAAGUUAAAAGGCAAAUCAGAAAUUUUCUAAAGGUGACUGGAGAUUUUUUUUUUUCGUUGCUUUUCUUUUUUGUGGUUGAUUCAUUAUGUGUGAAAAAAAAAGGAAAAAGAAAGAAAAAGAAGCAAGAAACUUACCUGUGCGAGCACGCCAUCGGAGCUCCGUUUACUCCGUCCAAAUCGGAGUCAAACAGAGUUUCGGGUUUUGAUGCGGCGGAGGGCGAGAGAGGUUUAGGUUUUUUUCUGAUAAUUUAAUAAAAUUGUAAAGUAUUCUGAUUUUAGGGUUUUGAGUGGCAUUUAUAUAGCGCAUAAAACGAUACCGUUUAGGGCCUGUUUCAGUGGCACUAAAAUGGUGCCAUAUUGGCCUGUGACCCGCGUGUUGACCCAACCCGAGGAGAGGAUUCACGCGUUUUGCAGCUAUUGGGCAAUUUGCGCAUUUUGUCCCCCCUCUUUUGUGCCGUGUUCAAAUCAGUUUUUUUAAAAUUUUGCCCUACAUUUUGUUUUUGUUUCAUUUCAGCCAAGGUUGAAAUGUCGCGUUUUGGAGGGACAGGGAUUAUUUCCCACUUGGUCCCCCAAGUUAUUCGCGCAUUACAUUCGGCCCCUUUGCUUUAUUUUAUUUUCAUUUUUUCCUUUAAUUCUGGUUUUUAAUUUAAUUUAAUUUAAUCCUUACCUAUUUAAUGUGCUUGAUUUUCUUUAAAUUUUCUUUAAAUAUUUAUUAUUCCAUUAUUUUUAAUGUAUUUAAUUUUAAAAUUAAUAUUAUUUUAAUGAUCAAGCUCAAUAUUAUUUUAAGUUUGUUAUUAACAUUGUUUAAAUUUAUUGUAUAUUAUUAUUUUAAUUUUAUAUGUAUUAUUUUUCUUAGCUUUUCAUGCAUUAUUUUUUUUAAAUUUAUUAAAUAUUAUUAUUUUAAUUUUCAUAUAUAUUAUUUCAUAUGUUUUUUUAUAUAUAAUUCGUACAUAUUUUUUAUGGUUUUAUUUUAUAAUAUACUUUUAAAAUCCACUUUUAUAUGUUUCAUCUUUAAAGAUUUAUACUAUAAUAUUCUUACGCAAUACUAUUCUUUUUUUUUUGUAUAUAUACACAAUUUAUAUUAAAUUAUUUUCAUUAUACAUACAUACAAAAUCUAUUGUUGAUUUCAUAUUAUUAUAUAUAUAUAUUUAUCUAUCUCUAUAUCUAUGAUUUAUUUUCUUUUAAAAAACCCUAUUUUAUUAUAAUUUGCCUAUUCCAACCUUUUACAUAAAUUACAAUAUACUAUUAUUUAUUUGAAGUUUUUCAUUCCAUAUGUAUUAUUUAUUUAAAUUAAUAUUAUGUAUAUUACUUUAUGUACUUUGAUUUUCUUCUUAUAUAAAAUUUAUUUUAAAAUUUAUUUGGAUACUAUUAUUUUAUGUAGUAUUUAUUUUUUAACUCUAUUUUUUGAUUUAUUUCAAACUUUCAUAUAUGUAUAUAUUAUUUAUUUUAAAUUUAUUUUAAUGUAUAAUUUAUUGAUUAUAGUUUUCCUUUUUUAGUUAUUUUAAAAAACUUGUUACAUUUUAUUUGUGUUAAUUUGCUUGGUACCUCUUUUAAGAUUAGCUUUUAGUUCAUUAGGUUUUAAAUGAUGAUGUUAAUAUUAAUAUGUGACGUAAGAUUAUUGCUCUUGUGUGUAUGAUAUUGUUUAUUUAUAUUUAUUGAUUAUUUGUCAUUCAUUAGAGUACCAUUUGGUUUCCGAAUUAUCACUUCGCGUUAUACAUUAUCAUUUCCUUGCAUUUUAUUCGUAAAAAAGAUUACGUUUAAUAUGACUUAAGUUUUAGAAUCAUUUUAUCCAACAGCCUCCAAGAUAGCGUAACACUUGGUGUUUGGGAUUUUUGAAAAGAUCAUCCCCUAACUUACGGGGUCUCGAUUUUUCGAUAAUUUCAAAUAUACGAACCCUUGUUUAAAAAAAACAACACAUUUUCUUAAAAAUUGUCUCGGGAAUCAGAAAAGGACCGUGUUCCAACUUACGGGAUGUGAUUUCUUCUCUGAAACAAAGAUGAUCAAAAUUUCUAAAGAAUAAAUAAAUUUUGGUGUUUAUUCUUGUCUCGGGAUUUAAGAUAUUGUGUCCUAACUAACGUGAUAUAAUUCUUUUUCUCAAUUAACAAGAAAUACACCCUUCUUUAAUUUUUUAAGUAAUUUUAACAAAAGGAUCAUGUUUUAAAUUUCUUUUCAAAUUUUCAAAUUUUUUGACAUUAAGACAUUAAUUAAUCGAUUAGGUACCAAUUUUGGGCAUGACAAGGGUGCUAAUCCUUCCUUGCAUGUAACUGACUCCUGAACCCGUUUUUCUUGAAUUUCGUAGACCAAAAUUAUUGUUUUAAUAAAAUUAAAAUUUUUUAUUAAAAUGAUUGAAUCGCAAGGUGAUCCGAUCACACCUAAAAAAAAUAUCGGUGACUACUCCCAUUCUUUUUUUUUUAAUUUUCAAAAUAAAAGUCGAUACUAUUUUUGUUUUCAAAAAAACGGUUUCGACACCCAACAUUAUCAUUUUAUAUCACCUACAAGUCAUAACAUAUACACCAACUAAUCUAUGUCAAUCUCAUCAUACCAUACUUAUACAUGAUAUUUACUAUUCCCUGGACAAAACACUCAAGCUCAACUUUGAGUUUAACACGCAUACCAUAUAAAGUUACCAUUCCAGAACAUCAAACAUAUCAAACAGCACACAUAGUUGUGAAACAUUACAAACAUAAAUCAUUUGCCCUAUUGUAUGCCAUAUAACCAAAUUGUUUACAAAAUCUACCAAAAGAGUCUUUAGGAUAGUGUGAUUUUUUGAGUUGAUCUGAUCUCCCCUCCACAAAAUGUAAUCUACAAUAAAAGGAACAAGACAAAAGUAAGCUUACAAAAGCUUAGUAACUUCGAUGAUUACAAGAUAAUCUUAUCGGAUUGAACAUAAAUAAACAAUGUAUGAGAUUUAAGAAAUUAAGUUCCUGUCAAUCACAGCUCACAAUAGGUGAGUAUUGCACAGUACAAUAAUUCAAAUCAUAUUCCAUAUUACUAUUAUUUCAACUUUUGGAAAACACGUAUACUUGGAUAAUUCACAUCAUCAAGAUGUCAUAUGAUAAAUGAUCAUAAACCAAAUCAUAGUUCUAACAAUAUCUCAUUUUAGGUAAUCGAAAGGGUAUCACUGGAAACACAAAAAUUUAUGUGUUUUUAUAAGCCUUUUUAACUUAAAAUCAUGCUGUUUCGGUUAAAUUCUUGUCGAAAAAUAAUUAAAUAUUAUAAAAUAAUUAAAUUAUGUUAAAAAUAUGAACAUGACGAAUUUUAAUUAAUUUUAUAGUUAAUUUUGAUUAAUUUUGACUAUUUUUGACAGAUUCGCACAAAGGGCAAAAACUAGCUCGACAGACAAUGCUCGAAGAAUAAAAUCGAGAAGCAAUUUGAAGCAUCGAGGAAAAUUUAUUUCCAGCCUAAGAUGGUCCAAAAAUGUGUCUUAAUUCAUAAUAUAAUUAAUUUUAAUUUAUUCCCAAUUUAAUUUGGGUUAAAUAAAUUAUUAUUAAUUAAUUAUGGAAAAAAUGGUCCAGUUGAACCGCAUUGGUUGAACCGAAUCUAGUGAACCGAACUAGCCACUAAUUGGGCUGCCCAUAAUUGUCCAUAUGCUGACCCAUAUUAGCAUUUUAGCUGACUAAGCAAGCUUGCAAAGAAGCCCCUGAAGAAAUUUCAACCUUGCAUUUAAACCCCUCUAAAAAAUGUGGCUUUAUGGAUUUGCCCAAGGCUAUAUUUAGGAAAGUUGAAUCUCUCAACUUUGCCAUGUGUGUGGCCGGCCAAGGGGGGUCUCUUUGGCUGAUGGAAUUUGCUAUUUUUAGCAGCCACAAUCAGCUAUAAACGCCGCCCCUUGCUGAUAAUUCAAUUUAUCCCUCACACUCUCAUUCUCUCUUCUCCUCUCUCACUUUCUUUCAACUUUUCCUUUCCAUUUCCUUUUUUGUUCAAGUGUCAAUUUCUUCUCUUCGGAAAGAUGUCCUCAUCAGCCAUUGUUGAGAAGCAAUUAAAUUAUUCAUAAGCCACCUUAAUAGCUGAGGACAACAGAGAACGAAGAACGGAGCAAUCAAUGAAGCCACGGAGAAACACUGGAUUUGCUUCUUGUUCCCUAUCUCUUUAAAUUCCGUUGUUGUUUUGACAAACAUGUUUAUGAAUAUUUAUGCUAUUGAAAUGGUUAUUUUAAUAAAUUUAGCUUGAAUUUAAUAUGUGUUGGGUUGAUUAUAUUUUGCUUGCUUGAAUUAUUGAAAUUGUGUUUGUGCUGUUAUAGACAUCGGUAAGAUGCUUGAUUAAGUAAAAUCAUGCCUAAGUUAUUCUUGCAAUAUUAAUUGUUAGAUAACUAAUGAAUUAAUUAUUAAAUCGUAUUGAAAUUGUAAUUAAUUGACACAAUACUUAAUCAGUGCAUGUUUAUUCUUCUAAGGUAGCUGAAGUUAAUUUAGCAUUGUAUUUGGCGAUACAUAUAUCUUGCAUAACUUGCAAGAUUAUUGUGAUUAAACUGUUUCAAGGUAGAAAUACUCUGUUACCUCACUUAAUCUUUUAUAUGCUUGAGAAGAUUUAUUAAUCGCUUGGAUUGACAUUGAAAAAUGUUCAAGAUAUUGAUUAAUUUAAUAAGUAUAUAUGAGCAAUAGUUAGCAAAUUACCGAGUUGUCGUGAAUUUGUUCGUACUAGUAUAAACAUAAGUUUAAUAAUUCUAAGUUAAAGGAAUGUAAUUAAUCCAACACAAUUAUAUCAUCUUGAUUAAACCUUAUUUGAAAUCGUACAUUAGAACCUUUGUUAUUUUUAAAAUUUUUUUACUUAGUUUUUAAUCAUCUCUAAACGAAAAUAUUUUCCAUCACCAAAGUGUUUUAACAUUAAUUUCAUAAAUAUUCCUUUUUACAGUCGAUGUGGGUACGAUAACUCGACAUUUACUUGUUACUUUAUUACUUGUUACGAUUGUGUACACUUGCACAUUUUCGUCGUUCCAAGUUUUUGGCGCCACUGCCGGGGACUGUUUUAAAAAAACAAGCCAUUAUUUGUGAAUCUAUUUUUACAUUUUGGAUUAUUUAUUUUCCUGUUUAAAUAUUUACUUACUUAAUCUUUCUAUGAUUAUUUCAACUGUUUAUGAGUAUUGACCAGGUUAUCGACUUACUCCCUAUGGACCCUACAAUAGAACGAACCUUUCGACAGCGAAGAAGACAAGCGAACCAGAAAAGGACCGAAGAGAUAAACUUUGAGAAUAUGAAUCAAGGAAAUGGAGUAAACCUUUCUCAGAAUCCUAUCCUUAUUGCUGAUGAUAGGGAUAGAGCUUCAUGACAGUAUGUCGUGCCAGUAUUUAAUGAUCUUAAUCCAGGUAUCUGGAGACCCGAAUCGAGGGACAACAAUUCGAGCUAAAGCCAGUCAUGUUCCAGAUGCUUCAGAUUGUGGGCCAAUUCAGUGCAAUGCCUACUGAAGAUCCUCAUCUUCACUUAAAACUAUUUAUGGAAGUGAGCAAUUCUUUCAAGUUAGCCAGAGUACUCGAAGAUGUAUUACGACUGAAGUUGUUCCUAUAUUCGCUAAGGGACAGAGCUCAUGCCUGGUUGAACUCAUUGCCAUCGAACUCCAUUUCUACAUGGCAAGAGUAGGCCGGGAGAUUCCUCAUGAAGUAUUUCCUGCCGAGGAAGAAUGCCAAGUUGAGGAAUGAGAUCACUACCUUCCAAGAAAUGGAUGACGAGUCCUUGUAUGAGGCAUGGGAAAGGUAAAAAGAGUUAUUACGAAAGUGCCCUCAUCAUGGAAUCCCACAUUGCAUUCAACUUGAGACAUUCUAUAAUGGUCUCAACACUCACACGAGGAUGGUAGUGGAUGCCUCUUCUAAUGGUGCUCUCCUUUCUAAGUCUUAUAAUGAGGCUUACAAAAUUAUUGAGAGGAUUGUCAGCAACAAUUAUCAAUGGCCAACCAAUCGAGCAGCGUCAGGAAGAUGAGUCGUUGGAAUACAUGAAGUGGACGCUCUCACUUCACUCGUAUCUCAGGUAUCUUCAAUAUCCUCAAUGCUUAAGAAUCUUACCACUAAUGGGUCUAACAGUUUUGCAGCCCAACCACCUAACCAAUUUGAGAAUAUAGCCUGUGUGUAUUGUGGAGAAGGACAUUUGUUUGAAGAAUGUCCAUCGAACCCUGAAUCCGUAUAUUACAUGGGUAAUCAGAACUAAAACCGAGGGAGGCAAGGACUGCAAUCCAACUUUUAUAACUCAUCAUGGCGAAAUCACCCGAAUUUUUCCUGGAGUAACCAAGGGGCUGGAAUCAAUAACACUUACGCCUAACCUAGACCAACUCAGCCGCCUAGUUUCCCCCAACAAGUUCAGAAACCAACCCAAGCGAAACCAUCCAAUAACUUAGAGAAUCUAUUGAAGGCAUACAUGGCGAAAAAUGACACCACUCUAAGGAAUUUGGAGAAUCAAGUGGGCCAGCUUGCUAUUGAACUCAGGAAUCGACCAUAAGGUGCUCUACCUAGUGACAUAGAGAAUUUGAGAAAUAUAAGGAAGGAACAAUGUAAAGUGUUGACAUUGAGGAGCGGAAAUACAUUAGAGCCCAACACUGUCAAAGUUGAAAAUGAGCCAACUGAUGCUCAAGAUUCAGAAGAAGUUCAACCAAGUGUUGAAAUUUCAGUUUCACCUAAACCAGAAUCUGUAAAACCUGACAAAGUAACCUUACGACCAGCUAAUUCUGAUCAACUAACAAUGUUGUUAGAUGUAGAAUUGCCGAAGACGAAUCAACCAGAAUCAGUCCUAGUAAUGAAACCACCACCACCCUACCCUAAAAGACAUCAGAAACAGAAGCAGGAGAUUCAAUUCAAGAAGUUCCUUGACGUACUCAAGCAACUUCACAUCAACAUCCCGUUGGUUGAAGCACUUGAGUAAAUAUUGAACUACAUUAAGUUCAUGAAAGAUAUCUUGUCUAAGAAACGAAGACUUGGAAAAUUUGAGAUGGUAGCUCUGACGAAGGAAUGCAGUGCAUAUCUUCAAGACAAACUACCUCCAAAAUUGAAGGGUCCUAUAUGUUUUACCAUACCGUGCAACAUUGGAGCAACAUAUUGUAGUAAAGCAUUAUGUGACUUAGGUGCAAGAUCAACUUGAUGCCUAUGUCAAUAUUUAGGAAGUUGGGGAUAGAAGAAGUUAGACCAACUAUAGUUAUGCUUUAACUAGCAGAUCGAUCCUUAGCACAUCCAAAAGGAAAAAUUGAAGAUGUAUCGGUACGUGUAGAUAAGUUUAUCUUUCCUACUGACUUUGUAAUUCUAGAUUUUGAAGCAAACAAAGAAGUACCGAUCAUCCUAGGAAGGCCAUUCCUAGCAACUGGAAUGACCCUUAUUGAUGUGCAGAAGGGCGAGCUCACUAUGCGUGUUCAGGAUGAUCAGGUAACAUUUAACGUCUUUAAGUCUAUGUGAUAUCCUGACACAAUGGAUGAUUGCUCUGCAGUGUCCAAUUUAGAGGAUUUAAUAGUGGAGAAGGAACUCAACUGAGGACCCACUAGAAAGAAUUUUGACAUCGGAUCCUCUAAAUGAUGAAGAGGAGGAUGAAUACUUAGCUUUGCUAGAAGCUAAUCAAAGGGGAUUUAAUCCGCAAUCCCGGUUUGAAUCUUUGUAGUUAGAAAAGAGGGACUAUUGCCAACCAAAAGCGUCGAUCGAGGAGCCACCUAAAUUAGAACUCAAGGUAUUACCUUCACAUUUAAAAUACGUUUAUUUAGGUAACACUUCUACUCUGCCUGUGAUUGUUUCAGCAGAAUUGACCACUAAUCAAGAAGAGAAACUUAUCUUAGUUUUGAAAAAAUUCAAGAAUGUCAUUGGAUGGACCAUAGCAUAUAUUCGUGGUAUUAGUCUAUCUGUAUGCAUGCACAAGAUUAUCCUAGAAGAUGGCAAAAAAGGGACGAUCGAUGGACAACGGAGACUGAACCCCAUCAUGAAGGACGUAGUAAAAAAGAGAUCAUCAAGUGGUUAGAUGCGAGUAUCAUCUAUCUCAUCUCAGACAGUUUAUGGGUAAGCCCGGUCCAGUGCGUGCCAAAAAAAUGAGGUAUCACGGUCGUAGAAAACGAGAACAACGAGUUGAUACCUACUAGCAUGGUUACGGGAUGGAGAAUCUGCAUCGAUUACCGGAAGCUGAACAAGGCGACUAGGAAAGAUCACUUUCCUUUGCCGUUCUUGGACCAGAUGCUAGAUAGACUUGUAGGACGAGAUUACUACUAUUUUUUGCCUGGAGAACUGAAGUAAAAUGAAAUUAGAUACAUGGGAUUGAUUUACUCACACAAAUUGUAAUAUUUGAAUUUUCUCACUCGAGCUAUGGUAUUUAGGCUGCUCACAUAAGCUGUAGGUCAAGUUUACUUCUGCAACUUUAUUCGAAGCUGCUCACUCAAGUAGUCGAGAAUCCGCAUGCCAUUCGUAUUCAAAUCGUUUACUAAGUUCAUACAGGUACCAUUACAGUUUCUGUACCAUUUCAAACUUGUAAUUGUAUACACACUUUUCAUAUUUUUUUGAAUAGCAAUCUAUAUACAUUUUAAACCUUGUAACAUCAUCACAUACAUACUAUUCAAUUACAUAAUUGUUCACAUCUAUUCAAUACCAUGUACUUAAUCAAAUUUAUCAUUUAAUUCGUAUUUUAUGGUUUGGCCCAUUUGAUACCAAAAACAUCAUAUUCACAACAAUUCAACUUGAAAAAUAAACAAUAUAACACAAACAUAUUAUGAAUUAAUAAAUUAAGUCCCGUAUGAACUUACCUGGAAAAACAACAAGCAAACAAGACGUCGUAGACUAAUCCACAAUUUUUUCUUUUCUCCAAUUAUCUUCUACUUGAUUUAAUUCCCGAUAUAUAUGAUAAUUCAUUUCAAUUUAUCAAUUCCAAACCUCUUAUAACAGUCUAUUUUAAGCAUAUAUUAACUUAAUUUUAUUUUUUUAAUGUUUCUAAUAGUUUUUUAUUUUAUUCAAUUUAGUCCCUAAAACUGAAAUAAACAUAACUUCCACAUUUAAGCUAUGUUUUUCAAUCCAAUUUCAAUUUCAUCCUUCUAUAACCUUAUUUUAUCUAUAUUUAUAAAAAUUUCAUGUCAAUUUUUAAAUAUUUACACAUUAGUCCCUACAUUCAAAACUAACAAUUUUCACUUUACAAAGUCAUUAUUUUUCAUAUCUAAGCUUAAAAUCUAACUAUUUAACACUAAAGUUUCAAGCAUUAAUCAAUGGAAUCAUUUAUAAACUUUAACAAUUUCAAAAAGUUAACAAACGAGUUAGCUAAACAAGCUCAUAAGACUUCAAAAACAUAAAAUUACAUGAAAAUGACUAAAUUGAGCUCACCAAUUGAGGGACUUAAGCUUGGGACUCCAAGGUUGAAUUCUUUCUCCUCAAAAAUGCACUUUUUGGUGGAGAAGAUGAAAUGAGAAAAAAAGUUUUCUCAUUCCACCUAGUUUAAUCUUUUACUAGUUUUCUUUAUUUUACUUAUUUUCAUAUUUUAAUUUUAAUUUUAAUAUAAUUUCUAUAAAAAUCAUGCUAAUUACAUAUAUUAACCGUCCACCACAUUAGAAAAUUAUCUAUUUACCAUUUCAACCUUCAUUUAAUUACUAAUUAAGUCUUUUAGUAACUAGAAAUCUAUAGCAAAUAAUUUUUACUAUUUUUACGAUUUAGCCCUUAUACCUUAAUCAGUCACUAAUUCGACAAAACUACCUAUCCAAAAUUCAAUUUACCUAUAUAAUCAAUUCAUAAAUAUUUAAUAAAAAUAUUACGGGUUCAAUUUUAUAAAAAUGAGGUCCCGAUAUCUUAAUUUUUGACACCACGAACUUUAGGGUCAUUACACUUGUACCUUACUCAACUAUCCAUUCAAUAAAAUUACAGGACCAAAAAUCAAUUUAACACUAUAAUAGACUUAUAAAUAUUAAUUAAUAAUAUUUACUGACUUAAUCAUCAAAAAACAGGAUUCCCAAACCAUCGUUUUUUAUACCACUAAAAAAUGGGUUGUUACACCAUUUCAUUCAUGCCACAUUUUAAUGUUACUAAUGGAUUCAUUUAAGUUAAUUGACUUAUAUAGCUCAAUAUACAUUUUUAAGGUUUGUUAGCCUAUCGCAUUAUGAAAUUCAAGUUUAAAACUAUCAUGAAUGAUUCAUAUAGCGUUUAACCCAACACAGGUUCUUUUAAAGCAUAGUUCCUAACAUUUUCAUACAUAUAUGUGGACAUACAUACAUACAUAAAUUUCAUUUCCAUUUAUUUUACUAAGGCAUGCAAGAUUCUAAAUUGCCAUAAUAUUAAUAGAAACAAAUUUACCCAUAUCAAUUUCUUUAUAGCUUACUUAGAUCACCACCAUAUAACCAUAUUUUUCCAUUCCACUAUUAAUUCUUAUCAUAUCUUCGAUUGACGCCCGCUGUACUAACAAUAAAAAAAUAAACAUACACUACUGGAAAUCCAUAUGCACCAAAGAGCACCGAGGUCCUAUGGUCGAAGGCGACAUAAAGCUCCAUAUAUCAUAAGGGCCUUCGAAGAGGUAACAUGAGUUGAAUGGUCAAAAAAAAUACUCGACCAAAGGUAACACAACAAAACUCCAAGAACAUAUCACAUAAAUCCAAAGCCCACAUAUCUCCAGUAAAAAACUCCAAUGAAACAUAAACAUGAGACUCUAAUUGGCAUGCUAACCGUAUCCUAACCUUUCUACCAAGCUUACAAAGACUUAAAUGUUCAUAACAAUGGUUUAUGGUUCAUUACACCCAUAACAUUCCCUAAAAAGUGUCAUAUUGAUUUAAUUUCAUAAUAGAAGGUUCUUAGACCUCACAUGUUCAAUAUCUUUUUUCACAUAGUCCUUGUCAUCUUUCCAUUUUUAUAUCAUAGCAUAACAAAAAUUAUGAUUUUUGUGAUAGAUUAUAAUUAUAUAUACUUUGCUGUGUUUAAUUCCCUUAUAUUCUAGUUAUAUUGAGUGCUUAAUUGUGGAAAUUGUGUUUAUUUUGAUGUAGGAGCUGCAAAUAUUAAACUUAAUUACUAAAUUGCUAAAUUUUAGUUAAAUCGGUGUAUCAAGGGAAUUUUAAACUUAAUAGUGGACUUGUGACGUGAGCCAAUUUGGUAGCUAUCAACUUUAUGGACCUAAUUAAGGAGGUCUGAAUUUGGGAAGGACUAAGAUGGUAAUUAUGAAAAUUUGAAUUUGAAUUUCACUCAAACGUUAUAUGCGACAAACUUGUUUUGUUUCGUUAGGAUUACUUUACUAUUAUUAGGUUUAUUUUUAGUAUAUAUAUGUAUGUUGAGGGAGUAGUCGAGGGAGGAAAAAAACAAUUAGUUUUUAUUUCUUUUUCUUUUCAAAUUGAAUUGUCAUAAAUGAAUUAUAUAAGUGCCAAGGAGUUGACUUAUGUGUGUUGUUGUGGCUUCCUCAAUUUCAUAGCCUGCAUGAUAGACUCUAGGGAAAUAAAAGUACAAGAUUAAUUUUAUUGUAGCUAUCUGAAUUAAGUGAUUUUGGUUUGUCCUCAUGAUUCUUAAUGCUAUCAUUGAGUUUAAUAUGGAAUGCUAUUGUGCCCAGCUAUUUAAUGGUACGCUUUAAUUUAAAUGCUUGGUUUGAAUAAAUUAUAUCAGGAGAAUUAUUCUUUUUGUGACUUUUUCGAAUAUGUAGACUAAGCAUUUGGGUAUGAGAAAUUGAUUUUUAAGUCUAUGAUCAGAAUUACAAUUGGAUGGAACUUACACCUCUGGAUUGGAAGUUUGCUAAGAAUUGAUUUUCAUUAUUUUUAAUAUUCAACUUUUAAUUAACUUAUUUUUUAUCUUUAAUUAUUAGUUCAAUAACUCAAACACUACAGGAAAAUAGACUUUUAGCGGCAUUUUUAGCGGCAUUUAGACCAAAAACGUCGCAAAAGUUGUACGUUAGUGGUGCAAGCGAACAAACGCCGCAAAAGGAUAGAGCUAUAGUGGUGUUUGUGUUAAAAAUGCCGCAAAAGAUCAGCAUUAGCAGUGUUUAUGAGAGAAACGCCGCAAUAGUUCAAGCAUUAGCGGCGCUUUUCCAAAAACGCCGUAAAAAUGUUAAUCAAAACGCAUCGUUCUAUCUUGAGCCUAGUGGCAUUAGUGGUGCUUAUGCAAAAACACCGUUAUAGGUCGAGCAUUAGCGGCGCUUUUCUAAAAAUGCCGCAAAAAAUGUUAAUCAAAAUGCAUUGUUCUAUCUUGAGCUUAGUGGAAUUAGCGACUUUUAUGCAAAAUGCCGCUAUAGGUCAAGAAUUAGCGGCGGUUUUCUAAAAAUGCCGCAAAAAAUGUUAAUCAAAGCACAUUGUUCUAUCUUGAGCUUAAUGGCAUUAGCGGUGGUGCUUAUGCAAAAACGCCACUAUAGAUCGAGAUUUAGCGGCGCUUUUAUAAAAACAUCGCAAAAAAUGUUGAUCAAAACGCACCGUUCUAUCUUGAGCUUAGUGGUAUUAGCGGCGCUUAUGCAAAAGCGCUGCUAUAUAUAUGUCGAGAAUUAACGGUGUUUUGCAAAAAACGCCACAAAAUGUUGAGCAAAAUGACUUCGUUUUGUGGAGCUUUAGUGGCGUUUUAGAUAAAAACACCGCAAUAAAAUUAUUUUAUUUUAGGCUUUAGGAUUUAGAAUUUAAGAUUUAAUGCCUAUGGUUUAGAUUUUUAGGGUUUAUGGUAUAAUGUUUAUUAUUUUGGGUUAAGGGUUUAUGUUUUAGAGUUUGGGUUAGGGGUUUAAGGUUUAAGGAUACUAUUUGAAAACUGAAGAAUAACAUUUGGAUUUUAAUUACUGGGAUUCAUGCCAUUUUGUACUACACCUAUAUUAUUUAAUAUAAGAAUAUAAAAUAUAUGUUUUGUACUACACUAACAUUGGCCACACGAAUUCCCAAAGAUAUGGUUUAGGAUUAUGAUUUAGGGUUUAUGGUUUAGAGUUUAGGGUUUGGGUUUUAUAAUUUAAGAUUUAUGGUUUAAGGGUUUAGAGAAUAUUGGGGAUUGGAUUUUGGGGUUUAGUGGUUGGUGUUUGUGGUUUAUGGGUUUAAGGUUUAUAUAUGGUAUAUUGGGGUUUGGAUUUUGGGGUUUGGUGGUCUAUGGGUUUAAUGUUUAGGGUUUAGGGUUUAAUCUUGGAUUAUUUAGAAUAUAAAUCUAAAUAAUAUAAAUAUAAAUUAUUAUUUAAAAAAUAUAUAUAUCAAAAUGGGUUAAAUCCCAAAAGCAUACAUGAACAAUGGUUUAAUGUUCAAUUGUAUACGUGAACUUUUAAUUAAUUUGAUGGAGAUCUUGUAAAAUAUUAACACAAUUAUUGAUAUAAAUAACAUCAUUUUUUAUUUAUAUAUUGCAUACAUAAAUAUUUAUAUUUAUUCAAUAUAAAAAUAUAUUGAUGUAUUUAUUUUUUAAAAUGUGUAUUUAUUUUUUAAAAAUGCAUUAUUCUCCUUUUUUAUUAGUUAAUAUUUUCUCUUGUAGAUAUAAUUUAAAAUAAAUUACAAAAUUUUUAAAUUUUGUUGAAUUUUUAAAUAUUUAUUGGUAUGAAAGGCAUUAGCAAUGUUUAUGUAAAAAAGGCCGCAAAAAGCAAUUUCAUGUUAAUAUAAAAUGGCGUCGUUUUUUUGUGGUGAUUGUAGUAGCAAUGGCGGCGCUUUACCAGAAACGCCGCAAUAGGUGAUGUAUUACCGGCGUUUUUUUGUAGAAACGCUGCAAAUAUUCUUUAAGUGUUAGCAAAACGGCACUAUUUUGUGCUUUGCUUUUAGUGGCGCUUUUAAAAAACACCGCAAAUAUGUAUUAGGAGUUCAAGAAACGGCACCGUUUUCUAUUGUUAUUACCGGCGCUUUUCUUAAAACGCCGCAAAUAUGUUUUAAGAUAUCUUAAAACGUCACCGUUUUGUCCAUGUUAUUAGUGGCGUUUUAGAUGAAAAUGCCACAAAUUUGAGUUAAUUGUUUAGAAACGACUGCGUUUUGUAUUUAUAGUUAGUGGCGUUUUGUUUAUAAACGCAGCAAAUGGUUUAAUUUUUAUACGAAAACGGCGUCGUUUUUUUUCCAUCCAUAUUAUCCAAACUUAAACCCGAAAUCCCCAAAUUUUCCCCAUUUCCCCCAAUUCCAAAUUUCCCCAAAUCCCUAACAUUUCCCCUAACCCUUUCAUUUUCCCCGUCAAAAAAUCAAGCAUUCCAUCUGCCGUUGAAGAUUCCAAGCCGACCACCUGCUGCGUUGCCGUCUCCUCUACUGCAUCUCCAUCACCGUCGGUCUCUGCUGCCGCAACCAUAGGUAAAUUGAUGAUAGGCCUUUAAAAUUUUUUUUUGACUGCUAUGAAAUUUGCCUGUACUGCUUGGUAGAAAACACUUGAUUGAAAAGUAUUAGAUUUAUUAUUUGGUUUCAAUCUCCCCCAAGGAAAUUAAAACAACAAAGCUACAGAUGCAAACACUGACUUAUUGAUAAACAAAGCUACAGGAAAUUCCUGUUCAUUGAUCCUCUACUUUUAACCUUUUUUUUUUACAGAAUAUAAUAUACCUAAAUAUGAAGUUCUUUUUUUGUUGGUAAUUACAAAUUUUUUAUCAAAUCUGAUUAUUUUAUUGAGAAAUUAUAUAUCUUUUGAAUUGUUUUUGUUGUUGUAUAAAUAUUAUUAUUUUGUCAUAUUAAAAAUUCACCAUAAUCUAAUAUAUGUCUUUAAUAAGAUGAAUAAAAAUAAGACUCCUCUGUACAGGUGAAAAUGUUUGAUAAAUUUUUUGAAAUUGGGUCCGUGGCAGGGAGAUCUAAAGUUGGCGAUGAAUAUAAAAUCUAUGCGGUGGAUCUACGAACAUUGCAAUGUGGGUUCUUUUUCAAAGCAAAGUGGGCAAUCUUUAAUUUAUUUCUCAUGCAUACACGCCCAUAGCCUGCCUACAAACAAACAUGUUACAUGCAUGCCCUAGUUAUCAUAUAUCGUUAGAGAGGGACAGUGACCCUCAUUCAACGAUAGCACCCAUUUUUAAACCAUCUCCUUCCUAUUUUUUCUUUCAUCCAUUGACACAUGUUAAGUAAAUCAGCCUAGUUUAAUCAACAUAGGGCUGAAGUCCAAAUAACAUUUGAUUCUCCAGCCAAAUAACAUUUAAUUGAUACUUUUUAUGCAGGAUUUUGAUAGUAUGAACUGAUAGAUCACUUGGAAUUUCAGCUCGUUCGUAUUAGUCAUAAUGAAGUGAAGGAGGAAAGCCAGUAUAGCUAAUCUUGUCCAGAAUUUGCAAGGUCGAAUCUAUGAUCUAUUUUUAAAUUACCUAAUUCAAUUAAAUUGUAUUUAAAGUUUUAUUUUAAAUCUUCUAUUUUAUUUUAUUACUGUACAUUUUGAAGUUGUGCAUUUUAUUCAAUUACAAGCAAUCAUUUAGUUGCACUAUUUGAGCUUGUUAAUUUGCAAUAAUUUGUAUUUAAAGUUAUAUUUUAAAUAUUUUAUUUAAUUUUAAUGACGGAAAUUUUUUUCAAAUAUUUUAAUUUAUUUUAAAGUUCAAAUUUACUACAUAAUUUAAAGUUCAAAUUUCAUAACUUACAUAAAUUACAUAACUUACAUAAUUUAAAGAUCAAAUUUCAUAACUUACAUAAUUUACAUAACUUACAUAAUUUAGAGAUCAAAUUUCAUAACUAUUUAUGAACGAAGAUAUUACGAUUAUGAAGAUAUUUAUGAAUUAUGAAGUAGUAAGAUUUUACGAUUUUUUAAAUAUAUGUAAUAUUAUAAUUUUAAUAUUGCUCAUGUUAUAUAAUUUAACUAUUUUGCAUGUACUAUUAUUGUUGUUAUUUGUUACUAAAAUUUCAACUAUUUUAUGUGUAUUGCAGGAAAAAUGAGUAGAAGAAGAUUACGAAAUUUAAGUAUUGUCCAGGAUACUCCAAAUUCGGAAUAAGGAAAUAGUGAACAGCAGACAGCUAUUGGAUCUUCGAAUGUGCCGGAGACACUUGACGAGCCUGCAGAAUUUCAAAGUAAUGUUAAGUUUAUUUUACAUGUGUGUUGACUUUUAUUAUUGCUCGUAUUUCUCAAUUUCAAUAUAAUAAUAUAUUAUUUUCCAGCUAAAAGUGGUGGGACGCGUAGAGGUUGAGGACGUACGCUACUUAAAGAUUUAUACGGAUUAAAUCCUGUCGAGCAUGUCAAAGUAAGAAGAAACAGUCAUGGUCAGCCUGUUGGAUUAGAAGCUCGAAUUUUAGCAGGCUAUUUGGGCAUUAUAGCAUGAAAUGCCAAUAUGUUGCCCAUCAACUACGAAUCAUGGCAUCACAUGCCUGAUAGCAACAAAAAUCAAGCUCUCGAUAAUAUUAAGGUAACAAAAUGUGAAUGUAAUUUAUAAUACUUUGGUUUAAGUUUCAUUUAUAUUUACUUUCUAAACUUUUGUUUAUUAGGAGAGAUUUGCUUUAUAGGUCUCGGAUGCCUAUAUCAAGAAGGCAUUGGGUAAAAAAUGGAGAGACCAUAAGAGCACUUUGAAAAAAGAAUAUUUUAAGAAAGACAUAAGCCUAGAAGAAAAAUUGCGAAAUGUCCCGCCGAGAAGGCUGAGGUACCAAUGGGAAGAUGCAGUUAGAUUAUGGAAUUCAAAGAAAUGACAGGUAUUACGUACUUCCAAACUCUUAUAAACUUUUCGGUUUAUAGUAUUUACUAUAUACGUAAUAAUAAUUUUAUUAUGUAGGACCGUGAGUGAGUUGGAACAAGUAGCAGGCAAAAACAAAAAUUCACGCAUAUGGCAAGGUCGAGAAGUUUUGCUUGUGUAGUUGAGGCCGAGGUAUUAUGAAUUUAUUAAUUCUGUCAAAUAUUAAUCACUUUCUACUAUUAAAUUAUAUUUUUACUACUAUAUUGUAGGAAGUCUUGUCUGGUCAAAAAGUUGGACACCUUCAGCUUUUUGACAUUACGCAUAGGAAGAAAGAUAGAUCUCCGAUGACAUCCGAAGCUGGAGAAAUUAUGGUAUAUUUACUUAAUAAAAUUUGAUUUAUUGUAAAUAUUUAUAAUGUUUAAUUAUAAUGGUUUAAUUCUUCGUUAGUAGUUUUAAAUAAUGUUAAGUUAUGUUGCAUUCCUUUUUAUAAUAUAUUUCGUUUCUAACUCUUUAAUUGAUUUAUUAGGAGAAACUAAAAGAUAAGAAGGCGGAGUAUGAAGUGAUUGCUUCAACUAAUAGUUCUGUUAAUUUUGAGGACAUCGAUAACAUAAUUAUUAAUGAAGUUUUGGGUCCUGAAAGGUAUGGUCAAGUUUGAUUUCAAGGAUCUAGUGUUACCCUGACCCAAUAUUUUGGAUCUAGCUCGUAGCAAUACAUGCCUUCCGGGAGUCAAGCUCAAGUUGAAGUUCAGAGGUUAAUAGAGCAGAUAACCCAGAUGCAAGCUAGCACAGUUGAGGAAAAUUCUCAACUUAGAGUGGAGGCAGUAGCGAGGGAAGCAGAGCAAAACAGAAAGUACGAUGAACUCCAGCAACAGCUUCAGACUAUGAUGAAGAUGUUCCAGCAGUCGCAAAUGCCGCCAUCUUAGACAUUUGUUUUCUUCUAACUUUUAACAUUAUUGUAAGAAUAUUUUGAAUUAUAUUUCAAUUAUAAUUUAUAUCAUAUAUCUUUCAUAUAAUUUUCUAUCAUCUAGAUUUGUUGUUUUUGGUUGGAUUUUCGCAAAAAUAUUUGCUGUUUCUGGUUGGAUUUCAUACAGGAAGAGUUGGAUAUUGAUGAAAAAUGUAUACUGCAAAUUUGUCCAAAUUAGUGGCGUUUGUAAAAAAAAGCGCCGCUAAAGACCACGAACUAUAGCGGCAUUUUCAAAAAAUGCGUCGCAAAGUGCCAUGACUUAUAGCGGCGCUUUAUAAAAAAGUGCUGCUAAAGAUCUUGAAUUUUCGCGGCAUUUUCUACAAAAGCGCCGCUAAAGGCAAUUACUUAUAGCGGCGUUUUAUAAAUUAGCGCAGCUAAAGGCCAAGACCUUUAGCGGCAUUUUCUAUAAAAGCGCCACUAAAAGUCAUGAUCAAAUUUUAGCGGUAUUGCCGCUAAAGGAAAAAAACGUCGCUAAAUGUUUGUUUUCCUGUAGUGAAAAUCUCUCUCUUUUUAUUUUUAUUGUCUAAACUUUGAAACUAAUAAAUUUAGCUCUAUUGGGAUUUGACCUGAUUACACUAUUUCUACAAGUUAGAUUAGGAGGAAAUGAGUUAGAAAAACACAUUAUUACCUUAUUGAGCUUUCUCUUUCUAGUUUCCAUUUUCUCUCUAAAAAAACCAUAAAACCCUUAGCUUGAAUGGUGAAGUUGAUGGAGGAAAUGAGUUUAAAAGUUGAUUCUCCACUUGAUUUUUGUAAAAAAAAUCGAAGUUUGGGAUUGAAAUAUGACAUAAAUUAAAGAUAAAUAAAAAGGAGACCAAUAAAGGUGUCCAUGGGUUGAGUUGACCUGAGGCCCGAUUAAAAAAAAAUUCAAACCCAGACUAACCUAAAAAACUAAUUUUACUAUUAAAAAUUUAAUAAAAUAUUUAAAAUAUAUAUUUUUAUAAUUAAAUUUAAAUUAAAAAAUAUUUUUUUAUUAUUUAAAUUAAAUUUGAAUCUAACUCGAAAUACAAAAAUUCUUGUCUAAACUCAAACCAAACCAGGUAAAGCCUACUGAGUAAGGCUAACUACAUGAUUUUUGGACAGAUCUAGUGAACAAAAUCUCCUUCCCCCGUAAUGGCCAUCUAGUUUGGGGAUGGGGUUUUGCUUUUUGCCCCCUUCCCUCUAUUAUAAACAUAUAUUUAUUAGUUCAAUGGUAGGGACCAUGCCCCUUCAAUCUCAUAUAUAUAUAUAUUAGUUCUCAAUGGUAGGGAUCUACUUCUACUGGUUUAAAACUUAAGUAGUUUCACAUCUUUCCGUAACUUUUUAUACAAAUAAUAUUUUAGCUAUCUAACAAUUGAAUUUAUCAUGAUAUUUGUACUUUUCAUACAUGUAAUUUGUUAAAUUGAUUCGAUAACUGUAUCACAGCUCCACAAAAUGUAAUCUACAAGAAAAGGAACAAGACACAAGUAAGCUUACAGAAGCUUAGUAACUUCGAUGAUUACAAGAUAAUCUUAUCGGAUUGAACAUAAAUAAACAAUGUAUGAGAUUUAAGAAAUUAAGUUCCUGUCAAUCACAGCUCACAACAGGUGAGUAAUGCAUAGUACAAUAAUUCGAAUCAUAUUCCAUAUUAUUAUUUCAACUUUCUGAAAACACUUAUACUUGGAUAAUUCACAUCAUCAAGAAGCCAUAUGAUAAAUGAUCAUAAACCAAGUCAUAGUUCUAACAAUAUCUCAUUUCAGGUAAUCAGAAGGGUAUCACUCAUUCGAGUUAACAUUUAUAACUUUAACCGACUCACGAUGCUGCUUACACAAACUGUAGAGAAUCCGCAACACAUGUAGGAUCUCAAGCCAUCACUACGGUCUAUAUCAUGGGUACAUAGUACCUGCUAAAUAAUCACCAGCCCACAACCUACUAUUUACGUACACCACGUACUUAUCAUACUCAUUUAUUAUUUAUUCUUUAAGCAUUCAAUGGAUAAUUACAACAUUAUAUCAAAUUCUAAUAAAACAUGUAGUAUGUAAGAAAUCAUUAUAAACAUAAAAAUAAUAGCACGAACUUACUGGACUGAUUUGCUGCAGCAGCCAAAGUAUAGGGACUACUUAGCUGCUUUGUCCUUUCCAUGGUUAUCAACAUGUUCCUAAUCUAAAAUAAUAAUUCCAUUCAAUUAACCAACACCAACAACAAAAUUAACUUAUCAUUUUUGACAUUUUUACGAAAUUACCCCAAACAUUUUACUUUUAUGUAAUUUAGUCUCUAAGCUCAAAACAUGCAAUUUAACCAUAUGAAAGUUAACUUACCUUGGCAUUACAAUAAUUUAGGAAUCAAAAUACAUUGGUACAAACAUAACAAUCCUUUGACAUCUUACACAUUCAUUUACUUUCACAAAUACAUCAAAUAGGUUAGUUUGAUUACGAGCCAUAAGCUUAAAACAAAUUCACAUAGUGAAAUAACAAUUCAUCUUAUCACAUGUACUAACCAAAUCAUAUUCAACUUGCAACACAUAAUUUCAUUCAUAUACAUAUAUAUUCAUUCCAAACAUAUUGAUUCCAUUUAGUACCAUUUUCAUUUCUGUUUUUUGCCUGGAGAACUAAAGUAACAUGAAAUCAGAUACAUGGGAUUCAUUUGCUCACACAAGUUGUAAUAUUCAAAUUUUCUCUCAGAGCUGUGAUAUUUGAAUUUGCUCACACAAGCUGUGAUAUUUAGGCCACUCACAUAAGCUGUAGGUUAGGUUUACUUUUGCAACUUUAUUCGAGGCUGCUCACUCAAGCUAUCGAGAAUCCGCAACACAUGUUGGAUCUCAACCAUCAAUAAAGAAGCCCCUAACCAAUGUCUGAUUUCAUUUUGAACCUUAACAACAUGCCAUUCAUAUUCACAUCGUUUACUAAGUUCAUACAAGUAACAUUAUAGUUUCUGUAUCAUUUCAAACUUGUAAUUGUAUACACACUUUUCAUAUUUUUUUGAAUAGCAAUCUAUAUACCUUUUAAACCUUGUAACAUCAUCACAUACAUACUAUUCAAUUACACAAUUGUUCAUAUCUAUUCAAUACCAUGUACUUAAUGAAAUUUAUCAUUUAAUUCGUAUUUUAUGGUUUGGUCCAUUUGAUACCAAAAACAUCAUAUUCAUAACAAUUCAACUAGAAAAACAAUAUAACACAAACAUAUUAUGAAUUAAUAAAGUAAGUCCCGUAUGAACUUACCUAGAAAAACAACAAGCAAACAAGACGUCGUGGACUAAUCCACAAUUUUGUCUUUUCUCCAAUUAUCUUCUAAUUGAUUUAAUUCUCAAUAUAUAUGAUAAUUCAUUCCAAUUUAUCAAUUCCAAACAUCUUAUAACAUCCUAUUUAAAGCAUAUUAACUCAAUUUUAUUUUUUGAAUGGUUCCUAUAGUUUUUUAUUCAAUUUAGUCCCUAAAAUUGAAAUAAACAUAAAUUUCACAUUUAAGCUAUGUUUUUCAAUACAAUUUCAAUUUCAUCCUUCUAUAACCCUAUUUUAUCUAUAUUUACAAAAAUUUCAUGUCAAUUUUGAAAUACUUACACUUUAGUCCCUAUGUUCAAAACAAACAAUUUUCACUUUACAAAGUCAUUAUAUCUAUGCUUAAAAUCUAACUAUUUAACACUAAAGUUUCAAGAAUCAAUCAAUGGCAUCAUUUAUAAACUUUAACAGUUUCAAAAAAUUUAACACAUGAGUUAGCUAAACAAGCUCAUGAGACUUCUAAAACAUAAAAUUACAAGAAAAUGACUAAAUUGAGCUCACCAAUUGAGGGACUUAAGCUUGGGACUCCGUGGUCAAAUUCCUUCUCCUCAAUAAUGGAGUUUUCGGUGGAGAAGAUGAAAUGAGAAAAAAAAUGUUUUCUCUUUCCACCUAGUUUUAUCUUUUGUUAGUUUUCUUUAUUUUACUUAUUUUCAUAUUUUAAUUUUAAUUUUAAUUUUAAUAUAAUUUCUAUAAAAAUCAUGCUAAUUACAUAUAUUAACCGUCCACCACAUUAGAAAAUUAUCUAUUUACCAUUUUAACCUCGAUUUAAUUACUAAUUAAGUCUUUUAGUAAUUAUAAAUCUAUAGCAAUUAAUUUUUACUAUUUUUAUGAUUCAGUCCUUAUACCUUAAUUAGUCACUAAUUUGACAAAACUACCUAUCCAAAAUUCAAUUUACCUAUUUAAUCACUUCAUAAAUAUUUAAUAAAAAUAUUACGAGUUUAGUUUUACGAAAAUGAGGUCUCAAUAUCUCAUUUUUUGACACCACUAACUUUAGGGUCAUUAAACUUGUACCUUACUCAACUAUCCCUUCAAUAAAAUUAUAGGACCAAAAAUCAAUUUCACACUAUAAUAGACUCAUAAAUAUUAAUUAAUAAUAUUUACUGACUUAAUCAUCAAAAAACAGGAUUCCCAAACCAUCGUUUUUUAUACCACUAAAAAAUGGGUUGUUACACCAUUUCAUUCAUGCCACAUUUUAAUGUUACUAAUGGAUUCAUUUAAGUUAAUUGACUUAUAUAGCUCAAUAUACAUUUUCAAGGUUUGUUAGCCUAUCACAUUAUGAAAUUCAAGUUUAAAACUAUCAUGAAUGAUUCGUAUAGCGUUUAACCCAACACAGGUUCUUUUAAAGCAUAGUUCCUAACAUUUUCAUACAUAUAUGUGGACAUACAUACAUACAUAAAUUUCAUUUCCAUUUAUUUUACUAAGGCAUGCAAGAUUCUAAAUUGCCAUAAUAUUAAUAGAAACAAAUUUACCCAUAUCAAUUUCUUUAUAGCUUACUUAGAUCAUCACCAUAUAACCAUAUUUUUCCAUUCCAUUAUUAAUUCUUAUCAUAUCUUCGAUUGACGCCCGCUGUAAUCCUAAUAAAACAACAAACAUACACUACUGGAAAUCCAUAUGCACCAAAGAGCACCGAGGUGCUAUGCUCGAAGGCAACAUAUAACUCCAUAAAUCGGAAGGGCCUUCGAAGAGGUAACAUGAAUUGAAUGGUAAAAAAAAAAUGCUCGAAGAAGGGUAACACAACAGAAUUCCAAGAACAUAUCACAUAAAACCAAAGCCCACAUAUCUCCAGUACAAAAUCCAAUGAAACAUAAACAUGAGACCCUAAUUGGCAUGUUAACCGUAUCCUAACCUUUCUACUAAGCUUACAAAGACUUAAAUGUUCAUAACAAUUGUUUAUGGUUCAUUACACCCAUAACAUUCCCUAAAAAGUGUCAUAUUGAUUCAAUUUCAUAAUAGAAGGUUCUUAGACCUCACAUGUUCAAUAUCUUUUUUCACAUAGUCAUUGUCAUCUUUCCAUUUUUAUAUCAUAGCAUAACAAAAAUUAUGAUUUUUGUGAUAGAUUAUAAUUAUAUAUACUUUGUUGUGUUUAAUUCCCUUAUAUUCUAGUUAUAUUGAGUGCUUAAUUGUGGAAAUUGUGUUUAUUUUGAUGUAGGAGCUGCAAAUAUUGAACUUAAAUGCUAAAUUGCCAAAUUUUAGUUAAAUCGAUGCAUCAAGGGAAUUUUAAACUUAAUUGUAGACUUGUGAUGUGAGCCAAUUUGGGAGCUAUCAGCUUGAUGGACUUAAUUAAGGAGGUCUGAAUUUGGAAAAGGACUGCCAAUUUGAAUUUGAAUUUCAUUAAAUGUGACAGACUUGUUUUGUUUCGUCAGGAUUGCUUUACUGUUAUUAGGUUUAUUUUUAGUAUACAUAUGUAUGUUGAGGGAGUAGUCGAGGGAGGAAAAAAACGAUUAGUUUUUAUUUCUUUUUCUUUUCACAUUGAAUUGUACGUGAUAAAUGAUUUAUAUGAGUACCAAGCAGUUUACUUAUGUGUGUUGUUGUGGCUUUCUCAAUUUCAUAGCUUGCAUGAUAGACUCUAGGGAAAUAAAAGUACAAUAUUAAUUUAAUUGUACCUAUCUCAAUUAAGUGAUUUUGGUGUAAAACUUAGGUGGUUUUACACUUUUGCGUAACUUUUUAUACAAAUAAUAUUUUAACAAUCUAAUAAUUGAAUUUAUCAUGAUAUUUGUACUUGUUAUACAUGUAAUUUGCUAAAUUGAUUCUAUAACUCUAUCAUAUCAAUCUAAAUAAUUGUCUAUAUUAAUAAAUAUUUGAAGGUUGGAAACUUUUUUACAUAAAAUAAGUAGUUAGAAACUUUUAACUUAUGCCAAACUUGACAUGCAUGAUUUACAUAAAUAGAGUAUGAAAUUUGACAGAGUUGUUAAAAUAUUAAUUGUAUAAAACAUUAUGAAUAGGUGUAAAACCACUUUAAUUUUACUUCAUAUUCUUAAAUCUUCUCACUAAUCCCCUUUUCAAUAAAAUUAAUCCCAAUAAUUUAAUAUCACAUUAAUAUUAUAAACCAGUUAUAGUAUUGUGUGAAAUGAUCAAAAUACUCACAUAUGACAAAGUUACCAUUUUACCCCUUUUUUAUUCAACACUUACAUUAAUCACCAUCACUUGACACUUAUCAUAUUUAAACUUCAUAAUAAAACUAUUACAGAAAUCCAUAUCAUUCUCUUUUUCCUCUUCUCCUUAUACAGGUUUUGUACUUCCCUUAAGAGUUCAACCAGAACUACCCCAGCACGAGGUGCCAUUAGAGGGUCAUACCAACUAAAAAUAACGACAACAUACCCUUUUCCCAUUUCCAUAAUUUGGGCACCCAAGGAAUUUUCUACUUGGGUUUUAUUACACCAUGAUGUCCUUAACAUAGCUGGGAACCACAAUAGCAAACAAGUAUAGCAUGUGGUGACUCCUCUUCUUCUUCUUCUUCUUCUUUGUUGUUUGGUUCAAAAAGUGAGAGUCCUCUUUUUUAAGGGUUUACUUAUUUUAAAGUUAAAAUAGGUUUUUAAAGUGCAAAAAAAAGAUUAAUAAGUAUUUCUAAAUUUGUAAAAAAUGUCUAAAUAUGUGGCGCUUAGUUGGUGAACACAUUGGCAUUUAAUGCCCUAAACAAGCCACGUGUGAUUCUUGUUGCCUCUUUAACGAUGAUUAAUGAAAUAGUGACUAUUUUGUUAUAAUACAAAAACGUUAGUGACCAUUUUAUAAGAAGUUAAACUUUAGCGACUAAAACGUUAUUUAACUCAAAUAUAAGUAAUUAUUUUUUUAGUUUACCCAUAAUAAUAUCAAACAAUUAUAAUAUUGAAAAUUAUUACCUUGAUAUUAAUAUUUUAAUAUUUUUUAAAAUAAAAUUAAAAAUUUAUUAAUAAUAUAAAAAUAUUAAACUUAACUCAAAUUAAUUUUAUAUAAAAAUCAAUUUACUUGUAAAGGGUUAUUUUUUAGAAAAUGGCUUACACAUCUCAAUAGGGAAAGUCAAUUUCCCAAAAAAAAAAAAAGACUUAUUUCUAUUCAUCGGUAAAUUAUUUUCUAUUGACCAAGUUGUUUUCCACGAAACAAAUACAAAACAAAUGCAAAAAAAAUCAGUAUUCCAUAAAUCAUUUUACAUGAAACAAGCACACCCUUAAUUACCUUUUUUUUUGGUGAAACAAAAUAAAAGCAAACAAAAGAAAUAAAACUAGUCCCUCAAGCGGGGGUCUUCCAAAAGGUGAAAUCCUGUUCUCUUAUCGUGAACUUUUUUAACCGAACUAUCUGCAAACUUAUUCUCAUCUUGAGGGAUAUGUUGAAUACUCCAAUGAAGAACUUUUGAUAAGAGCCAGUGAAUUCUUUUAAUUAGAGCUUACUUGAAACCUUCUACAAUUACUUCCUAAAUGACAUUAGCAACUUCAAGACUAACUGUUUGAAUUAAGAUACACUCGAUUAUCAGACCUUGUUCCUUAUUAAUAAUUCUCAUUACCAAAAUUUUCAUGCAAUUAAUUAGUUAUUUUAAUGGCAAAGUUAUUUAAGGUAAAUAAAAUUCAAUGAGCGAGCACAUACCCAAAAUAGAGCUCCACUAGUUAGUUUACUAUCUUACCGCUGCUUGCACCCACCUUUUCUUUAUCUAGAUUACCUUCGAAAGACAUAUAUAUAUAUACAAGUUCCCUUACCUUCCUCCCUUAAAGUGAUUAGCCUUAAUAAAUAUAUUUUUCCAGCUAAGAACAUCACACUAUCACCGAAUUGUAUAGCCAUUAUGCAUUAUGGUUUGAUUGCAGCUUUAAUCUCCCAUUUACAUUAUGUAAAAUUGCACCUUAGUCCUCCCUAAUUCACCACAAUUCCAAUUUAGUCCUUUCUCAAAUAUUAAAAAUCAUACUUCCAUCACCAUUAUUUCCAUUUUACAUCAAUAACAUUACAGACCAAAGAUUCUUUACUAUACUAUGGGUUCUGUUCCAACUUGUGGAACCUUGUUCACGCAUCAUCUACUUUCAGUAGAGAUUUGCUUACUUUGUUAAUCAUCAGAGAAGUCUAUAGUCCUCGCUUGCUGUGAUAGCAUCAUCCUCAGUAUAAUAUUACAUUAUCUAGGAGUUUCAAGGCCACAGGAAAUAACAGUCACUAUAUGGGCAUUAUGACACAUACGCAAUCAAUGUUUAUUAUUAAUGUUUGAGGUUGUUAUCCUCCCAACAAUGUUGUUACUAUACACAGUUAAUUUAUUCAUGAACAGAAACAUGGCUCAGCUCAAGAAGUGGUUGUUUUUAUAAUAUCUUACCUUAUGGAAUUGUCUGCUGUCCAAACUUCUUUUCCAGUCAGGGAUCCUCACAUUGUUGGUUGUUGCAAGGUCAAUUUCAACGUGGGCUUUCGACAAUCUAACGGAUCUGCCUUCACGGGUGUUCUAAUCCACGAUCAUACAGAGGCGGUGAAGGUAACUUUUAUUUUUAAAAAUAUUUUAAUAUUAUGAUUUUUUUAUCAUUAUCAUAUUGGAGGAGAUGUUAUAUGUUAACAUAGUUUAAAGUGUGUCAUUUGGAUGCUAUAUGAUAAUUUUAAUCACUACUUUAAACAAGUCUUGGUUAAUAUUAUAUUUUUUUAGUAUUAUUGUAAAAAAAAAAACCCUCAAAGUUUAAAAGAUUUUGGUUUUAAGCUCUUAAUCUUUUUUUUUUUGGAUUGACACCCUCAACGUUACGAUUCUUUUAGAAAUCGAUCUAAUUUUAACAAGAAACGUGUGUUGACUGUCAGUCAACUAUAGGUAGAUGAUGUGUAAAAGAUGCUUGACCAAUUUCAAAGAUGCCUACCCUUUCUCUUAUUUCUUUCUUUCCCUCUACUUUAACAGUUUGCCCAUCUCCAACUCCAAGAUGCCCUCUCUACUUCCCUUUCUCUCCACACGUCCCAACCCUACCAUCGCGGCCUUCCCUCUCACUCCUUACUGUCCUAACAGCCACCGCUCCCUUUCCUCUUAUUCCUCAUCGUCGAUCUGACCACAAACGUCCCAAAACCUCUUCCAUCUCCAUCCUCCUCCCCCUUCUCAUCAUCAUCAUCAACAUCAGUUCAUCUCUCCUAGCCCUCAUCGGGAUCACAAUAACCGUAGCCAAAGGCUUAAAUAAAUAUAACAAUUGACCAUGAGUGUUAUGUCUGCAAUUGGAUUUCACGAUCGUGGUCCCAAAAUCUUCGGCAUCGUCAUCGUUAUCAAAGUCUAUAGGACCUCCUCUAAAGUCUUUAAGAAGACAUUUAAGGAGUGGAAGGAGCAAGGAGUCAUCUUCAUCUUCUUCAUUUUUGUCCUUGUAAAUCAUUGUGGUGUAAAGGUCUGAUAUUUUCGACAAUUAUGCCACCUUACAAAAGGCAAUUUCAUUAAACACUUAAAAUUCAAUGCAACCAAAAAAAUAAAGAAAAAGCAAAAAGAGGACUCACUAUUGUAACCCAUUUUAUAGUACAGCUUGCUCUUCUACGAUCCAAUCCAUGAAAAUACCAUAGCCAAAUCAAACUCAGCCGACAUAAAUUCACUAAUCAACCUCCCUUAGCUGUUCUAAAACGUAACCGAAACCUCUAACAAGGAGAAAACAACGCUCAACAAAGCCUCCUCUCUACCGUUUUGCCUUCCCAAGAGAACCCAAAGAAAAAAUAAAAGAAAACAAGCUUAAAUACUGCUAGAUCUAACAGAAAAAAGAGAGGAAAAAUUAGAAAUUUAUGGCUUGAUUUUUCUCUCUCAAACUCUAUAAUAAAUAAGCUGAUGUGAAAUUCUGAUUGAUUAAUGGUUGGACACAAUGAUGAUAGUAAUUAGAUAGGAAGAGAGAAAGAGGAGAUGAACAUUAAAUUUUCCAUCCAUUUUAGAGUGAUUUGAGGAAUGAUGCAAGUUUAAGAGCUAAAAUGAUUUUUUUUUGUAAAGUUGAAAGGUUAAAAAGUCAUUAUGCCUUUCUAAUAUUAUGUCAUUGCAUGUGGACAUGCGAGUUUAUUUUUUUUGUAAAGAAAAUGGUAAAAACCACAUGAUUUGAAAGUCCACCUAAAACUCCGUUAUAUAAAAAAAGUCAUUGCUACAAAAUUACAACACAAAGUCACAACAAAAGCAUAUAACUUAACAAAGGUUAUUAAGUAAUCACAAGUACACUAAAAGAAAAAGUUGUGAAUAUCACACUAAUAGUAGUUAACUUUGAAAGCUGAAAAACCCAAAAUUACAGUAUCCCAAAUGAAAAUUAGAACAUACACAUCGAAGAUAUUUGAGUAUACUAACUAUUCUAAAUAUACCUCCAAUUGAAAAACGAACAAAAAAUGGUCUUUGUGAUAAAAAAAACUACUCAGACUUUUCUUUUCUUUUCUCAUUUUUUUCAUUUUGUUGCAUUCUUUUUCUGUCUCAUAUAUAUAUAAUUGAAACCACCCCCAUAUAUGUUUGAAUUAUUUAGUGUUUUCAAAGUUGUUUUUCUGUUUCAAUAAGUCAUAUUCUUUAGGAACAACUUUUUGCAUUUGUUUAAACUAGUGGUAUCCUUGUUUAUAGGUGAUAUAGGUGUUAGUUGUGAUUAUAUAUUUUUCAUUUGUAAGGCUAUAAAAAGCCAACUUUUUAUCUUCAAAAGUGACACUUAUUUCUAGCUUUCACUUAAUGUUAUACUUAACAUUCUUGUAUCCGAACUAGGUUGUUGAGAAAAUAAGUGGAUAUGAGUGAAGAAAAGAGUGAAGGUAGUCUUACAAAGAUUCGUCAUUUUGAUGGUCUUCACUAUGACCAUUGGAGUGAGAUGAUGGUGAAUCUAUUGAGGUCUAAAGGACUGUGGAACCUAGUUGACAAAGGCUUCGAGGAGCUUGAAACAAUGACUAUGCAGACCAUCUUGCAAUAGACGCAGAUGGACGAGAUAAAGAUGAAGGAUCACAGGGUCAAACACUAUCUGGAUCAAGGCAUAGAUAAUGUUAUUUUUGAGCAGAUUUUGGAUAGACAAACCUCCAGAGUUGUUUGGCAUUCUUUGAACAGCAAGUUUGGUGGAAAUGAGAGAGUGAAAAGGUCUCUUCUCAACACCUUAAGAAGAGAAUUUGAGGUGUCAAAAAUGAAUAAAAGAGAAAUGGUCAAAGAUUAUUUUACUAAAGUAAUGGAUGUAACAAACUAGAUGCUGAGCAAUGGGGAGAUAAUAUUUGACUUGGUGAUUGUAGAGAAGAUUUUGAGGACUUUGACAAAAUGUUUCACCUAUGUGGUAUUAUCUAUCAAAGAGGAAAAAUAUGCACAUACCAUCUAUUUUGAUGAAUUGUAAAGUUCAUUAUCUGUACAUGAACAAAAGUUUAAGAGAAUGGAAAAAGAAGAAGAUCAUGCCUUAAAAGUUACUGCUGGUAACGAAAGGUUUGAAAGUAGAGGAUGUUGUGCAAAUUCAUACAGAGGGCGUGGAAGAGGCAGAACGAGAUCAUUGACAAAGCUCGGGUAGAAUGCUAUAAAUGCCACAAAUUGAGGCAUUUUUAGUAUAAAUGUCCAAGGUGGGAGAGUAAAGCCAACUUUGUGGGACUUGAUAAAGAGGAAGAGCUGCUCUUAAUAAUGUGUCUGGAGACACAUAACUCACAACAAGAUGGCGUAUGGUUUCUUAAUUUGGGAUGCUUGAAUCAUAUGUGUGGGAAUAAGAAGUGGUUUUCUCAUCUUGCUUACAGCUUUUGACACUUCGUCAAGCUUGAAAAUGAUACAAAAAUUGUAGUAAUGGGAAAAGGAAGUGUUAGAUUAGAGAUUGUAUGCAUCAAAUAGGUAAUCUUUAAAGUUUUCUUUGUUCCAGAUCUAAAAAAUUAUUUGUUGAACAUGGGAUAGCUCCAAGAGAAAGGGAUAGUUAUUUUGAUUCAAGAGGGUGAGUGCAAGUUGUAUCGUUCACAAAGAGGGCUCAUUGUAACAACCAAAAUGACCAGAAAUCAGAUGUUUGUGCUUUCAACUAUUGUUUUACCAUGCUCACAACCAUUGGUUUCAUCAUGCUUCCAAACUACCACAAAAUAUAUCUCUCAUCUAUGGCACUUUAGGUUCGAUCAUUUGAACUACAAAAGCUUACGUAUGAUGUAGUCCAAAAGGUUAGUUCGUGGCUUACCAACAAUCAGCAUUCCAAUCAAAGUAUGUACUCAUUGUUUGAUCAGAAAGAAAAUUAGGGAGAAAAUGGCAGAGCAUCAAGAAAGUUGCAGUUGAUACAUUCUGGCAUUUGUGGACCAAUUACACUGAUUUUUAUAGGUGGAAAGAGGUACGUACUCAGUUUUAUUAAUGAUUUUAGCCACAAAAUUUGGGUCUAUUUCUUGCAUGAAAAAUUAGCGAUGUUUGAGGUAUUGUAGGGCUUUAAAAAAUAUAUUGAGAAUGAAAGUGGUAAACGUAUAGCUUGCUUACGCAUAGAUAAGGGUGGAGAGUUCACCUCCUAUAAAUUUAAUAAUUUUUGUAUGCAGAAUGGUAUUUGCAGGCAAUUGACUAACGCCUACACCUAGCAACAAAAUAGAGUAGCAGAAGAAGAGGAAUCGAACCAUUAUGAACUCAGUUCGAAGCGUGUAAUUUGAAAAAAUGUCCCAAAAGAAUUUUGGGCAGAAGCAAUUCAAUGGUGUACCCAUGUAAUGAACAGGAGCUUGACAAUACCCGUGAAUGGAUGAACACCAGAAGAGGUUAGGAGUAAUGUUACACCUUCUGUAGACCAUUUUUGAGUGUUCGGGUGUGUUGCCCAUGUACGCAUACCUGACCAAAGAAGAACAAAGUUAGACGACAAAAGCUACAAGUGUGUUUUCUUUGGUGUGAGUAAUGAAACCAAGGCUUAUCGAUUGUAUGAUCUAUUCUCUAGGCGUAUUGUGAUAAGUUGUGAUGUUGUUUUUGAAGAAGAUAAAUGCUAGGAUUGGAGUCAAAAUUUAGAGGAUGCAAACAAAGAGUUGGAAUGAGAAGAUAUUACUCUUGAGGAUGAUGUGAGUGAAGAUGAUGUCGUUGUACCAAAUAUAGAGGAAGUAGUUGGAGAAAAACCACCAAGUCUGAACAUUCUAGCUGCAAAUCAAGAGAGGAUUAGACGGGAGAAUAGAAGAGCACCAGAGUGGCAAAAAGAUUAUGUGAGUAGAGCAAGACUAGGCUUUUCUGGUGAAUAUGAAGAAGUCAAUAAAUUGGUUCUAUACACCACAGUAGAUCCAAUCACUUUUACAGAAGUUGUUGUAAGCAAAAAAUGGCUUGAAGCUAUGAAAAUAGAGAUUCAAGCCAUUGAAAAAAUAAAACAUGAGAAUUGAUGGAAUUGUCAGUUGGUGCAAAGAAGAUCGAAGUAAAAUGGGUGCUCAAAACCAAGCUAAAUGAACUUGGUGAUAUUCACAAACACAAGGCACGAUUGGUGGCAAAGGGAUAUGCUCAGAAAUAUGUAAUUGAUUACAACCAAUUGUAAAGUGGGAUACAAUCCGAAUGGUGAUUGUAAUGGCUGGGCAAAAAGGUUGGAAUACCUACCAACUUGAUUUUAAAAGCACUUUCCUUCAUGGAGAGCUGGUGGAGGAAUUCUUUAUUGAUCAACUGCUUGGUUUUGAGAAAGAAGGGAGGAGCAUAAAGUCUACAAAUUAAAGAAGGCCUUGUAGAGUCUUAAGCAAGCUCCAAGAGCAUGGUAUAGACACAUUGAGUCCUAUUUUACAAAGGAAAGUUUUGAAAGGUGCCCAUUUGAACCUAUUCUUUUUAUUCAAACUAAUUCGAAAGGAAGAAUUUUGAUUGUUAGUUUGUAUGUUGAUGAUCUCAUAUUCACGGGAAAUGAUGAGGAAAUAAUUAAAGCCUUUAAAAAUUCCAUGAUGCGAGAAUUUGAAAUGACUGAUCUUGGAAAGAUGAAAUACUUUCUUGGAGUUGAAGUGUUACAGAAUGAUAAAGGCAUAUUUAUUAGUCAAAGGAAGUAUGCUAAUGAAGUUCUUGAGAGAUUUGGAAUGUUAAGCUGCAACUCUGUUAGAAGUCCUAUUGUUCCAGAAAAAAACUCGUGAAAAAUGAAGAUGGAGUCAAAGUAGAUGUCAUUGGUCAUAAGAAAAUUGUGGGGAGUCUUCGAUAUUUAACUACGACCAGACCAGAUCUAAUGUAUAUAGUUGGACUGGUGAGUUGAUAUAUGGAAAAACCUACUGAACUUUAUCUUAAUACAAUGAAAAGGGUCCUUCGAUCUAUAAAAGAAAACUUAGAGCUGGGCAUUUUGUACAAAAAAGGCAAAACUGGCGAGUUAGUUGGCUACACAGACAGUGAUUAUACUGGGGAUCAAGAUGACAGAAGGAUCACUUCAGGAUAUGUUUUUCUGUUUGGAGAAAGUGCCGUUGCGUGGUCUUCAAAAAAACAGCCAGUAGUGACCUUAUCUACAACCGAAACAGUGUUUUUAGUAGUAGUGUCAUGUGCUUGUCAAGCAAUUUAGAUGAGAAGAAUCUUGGAUUCUUUCAAUCAUCCUCAAAAAGAAAGAAUCAUGUUAUAUUGUCACAACGCCUCCACCAUCAAACUAUCAAAGAAUGUCGUAUUGCAUGGAAGGAGCAAACACAUUCAUGUAAGGUACCUUUUCCUUCGUGAAUUGUCUAAUGAUAAAGUUAUUGAGCUUGUCCAUUGUGGAACAAAGGAGCAGACAACAGACAUCAUGGCUAAGGAAUUGAAGUUUGAGACAUUUGAAAAGCUUAGGGAAAAAAUUGGAAUUUAUGGAGAAGUAAACUAACUGAAAAUAUGCUAAACAGUUUAGGGGAGGAAUUGUUUGAAUUAUUUAGUGCUUUCAAAGCUAUUUUUCUAUUUCAAUAAGUCCUAUUCUUUAGGAACAACUUUGUGUAUUUUUUUAAAAUAGUGGUGAUCUUUGUUUAUAGGUGAUAUAGGUGUUGUGAUUCUAUAUUUGUCAUUUGUAAGGCUAUAAAAGCCAGCUUUCUAUCUUCAAUAAAAGUGACACUUAUUUCCAACUUUCACUUGAUUUCAUACUUAACAUUAUAUAAUGUAAGGCACAGUGGGACUCUUGGGCCAUCUCCAAUAAAUACAUAUAUAAGAUAAUAAUUAUUAUAAAAUAUUAUCUUAUAAAUAAAUUUCAGUUGUAAAAAAUAAAACAUUUAAUAAGUUUUUGAGAAAAAUAUCCUCAAACAUUGAUCUAGUACAACCACUUAUAUCAGUAGAGAAAUGUCCAUUAUAUGAACUUAUGCAAUUGGAUACGAAGCUUUCAUGGCGAUGCCACGUAACCCACCUGGUGUAUUCACAUCCCUUUGAAUCCUCAUAUACCCAUUUUCACCCCAAGUUUCUCCCCAUGAAUUCUUAAUCAACUAAUAGUUUAAACCUUCUUCACGUGUCCCAUAUCCAACAAUGGUGACUGCAUGGGCGAGAUCAUUGCUUGUAGUUUGUUUUAAAAAGGUCAAAUCAUUGAUUCAAUGAAUGGUUAUAAAAUGUGUUAUAUAUACAAGUAGUUAUAUGUUUGGCUAUGGUAAUUGACUAUUUAGGCUCGGUUUUGAAUGACAAAGAAUGUAUAUGAUCUAAUUAAUAUGGAAGUUAAAUUGGAGGAUUGAUUAUUGAAAAUAUUAAUUGGUUGUGUAUAUGAAAUAUAGGCAUGAUAAUUUGCAUGCAAAUUAGGUAUGUGGUUCAUGUGUGUGAUUGAAUAUAACAUGUUAGAUAUGUUAUUUAGCUUGCAAAUUAGAUAUUUUAUGACUUGGCAUUUGACUUCAAAAAUAGUUAAGUUUGAUUUAGUAAAAUGUACAUAAGGUUAUAAUGUUUAAAAUACUAUGAUUUGGUAAUUGAAUUUUUUAUAAUUAUGAAUCAUGUACAAAUCGGUUUUGAUAUUUGAUUGCUUGGAUUGAAAGUUUUGUAUUAGCAAACGCAAUUGAAAUGGUUAGAUAUUGAAUUAUAAUUCGUAUAAGAGAAUGUUUGAUAAAGCAUGAUUUGUGUAAGUAGAUAUAUGAUUCAAAUAGAUGCUUUUGACUUGUAUGAAUAAGAGGUUGGUUUAUUAAUUUAUUUCAGAAAAUUUUAUAAAGGAGAAUACAUUACUAGGCAUUUGAAUUGUAAAGAAUGUCCAACUAAACUGUGUAUUGUUUGGUAAUACCUUGUAACCCUAGUCCAGCGACGGACACAGGAUAGGGGUGUUACAAAUAGUUCCUUACUUGAACCAAUUUGUGUGGUAUCAAGCUCUUGAUCUCUUGGUUACUCUCUUAUUCUCUCAAAUAACCUAGGCAAAACUUAAAUUUAUGUAGUACUUAAGUUUUCUUUACAUAAGAGUUACAAUCUAAUCCGAUGGCAUGCCAACUAUAUCUAACUUUGCCCGAAUAGUUAAUAGGGUACCAAUGAUCCAAUUACAUGUAAUAACCAAUUCACAUAUCAUAUCAUAUCUCAUUUAAUUUCAUCAUCAAUUCACAUAAUGUGCCAUUAUCAAUUUCAUAUCAUGUUCAUUUUUGUUUACGGCAUUUCAAUUCAAUUCUCAACACAUUAUCAUUCAACAUGAAACAAUUCAUACGAUAAACAUAAGCUUACCUCGAUAAUUAAUCAUGCAAUCAACACGUAUAUGCAUAAAAAUAUAAUGAUAUCGAAUUAUAAAAGUACAAACUGAAUUUCCCUCAACUCGCCUUCGAUUCUCGACUUUUCCUUCUCUCACAGUAGCCCCAUGUCGUAUUAGCUACAUUUGAUAAUUCAAUAGUAAAAAUAGUAUUAGUUUACACCCAAUUUAAAUCCAAAUACAUAGCCACUCUUAUUUUUUUAUUUUAUCCAAUUUAAUCCCUAUACCCGAGAUAUACAAUUUUUCGAUAUCUAAUGUUGAGUCAAAAUUUGAUUUCACAUAUUUCCAUUGGGGGUCAUAGUAUAAUCUCAUAUCAAUUUUAAUUUAUUCAAUUUAAUCCCUAAUGUUACAAAGCUAUCUAACAAGUUCAAUUUACUUUUUAAUUUAGUCCUUAUCUAAGCUUAUUAACUAUCAUAUCCUUCAAAUUAAGCCCCAAAUAAUCAAUUUCUCUCUAAUGGUAACUUGCUAAAAACUUAACAAUUGAACAAAUUAAGAAAUGGGCUAUCUAAAUCAAGCCUUCAUGAUCAUAAAUCUACAAAAAUUAUAAGGAAAAGGCUUGAUUACGUUAAUCAAUUGUUGGCCGAAUGUUUAAAUGAACUAAAAGCUUUCUUUCUUUAUUUUUGUAUAGCAUGGAUGGUUGGAAUUGUUGAGUAUGACUCAUAUUUCAGUCAAAUUUGAGAAAUAAUCUUCCAGUUAAACUCUGUUUAUUUGUUUCAAUCAAACUCUUAUUAGUCUAGAUUAUUUUAUUAUUAGUUGACCUAUGAUUUAGCUUAUAAAUAGGCUAUUUUACCAUCUUAGAAAAUACACCCAUUAGAGAUUAGAACUCAACACUUUUAGAGAAUUUUUGUGUUUAUGUUUUUCGGGUUUUUUUUUUGGGUUUAAGGGUUUAGUUUUUAUCUCCAUCUUUGUACUCUUCGUUCUUUGCCAUUAUAGUAAAAUUAUCUUUACCCGUUAUUUUUUAUCCUCUUUGGAGGGGUUUUCCACGUUAAAUUUGUGUGUUCAAUUUUUCAAUUUCUUCAGCUAUUUUUACUUGUUCGUUGCUUAAUCGGGUCAAUCCCCAACAAGUGGUAUUAGAGUUAGUUCAAUUUUCGUAGAUCAGCCCGUUCAGAGAUGGCAGCAACAAGGUUUGAAAUUGAGAAGUUCGAUGGUGUCACAAAUUUCAAUCUGUGGCAAGUUCGGAUGAUGACAAUUUUAGUUCAAACCAGCCUGAAAAAGGUUGUUAUUGGGAAAAAGCUUGAGAAUCUAAAUCAAACAGAAUGAGAAGAGCUUGAUGAAAAGGCCUUGUCUGCAAUCCAGUUGUGCCUCACGAAUAGAGUAUUGUAGGAGGUAUUGGUGGAGAAGACUUCAUCCGCCUUGUGGAAAAUGUUAGAAACUCUUUGUGCGACUAAGUCUCUGGCUAACUGUUUAGUGUUGAAACAACGUCUAUUUACGUUUCGUAUGAACGAAAGUGAGCUUCUUAGAUAUCACAUCAGUCAAUUAAUUACUCUUUUAAUUAAUUUAAAUAAUGUUAAGGUUCAGAUUGACAAUAAAGAUUAGGCUAUGCUAUUAUUGUGCUCUUUACCCCUUUCAUAGAAGUCUUCCAGGGAGACCCUAAUUUAUGGCAGAGACAAACUCUCGUUCGAAGAUGUGAAGGGUCAUUUGUUGAGUAAAUGCAAACUCAACAAUGAGUUUGGUUCAGAUAGUAAGGCAGAUAAGCAAACUUCUGUUUUGGUAAAAUUAAAGAAGUGAGACAAAUGUGUCGCUAUUGUAAAAAGUUACGUCACGUCAAAGCAGGUUGUUAUAAACUGUGAAAUAAAAGAGUUGCUGAGGGUAAUGAGGAAGAUGUAGUUGGUGCUAAUUUGGCCGAUGAAAGCGGUGAUGAUUUCUUGUUAGUGUCAACGAGUGAUAACUCCAAGCUUACGUCCGAGUGGAUCCUAGAUCCGGGAUGUUCUUUCCACAUGUGUCUCAAUAGAGAAUGGUUCUCCACAUACAGUUCGGUUGAAGGUAGAUUUGUGCACAUGGGAAAUGAUUCAUCCAGUAAGGUAAUUGAUAUUGGUACUGUUAAAAUUAGGAUUCACGAUGGGACAAUUAGGAAAUUCUUAGAUGUCAGGUAUGUACUUGAUUUAUGAAAGAAUCUCAUCUCCUUAAGUAUUUUAAACUUGAAAGGAUGCAUAAUCAAUAUCGAGUCAAGCGACAUUAACGUAUCUCAUGGAGCUCUCAUUUUGUUAAAAGGUAAAAUGACAGACAAUCUUUAUAUUUUAGAAGGUUCUACAGUGAUCGGUGAAAUCGGAUGUACCUCGUCCAUUAUGUAGUCAAAGUCAACUCAUUUAGAGCGGAGUCAACUUGGUCAUAGGAGGGAAAAUGUAUGAUCGUUUCGUUGAAGAGAGGUUCUCUUUUGGAUGCAGGUUUUGAAAAGUUAGGGAACUAUGUUCGUGAAAAUCAUUCUCGGGUUACUUUUGAUUUGGCGGUUUACAAGUCGAACGCUAUAAGUCUUCCAGUUUCUAAGCACAUAUUUGACUUAGUUAAUUCCCUACAUAGUUCAAGAUAGGCCCGUGGUGGGCUUUGGCAAAGAUGGCGUUGGGGAAAUAUGAGUCAAGGUGGAGAUUUGUUGAGUAUGACUCCUAUUUCAGUCAAAUCUGAGAAAUGAUCUUCCAGUUAGACUUUGUUUAAUUGUUUCGAUCAAACUCUGAUUAGUCUAGAUUAUUUUAUUAUUAUUUGACCUAUGAAUUUAGCCUAUAAAUAGGCUCUUUUACAACCUUAGAAAAUACACCCAUUAGAGAUUAGAACUCAUAACACUUUUGGAGAAUUUUUGUGUUUACGUUUUCCGGGUUCUUUAUUUUUUGGGUUUCGGGGUUUAGCUUUUAUCUCCAUCUUUGUACUCUUCGUUCUUUUUCCAUUAUAGUAAAACUAUCUUUACCCGUGGUUUUUUAUCCUCUUUGGAGGGUUUUCCCACGUUAAAUUUGUGUGUUCAAUUUCUCAAUUUCUUUAGCUAUUUUACUUGUUCGUUGCUUAAUCGGGUUGAUCCCCAAUAGAGAAAAUGGAGAAGAUGACAAUCUUCCACCCUAUUUAGUAUAUAUACUUAGAUUAAUAUUAGCUUAGUUUAAUGAACCAUAUUUAAUUAGUUAAUUAAGAAAUAAUUAUGUAUAUGUUAAUAAUAAAUUAAACUAAGUGGAAUUAACCAUCAUCAUCCCCUAACUCAUGUCAAAUAAUGGUUAAAUAACCAUUUUAAUCCUUUAGAUAAUUGCUAAAUAGGUUCUCAAGUCUUUUCUAAUUUUAAAUUCAAUAGCGAUUGGACUUUUACAAUUAGUCCCUGAAUUUUAAUUAACCAAUUUCUCCGUUAAAUUACUUAACCAAACUUUAAUAUAUUUUCAUAAUAGCUUCAUUAAUCUUUAUAUAUAUUUAAUCCUUAUGAACUUGGUUUGCAGAAAUAAAAUUCUGAAACCGUAUUUUUCGACACUACUUAAAAUUAGGUCGUUACAUUAUGGGUUAUGAGCUUGACGGUGGCCUCAAUGCCAUUUCAACACCAACUAACAAUAUUGAAUUGUAAUCACUUGAUAGUAGAGGCUAUGAUACCAAUUGUUGGGGACACUAGGUUAUAUCUCACACAAAUGGAGCUUCAAAACUGAACUACAAUAUUGAACUGGAACACCAAAGUCAAAUUGAAGCUACCCAACGAAUUAACCCGACAAUUUACUACUAAAUAUUAAGAUGCAAUAAAAAAUCAAAUGAUACAAUUAAUAAUAAAGGUGAGAACACACCAAAUUAAAGACGUUUGGCACAUUACUUAUGUCCUUAAUUACUAACACCGAAUAAUAACUUUACUAUGACCCAAAAAAACAAAUUACAAACUAAUGAAACCUUAAUUAAAAGGAUUGCCCAAAUAUAUACCAAAGUAUACUAAUGAAAGUAGGAGAGAACAAAUGGUUGGGGAUAAUUCAAAUGUAGGCUUAAUGCCUUCUUAUAUACUAUAUGUGAGGCCAUAUAUUUUGUCUCAUUUUUAUGUGGGAUUUAUGUGAGCCAAUAAUCAACAAAUACGUAAUUUUCAUAUGUAUGUACUUGUAAUAAAAUUUCUAAAAUAGAUAAAAAAAAAAAAACUCAAGAGCUACAGAUAUUAAAAAAACACAAUUAUAAUUAUCGUAACUUAUUAAUGUCCUUGAAAAUUGAUCGAGUAGUGCAACUAAUUUUAUGUAGUACAUGUAUUGGCAGAGAAAUUGUCUAUUAUAUCAACUUAUAAUACUGGAUAUAUACGAAGCUUUCAUGGCGAUACCACAUAAGCGACCUUGCGUAUUCACAUUCCUUUGAAUCCUCAUAUACCCAUUUUCACCCCAAGUUUCUUCCCAUGAAUUCUUAACCAGCCAAUAGUCUAAACCUUCAUCACUUGUCCCAUAUCCAACAAUGGUGAGUGCAUGGGAGAGGGCAUUGCCACAAUCUCCGGUAUACACUCCACUACUGUAAUACCGAAAGUCUUGUCCAUAGCCUUCGAUUGCAACCGAGACAAGUUGAUUUGCGACGACCUUAAGCAACGCUUGUUCGUCGUUUGUAGGCACCAUUUGAUAGCCAUUGAUGAUGACGUCAACUCUGUUUAUCUGUUUCUCAGUGUCGCAAGUUUCUUGCACUGGUUGAUAUGGGUAGCCUUCUUCGGUGGUUAUUCCUUGGUUUUGGAUAAUGUAGUCGAAAGCAUUCAUCAUCCAUCCUCCAUACAACCUUGGUUUCCUCCAUUUGUGCUGCAAUCCAACAGUUGUUGCACAGAUAAUGAGAUUAAUUUACCAGUUUUGAUUUGGUUAUCCCUUCAACGGCUGCCACUGCUGAAAAUGCCCAACAAUAUCCUGCAAAAGUAAACCAACAAUAACCCUUUGUUAAGUGAAGUAAAUAUACUAACAUCAGUUUUUUUUUUCAAUUAAUCGAGCACCCUAUCAUUUCAACAGAGAAAUUUGAUUUUUAAAAAAAUAUAUUGAAAGGUUUGAAGUUUUAAUAUUAGACAGAUAGUUUAACAUUUUAAUAUACUCAAAAUUUGAAGCACAGGAUUUGAAAUAAGAUGAUCUAAUUAAGAAAAUAUAAUAAAUAUUUUGCAAGUCUGUAAACUGGGACUUACCACAGUUACCCUGAGACUUAAUGGGAGUGACGGCACCUUUCUUCCUCCAAUCGAUGCUCGUUGGAACAUCUGAGAAGCUUUCAUACAUAAAUGAUGUUGAUUGGGACAUAGUGGAAUUGUCCCCCAUCUUGUAUCCAGUGUGAGCUACAAUAAAUUCAUGAUGACAGAAGGAUCACUUCAGGAUAUGUUUUUCUGUUCGGAGAAAGUGCCGUUGCGUGGUAUUCGAAAAAACAGCCAGUAGUGACCUUAUCUACCACCGAACCAGAGUUCGUAGCAGUAGUGUCAUGUGCUUGUCAAGCAAUUUGGAUGAGAAGAAUCUUGGAUUCUUUCAAUCAUCCUCAAAAAGAAAGAAUCACAUUAUAUUGUGACAAUGCCUCCACCAUCAAACUAUCAAAGAACGUCGUAUUGCAUGGAAAGAGCAAACACAUUCAUGUAAGGUACCACUUCCUUCGUGAAUUGUCUAAUGAUAAAGUUAUUAAGCUUGUCCAUUGUGGAACAAAGAAGCAGACAACAGACAUCAUGACUAAGGAAUUGAAGUUUGAGACAUUUGAAAAGCUUAGGGAAAAACUUGGAAUUUGUGGAGAAGUAAACUAACUGCAAAUAUGCAGAACAAUUUAGGGGAGGAAUUGUUUGAAUUAUUUAGUGCUUUCAAAGCUGUUUUUCUGUUUCAGUAAGUCGUAUUCUUUAGGAACAACUCUGUGUAUUUGUUUAAACUAGUGGUGAUCCUUGUUUAUAGGUGAUAUAGGUGUUGUGAUUCUAUAUUUGUCAUUUGUAAGGCUAUAAAAGCCAGCUUUCUAUCUUCAAUAAAAGUGACACUUAUUUCCAACUUUCACUUGAUUUCAUACUUAACAAUAUAUAAUGUAAGGCACGUGGGACUCUUGGGCCAUCCCCAAUAAAUACAUAUAUAAGAUAAUAAUUAUUAUAAAAUAUUAUCUUAUAAAUAAAUUUCAGUUGUAAAAAAGAAAAUAUUUAAUGAGUUUUUGAGAAAAGUAUCCUCAAACAUUGAUCUAGUACAACCACUUAUAUCAGUAGAGAAAUGUCCAUCAUAUGAACUUAUGCAAUUGGAUACGAAGCUUUCAUGGCGAUGCCACAUAACCCACCUGGUGUAUUCACAUCCCUUUGAAUCCUCAUAUACCCAUUUUCACCCCAAGUUUCUCCCCAUGAAUUCUUAAUCAACCAAUAGUUUAAACCUUCUUCACUUGUCCCAUAUCCAACAAUGGUGACUGCAUGGGUGAGCUCAUUGCUACAAUCUCCUGUAAACACUCCACCUUUGUAAAACUGAAAGGAUUGUCCAUAUCCAUCGAGUGCCACCGAGACCGGUUGAUUUGUGACGGCCUUAAGUAAUGCUUCUUCGUCGUUUUGAGGCACCAUUUGAUAGCCAUUGAUGGUGGCAACUUUGUUUUUCUGUGUGUCGCAAGUUUCUUGCAUUUGCUGAUAUGGGUAGCUUUCUUCGGUGGUUAUUCCUUGGUUUUGGCUGAUGUAUUCAAAAGCAUUCAUCAUCCAUCCUCCACUACAACCUUGGUUUCCUCCAUUUGUGCUGCAAUCCAACAGUUGUUGCUCAGAUAAUGAGAUUAAUUUACCAGUUUUGAUUUGGAUUAUCCCUUCAACGGCUGCCACUGCUGAAAAUGCCCAACAACAUCCUGCAAAAGUAAACCAACAAUAACCCGUUGUUAAGUAUAAAGCAAUUAAUGAAAAUAAAUAAAAAAAUGAAUGCUUCAAUGCCAAUCUAUAAUAAUAUAUAAACUUUUGAUUGAGUUGAUGUAACUAGUUAUCGAAUCAUAAAAGAAAAUAUAAAAAUAAUGUUACAGGUGAAGUAAAUUAUACUAUUACAAUAAUAAUUGUCUUUUCAAAUUUUUAAAAAAUUAAAUAAAAAUUUUGCAUAAGAUGUGAUCUAAACCCAUGUGACAAAUAUUUAUAAAAAAAAUUACCCUUUAAUCAAGAUUUUAUUUUAUAUUUUUAUAUAUUUUAAAUUAAUUAUAAAAAUAUUUUCGGCCAUUGUUUAUAUAUUGAUGAUGUUAUUGGUUGAGUUGAUCACAAAUCCACUCAUAAUAAUUCAAGAGAAGUGACGAUAUCAAAAUAAACAAGCGGAUCGUAUUUAUUAUUUUUAAUAUAAUAUAUUUACUUGUUUAAUUUUUUUUUACUUGCAAUUUAAACUAUUUUUUAUUUAAUUUAAUACAUAUCACAUCUAUUAUUAUUAAUUUCAAACCUUAAGUUUUAUUAUUUAGACUUAAUAACAAAUUUGGUCAAUAGCAUUUAUAUGUUUUGUCAAAAUAGCCCUGAUUUAUUUUUGAGCCUUUUCUGACCAUCAAUUUUUACUCUUUUUUCUAACAUAUGUGAAAUAUUUUUAAUGAAAUGUAAUUUAUUACUUAGAUAACUCAAUAAGAUAAUUACAUGUGAAAAAUAAUAAAAUAGAGAAAUAAUAUAUGAAAUUAAAAAAUAAAUCUUAAUUUAAAGAAAAUGGUUCAAGGUUUCAAUUUUUUUUCAAAAUAUUUCAAUCUUUCGUAUGUUUAUUUACCGAGAGGUUUCAAUUAAGAGUUAUUUUUUUGAAAAUUCUUGUAUUAUUUAUUUAUUUUAUUAUUUUCCACAUGUAAUUAUCUUAUUGGGUUCUCUGAGUAAUAAAUUACAUUUCAUUCAAAAUAUUCUACAUAUGAAAUUCCUCAUCAUACCCGUUAACUUUUUUAAUGAUACUUUCAUCAAAUUUGUUAGAACAGAUGGUUUGAAAAACAAAAACAAAAAUUGAUGGUUAAAAAAGACUCAAAAAUACAAUUAUGGUCAUUUUGACAAAACAUGUAAAUGUUAGUAGGGAAGCUUAUUAUAUAUCGCAUGUAAUCUUUAAAAGCGACGUGUUGUAUGCAAUUCACUUUCUAAAACGAUUGCUUACUCAAUCAACAAUUUUAUGUAUAUAUAUAAAUUAUUACUUACCACAUUGACCUUGAUUCUUAAUAGGAGUGACUGCACCUUGGUCCCUCCAAUCAAAGUUUGUCGGAACAUCUGAUACGUUCUCAUACCUGAACGACGUUGACUCAGGCAUUAUGGGGUUGUCUUGCAUCUUGUAUCCAGUGUGAGCUGCAAUGAAUUCAUCUUGUGUCAUGUCUGCAAAUUCAUUCAGGCUUAACUUAAAACUUCUAUUUCCACCAUUGUUGAAGCUCUCAAUGUAUUCCAAAUUCUCUUUGAAUACAUUAAGACGCUUCUCCUUCUCUAAUUUGCUCUCAUAUUUUCGACCAUAAUCAACCAUCCAUUGCUCAUGUUUAUCAACAACAGAGGCUUCAUAGAUUGUUCGGGACAUAGCAAGAGAUGCCAAUGUCCCAAAAAUUAAAAACAAAAAGGCAUGGAUUAAACUCAUCUUGUUGUUUUGCAGUAUAUGGUGGGAUACUACACUAAUUUCUGGGUUUUUUCUUUGCUAAUUGCCAAGUUGUGAAGAACUAGCACUCUAUGAAUGUAUAUAUACUAAAAAAUUGAUUGAAAUGAAUACUUUUUUAAUUAAGUCCAAAUAAAACGCCAAUCAAGUCAAUUUUCAGGUUUACAAUUACAGACAUACCUUUUUUUUUUAUAUAAAUCAACAAAUUAUUAGUGUGGCGUGAUUGACGGAGACAUACAACGUUUUACUUAUUCCUUCAUUGCUGUUUCUCGGUUGGUGGUUGACUUCGAAGUCAAUGUUAACAUUCCAAUUCUCCCAUUACAUGUCCAUUGGGUCUUCAGCUUUUGGUCCAAUAUCAAUUUUUUUAUUGAAGAAAUUAUUUUAAUAAAAUAAUUAACAUUAUUAUUUUUUGUUAAUAUUUAAUAUAUUAUCAUUAGAAAAUUUUAAUUGUAUAAAUAGAUUUUAAAUAUAGUAAUUUAUCUCAUUCUUUUCAGAAAUAUAAUUUUUUAUUUUGAGCGAACUACAUAGAUAGUCACCUAACUAUAAAUUUUGUUAAGCAUCCAAAAUAAAAAAAUUAUAAUUUAAUUACCCACGUUUCAUAAUUUAGUCAUUUUAGUCGCUCCCGUUAAAAUACAAUAACAAGCUAACAUCACAGUUAAAAAAAUCAGUAUAAUAACAAAUUUAACCCUCAAUUUUUAUAUAUUAUAUCAAUUUAGUCAUAAUUUUAAAAAAUUAACUCAAAAUUUAUAAAUAUUCUCAAUUUGAUCUUAAUUCUAAAAAAUUCAAUGAAAUAUAUAAACAUACAUAAAUAAUUUUAUAAAUAAUGAUAAUACAUUUAAAUGUUAUAUUAAUGUUAAAUAAAAAUAAUUAUAUUAAUAUUAUGUUUAUUUAAUACAAUAUUAAUACAAAAUUUUAAUUUAUUAUUAUAUAUUUUGAAAAUAUUUAUAAAUUUUGAGAGUUAAUUUUUUAAAAUUAUGACUAAAUCGAUAUAAUUUGUAAAAAUUAAGGGCUAAAUUUAUUAUUAUACUGACUUUUUUAAUUGCUACGUUAGCUUGUCGUUUGCGAUAGUAACAUGGGUGAUCAAAAUAAUUGAACAAUAUAAUGCGAGUGCUUAAAUUGCAAAUCUUUUAUUUUAGGUGCUUAAAAUAAAAAAAUUAUAAUUUGGUGACAAUCUGUGUAGUUUACCCUUUUAAUUUUUACUACACCUUAAAGGAGUACGUGACACCCUCUAAACUCUGCUUAUAGAAACUAAAAACUCCAUUGUUAAAAAGAAUAUUUUAGCUUCUGUUUAUUUGAAAAAAUGACAUUUUAAUCCCUAUAUAUUAACUUUAUUGUUAAUGGAAAGACAUUGCUUAAAAGUGACAUUAAAUCAAAUAUUAGAUGAAAUUAAAAAGCUUAUUAAACCAAGAUAUUUCGUCUCGUGGAAAAUUUUGGGGUGUUGGCAAUGUAUCAUAAAGUAGUAAUCAACAUGUUAGUGUGGUGUUCCAAUUGUGACAUGGUGAUGAUGGUUAGAAACUUGUGUUGCAAGGAAUAAGAAGAAGAGAAUAUAGUUAAGACUUGAGGCGUGAAAAAACACUUUCCUUUAAUGCUUUUAAGUUUGUCUCUAGAAUACAAUGAAAAGAACAGAACAGUGAAAACAUAACUCGUGGCAUAAGGUAUGUUUUUUUUCAUAACAUAACGAUUUACCAUAAAAUUAUGUUUCUUCAAUUCGAAAACAUUUUAAGAAGAUUAUGUUAUUUCAAUAAAUUAGUUUCGAUGCAAACAAAAUAGUUUGCACCACCAAACUAAAGCUUUAAGCGCCUAAAUUUUGAAAUAUAAAAGUCCCAAUCGGUAGCCCACCUAUCUAGUGGGUUAGGGCCUAACUUAAUUACAUAAAUUAUAAAAAAUUGGUUAUUUAAAUUCUUUAUAUUAUAUGUUUGUUGGUAAUGUGGAUUACAAUCUUGGAUAAAUUUGUAAAAAUUUGAAGUGAAUUAGAAAUUUUGAAGCUAGAAUUUGCAAUUCAUGCACUUUGUAACACCCAUUGUAACACCCAUUGCUCGAUCCUUUCUAACACUCCUUGCUCGAUCCAAUUGCCAUGUUCGAGCAAUAGAAUAUUACAUUCAUUACCGGAGCAACUACAAUUAAUAAUACAGUAAAAUAAUAAUUCAAACAUACAAACAUGUGAUACACAUUUACAAUACGAGACAUAAUAAAAUUCGAGGUUUAAUCAAACUUACGACAGCUUAAUUGUUGACCCAAGCAUGAAAUAAGACCAAAUUGCAAAGUUUUCAAAAUUUCAUAUCAGGUAUCAAUACCUCUUGGAAUACCCCGGAAUUUGGGGUUAGAAGUUUUGAGGUUGUGGUUAGGGUCAUUGAAUAGGUCGAGCACUUGAGUGGGUUUUCACGUUUUAAUAUUAGAAUAAGCUUAUUGGUUUGGUGGUGGUGAGUGUGUUAGUUUACAUUUGGGUUUUGGAUUCAAAUCCUUAUGUGUGUUUUGAGGAUUUAAUUUAUUUUGGUUUUGCUUUUUAAUUUUUAAAGAUUUACUUUUAAAAUUUGAAAGAGAGGUUUUUUAGUUUCACAUUCUUUUCCAUUUCCUUUUCCCUUUUUUUUUUUGUUCCCUCUGUUAUUUUUCGGUUCUUUCCCCAAAUUUCAGUUCUUUUGAUUUAUUGUUUCUUCCAUUUUACACUCACGUUACAUGUUGUCUGUCAAGACUGAUCGUCCUCGUGUGUUUUGUUUUAUCGGAGGUGAAGCGGGUAGGUUUUGUUCAUGAGGGUUUAUGAUAGAAUUGCUUCUGUUUCUAUUAUUCGUUGAUUGAAGUUCUUAUAUUUUAAGUUUAUGUGUGAAAUUGAGGUUUCCGAACAGUUUGAUGAGAGCGAAUCGAUUGAUCCUUGGUGCUUGAUAUUGCGUUCUAAGGUGUGUGUUCUAAAACAGUUUAACUUUGGUAUCGAAUUGCUGUGGGAUUUGAUAAUGUCUUGUCUGUUUAUGAAAUUGGUUAUUUGAAGUAUCGUAUUGUUACUGAAUUGCAUUAAAUUCUAUAUGUUUUGCCAUAAUUCUGGGUUACCAAGGGUUGGGUAUCGUUUCGACAUCAAAAGUAUGAUUUUCAGGCUGUUUCGGUGUGGUUUCGUGACCAUAUGAGUGGCCACACAGGUGUAUGCGCACACGGGCGUUUAACAUUUUAAUAUUAGACAGAUAGUUUAACAUUUUAAUAUACUCAAAAUUUGAAGCACAGAAUUUGAAAUACGAUGAUCUAAUUAAGAAAAUAUAAUAAAUAUUUUGCAAGUGUGUAAACUGGGACUUACCACAGUUACCCUGAGAAAUGGGAGUGACGGUACCUUUCUUCCUCCAAUCGAUGCUCGUUGGAACAUCUGAGAAGCUUUCAUACAUAAAUGAUGUUGAUUGGAACAUAGUGGAAUUGUCCCCCAUCUUGUAUCCAGUAUGAGCUACAAUAAAUUCAUCAUGUGGUCAUAUCUGCAAAUUUAUUGAGACUUAACUUAAAACUUUUAAUUUUGUCAUUGUUAAAACUCUCAAUAUAUUUCAAGUUGUCCUUAAAUAUAUUAAGACGUUUUUCCUUCUCUAAGUUGCUCUCAUAUUUUCGACUGUAAUCAACUAUCCAUUGCUCAUGUUUGUCAACAAUGGCGCUUUCAUUAAUUGUUCGAGACUACAUGACAAGUGAUAAUGUAAAUGUCCAUAAAAUUAAAAACAAAACGCCAUGGAUUAAACUCAUCAUCGUUUUGCAGUAUAUGCAGAGACACAGCACUAAUUUAAGGUUUUUAUUUUGUUUUUGGAAGAGGUUUUUUUUUUUUUUUUUUUUAAUCAUCAUUUAUUCAUUAUAAUGGGUAGAAGAACGCCAAGAGUACAAGAGUGAUAGUUCCAAACAGACCACAGACAUCAACACCAAACGAAAGGGAAAAAAGAACAAAUACAACACAUAUCUUAGACCAUUUAACACUGCUAAUUGAUUAUCGUAACUUACCUAUCAGUAUGCUCGAAAAUUAGUCAAGCAGUACAACCACAUAUAUAUAGGUAGAGAAAUGUCCAUUAUAUGAACUUACAUAACGGGAUACGAAGCUUUCAUGGCGAUACCACAUAAGCCACCUGGUGUAUUCGCGUCCCUUUGAAUCCUAAUAUAUCCUUUUUCACCCCAAGUUUCUCCCCAUGAAUUCUUAACCAGCCAGUAGUUUAAACCUUCUUCACUUGUUCCGUAUCCGACAACGGUGACUGCAUGGGAGAGAGCAUUGCCACAAUCUCCGGUAAACACUCCCCCGCUGUAAAACCGAAAGUCUUGUCCAUGGCCUUCGAUUGCAACUGAGACAGGUUGACUUGCGACGACCUUAAGCAACGCUUCUUCGUCGUUUUCAGGCACCAUUUGAUAUUCAUUGAUGGUGGCAACUUUGUUUAUCUGUUUCUCAGUGUCGCAAGUUUCUUGUGUUUCUUGAUAUGGGUAGCUCUCUUCAGUAGUUAUUCCUUGGUUUCGGAUAACGUAUUCGAAAGCAUUUACCAUUCGUCCACCAUCGCAACCUCUGUUUCCUCCAUCUGUGCUGCAAUCCAACAAUUGUUGUUCAGAUAAUGAGAUUAAACUACCAGUUUUGAUUUGGACUAUCCCUUCAAUGGCUGCCACUGCUGAAAAUGCCCAACAACAUCCUGCAAAGUAAACCAACAAUAACCCUUUGUUAAGUAUAAAACAAUUGCUUCUUGGCUGAGCAAUAUUUAUAAAAUAUUUUAUAGGAGUUGGGUUAGCAUACUAACAUAUUAUAGGGAAAAAUCAAAUACUGACACGUGGUUGUUAAAAAGUAAAUAAGUCUUAUUGAACAAAAUUAAUUUUUAUAUAUUGACUAAUAUUAUUUAUGUUAAUACAACAUCACAUAUGAUGGUUGAAUUAAGCAAAUAUAUUGCAGAUAAUUAUUUCCUUUCUACAAUGAUGUAAAAUUAAUUAGGGUGAGUUUGGAUGGGCAAUUGGGUGCUGUGUGUUUAACUUACUUUUUGUCUCAUACUACAGUAUUGUUACAGUAUCUAAUCUCACCGUCACUGUUAUUUUUAUAAUAACGGCAGGUAAACGCACCACCCAUCCAAACUCACUCUUAACUUUAUAGUAAUAUAAGUGAAUUCCCUACAUAUAUAUAUACACUAGAUUUUGAGAUAUCUAUGAUGUCGAUGAAAAAUAUUUAUGUAAAAAAUAUAUUAACUAAAAUUUUAUAUAAAAAUUAAAUAAAAUUUUAAUUGAAAUAAUGAAAUUAAAGGUUUAAAAACUAAUGCUUUAAGCUUAAAUCCCAUCAUGUGUACUUUUAAUGAUUUUAUAUAUAAAAAAACUCUCGUAAUAAUACAAGUUAGAUUGUAAAAAGAUGACUUUUUAAUUAGUUUCGACUGCAUUUGUGUUCGAUUCAUUUGUAACAUUAACUUAAUCGAUAGUUGUAUGUAAAUUGAGACUUACCACAUUGACCUUGAAACUUAACAGGAGUGACAGCACCUUGGACCCUCCAAUCCAAGUUUGUUGGAACAUCUGAGACGUUUUCAUACAUAAAAGAUGUUGAUUCGGACAGUGUGGGAUUGCCUUGCAUCUUGUAUCCAGUAUGAGCUGCAAUGAAUUCAUCUUGUGUCAUGUCUGCAAAUUCAUUGGGACUUAACUUAAAACUCCUAUUUCCGCCAUUGUUGAAGCUCUCAAUAUAUUCCAAGUUUUCCUUGAAUAUAUUAAGACGCUUCUCCUUCUCUAAUUUGCUCUCAUAUUUUCGAUUAUAAUCAACCAUCCAUUCCUCAUGUUUGUCAACAAUGAAGGUUUCAUGGAUUGUUCGGGACAUGGCAAGAGAUGCCAAUGUCCCAAAAAUUAAAAACAAAAAGACGUGGAUUAAACUCAUCAUUGUUUGGCAGAGAUACUACACUAAUUGAAAGGUCUAGCACUCAAUGAAUCUAUAUAUACUACAAAAUUUGAUUAAAAUAACUAUUUUUAAUUAAGUCAUCUUAUGAAAAAUCCAAAUAAAAGGCCAAUAAAAUAUUUAAUUUAAAUAAAUAUUUUUAAUUGAUUAACCCUACUACAAGUUUGUUUGUGUUUGUUUUUCUUCCUUGAUUUGAAAACAUUCAACACUCCCAUUAUGUUGAGGGUAAAUUGCAUAAUAGUCACCCAAUUAUUAAUAAAUUUCGUUUUUAGUUACCCAACUAUGAAAAUUUAUAAAAUAAUCACUCAACUAACAAGUGAUUAUUUAAUUUAAAAAGUCCACAUUUGACUUUCAUUACUGAGUUGAUGAUAACUAACAAGUGAGGGACUAAAAUAUUUAAUUUAAAAAAAAUUGACUAAAUAAAAAAUUUUAAUAGGUGGGUGACCAAAAUAGAACUAAGUGCAUAGUUGGAUGACUAUACUUUUAGUUUACCCAUUAUUCAUAGUUGCUGACAUUCAAAAUUGACAUGGAUUAAAUUGCUCAGAUUUUUUAGAGGGACGAGCUUACUCAAUUUCUCGUAGACAGUUGUGGUUUUUAUAAUUUCUUUUUAAAACUCAAAAAUAAAUUGUAAAAACUUGUUUUUAAAAUGAUUUUUUUAAAAAUAAAACCAAUUUGAUUAAAGUGUUGCAAUUGAUAAGGGGAAAUCUCAUUACUUUCGCCUACAAUUAUUUUAAACAUAGGUUAACACGUAAUUUGGGGAGGAACUGAGAGAAAAACUUAUUAAACCAGAGUUAAAUAUUCAUCCCUUCAUUGCCGUUUUCCAUUUGUAUUGGUGCAUGCAAACACUUCACUUGGAUUUCACUAUCAACCUUCCAACUUCCCCACUAUGUACGAUUAAAAUAUCACACAAGUGAAGAGAUAUUUUAAAGGAGAAAAAGAUUGUUGGAAAAAUAUCCACCUAACAAAGUUAAUCUAAAUAAAAAAAUAUCUAAUUUAAUUAAAAUUUAUUGAGCUUUAAUUAUUAAAUAAAAUAUGAAUCAAAUAUUAAUUUCAAACUGAUAAUGGGCUGAUUAGGAAUUAAAGUUAACGUAGAUUUAACUUUUUUAAAUUACUUAUCUACUAAUUUAAAAGAUUAAAACCACAAAAUUCAAAGAUCUCAUAAAAUCGAUAGAUUUAAGUACGCUUUUGUAUUUAAUUUUGUUCUUGACUAAACAAAUUUUACUUUAUUAAAUUUUGUAUCUUAACAAAGAUUAAUAAAAUUGGAAUUUGAAACAAUUAAUAUUGGCGAAUAAACUAGAAAAGAAUUUAAAUAAAAAAAUUUGGAGAAUAACGUGACGACUUAGAAGGUCUUGGUCCGUGGGGAUCACUCACAACUUGUUAUGGUUUAAAAACAAUCUCACCAUUGAAUUGUUGAGUUGACUGACCUGUUAGAUUUUGCGCUUGUCCUUGUCAUGAAUUUGUCUUUUUAAGAGAAGGCUAGAAAAUUAAAAAUAAAACAUAGAAACGAGUACCCAGGUUAAAAUUCAUGGAAUUAUAUACGUGAAUUUUCUAGUUUUAUCACAUGUACGAGUUUUUAUUCAGUUUAUCAGUUUUAGGUUAAGACUGUAUUAAUUCUUAAUCCGUUUAUAUUGUAAUAAUUUGAUUCUUCUAUGUGAUUACUUGGACAAUUUAUUUGGGUUAUAAUAAUUUGAUACUUAUAUGGUUUUAGUCAAAUACUUUGAUUGUAUUACACUUGUAACACUUAUAGAAAAAUCAACGAAACUUUAAUUUAAUGAUAAGGUUAAAGUCUUAAAAUGUUCGAGAUUUCAAGUUUAAAUCUCAUAAUUUGAGUUCUUAUACAUUUUAAUAAUUAAUUUUAAUUGUAACUUAUAAUUAUAUUUUAAGCUGUUAAAAUUAUAUCAAGUUAUUGAUGUAAUUCAGUAUAAUUUCUUUAAAUUAGUUAGUAGUUUGGACUAUAGACUAUCUUGUAAGAAAAGUCAAAUUGGGUAGUCAAAUGUUAUAAUAUAGCAAAAUACCGAUUGAGAAAAAUCAAUUGGAAAAAUUCUCUCAAUUUUUCAUCCAUCUUGGAUCAAAAUUCAAAGGUAUCAACCAAUUGAAUCCCUUGGUUUGUAGAAAUUGGAUCAAUAUGACAUUGAAGACAUAUCUCUAAUAGUCCACUUUACAUUGGUCUUUAUUAUUAUAUUAUAUUCUAUUUUUAUAUAUUAGUUGUUGUUUUAUAGGGAUUCGAAAGUAAUUUACCUUUAUCUUUACAAGUCUUAAAUUUCGCUUUUGUAAGUUAGAAGGAGGUACUUUUUAUAGCACUGAUCUGUUCUUUGAGGAAUUUAUAUUUGAGAGUGCAUCGAAAGUGUAAAAUAAGUUUAUUAUCAUAUCGAAGUGUGAUGGGCUUAAGUCACUUGUUGUUUUGAGAAUAAAGAUGAUAAAAUUUACUCAACAAAUUAAUAUUCACAAAUGUAGGGAGAUCGAAUUGUAUAAACAAUUUUACAUGCCCUAUUUUUAAGUGUAUAAACUAAUUUGGUUAAUUUUAAGUGUCCGGGCCUAAUUCCCUAAUUCCCCCCCCCCCUUAAUUUCUAUCCUUUGAUAGUUGGGUGAUUGGGAUGACUUAUUUAUUUUGGAAGCUUUAUUAGAAUUUCGUCUCAAUGAAAAUUUGUCCUAUAGGACAUGCUUUCAGUUAUGUCAGCUAUAGGACGUGUUUCGGUAUAAAUUAACAAUUCAACUUUGUUGGUUAGAUGGUUAAAUAUUAAUAUUUUUGUUCUUAAAUUUCGUGUUCGAUUCGUCUUCUAUUCAAGGACAAAAGUAUUAACAUUUAACCAUCUGAUCAAAAGAGUUGCGUUAUCAAUUUUAAGGAUGCGUUUUCAGCUAAUAUGACUGCAAGCAUAUCCUGUAGGCCACGUUUUUCUUUCUUUCUCUAAAAACAACACAUUUUUUUUCUUUUUCAGCAUAUAUACGUAAAUUAGCCUUUUAAACCAUACUUGAGUAUCAAAUAAUAUUUCAGUAUCUUUUAUAGGAAAUGUUCAAAUCAAAUAACUAAAAAGAGAAUAAAAAACUCAAAUGUAAAAGGGUUGAUGAGAUUAUUCAUAAAUACGAAAUUUGUUUUUAUAAAUAUACUUACAUAAAUACAUAAUGGAUGUGACAUAGUUGAUGUUUGUAUUUAUUUUUCAUGUGUAGCACUAUCAAAUCUACUUGCACCAAAAUUCUAACCCAUACGAUAAUUCAUUACCUUAAUUGGCGCAGCAAAUAAUGAGAAAGCUGGAUUUGUGCCCAAAAUUUUAUUAUUUUCCAUUGUGUGAUUGGAUGACAACUUCCAUCCCUCCAUGCCUCAAAUAUCUAAACAUACAUUGAAAUCAAUUUUUCUUAUAUUCUUAAUUCCUUUACUUCUUAACAAUUCUCCCUCUUUGUCUCAGAUUUAUGUAUAAUUUAUCAAUUCUUAAAUCUAAAAUCUUAAUAUUACUUACAUCAAAUAUUCAUAUAUAAUGUGCCUCGAAAAUAAGUUUUAUAUACCAAUAACUAGUUCACUUUCAAUGUAAGGAUAUAAGGCCCAUUUAUUUUAUUAGACCCAUGUUCAUGACUGAUUUUAAUAUUUUUGUUGACCCGUUUUUGUAGUGGUUAUAAUAUUAGGGUUAUAAUAUUCAAAUUACAUAUAUGUAAAUUUUUUAACUGUUCAUCUUUAGAAAAGAGAUAUAUUAAAGAAGAGUCGCCACUAACCAAUUAGGGCUAGGUUGGUAAGCCACCUAUCAUUUAAAAAUCUAGAAUUAAUACUUUGAAAAAAUCCUAAAAGUCUAGACUCGAUCUCAUCACCAAAUUUUGGGUUCGGGAAUAUGGUUACAUAUGGUGAAAACUAUAGCACCCCCACAGCGCCUAUCCGGGGGAUAGUCCUACGGGGUCAUAAAGGUAGAAUUUUUUUUUUUAGUUAAGCAUUAAAAUCUUAUGGAAAUUUUAAAUAAAAACUCUAAAGAAAAUGCCUCUGGUUUACUUGUAACUCAAUUAAGAUGUGUUCACAAAACUUAUCUAAUUUGAAACUUUAAUGAGAGAUUUUUAAUUUUAACGGGAACCUAAAGGAUACCUAAAUAAAUAUAGUAAAAUAUUUUUAAUUCCUAAAAUUAAUUCUAUUUUAGAAUUCUAAAAAAACCUAGAAAUUACCAAUAAAAUAAGAGAAAUAUUAAAAUCCAUCUACAACUUAUUUGAUCUUUUAUUAUUAUUAUUUAAAAGAUUUAAUUAAUAACAUUGAACCUAUCAAGAUUUACGAAAGUAUCCUAUGCCAGGUUUAUGAUCUAUCUUACUUUAAAAUUCUUUAUCUAAUAUUUAAUUUCGUCAAAAUCCUAAAAUAAUAUAUCUUAAAUAAUAUUUAUUAGCUUUCUUAAAAAGUUUCUAAAAUAAAAUACUUAGAAAGACGUACUCAUGAUUUACAAUUCACCUACAAAAAUCUUUAAUUUUAAUCUUGAAUAAAAUCCUAAAGAAUAUUUACAUAUUAAUUUAAGAUUCUAGUUUAAAACACUAACAAUAUCCUACAUAUUAUUUAUAAUUUUUCUAGGGUAAAUGGUGGAUAAGAUCUUAAGGACUAGCCUAAAUCCAAAUGUAAAACCCUUAUGGUUUCAUUAAAAUGUAACACCUAUUUAACUAACUUCAUGUCAACAAUUAUAGGAUGGAAAAAUGACCUAAAGUUCCCUCUUUUAAAACGAAUAGUAAUAAAAUAGGAAAAUCAAUUAAAUUGGCUAAAGUUAAUGAAAAGUUAAAACUCUUCCAAAAUGGCAAAAAUAAAAAAGAAAGAUUAAAUAAAUGAAAUAAAUAAGACCUUACCAUGAUGAUAUUAAUAAUAACAAUAAUACACAUUAUUCAUAAUACAAUAAAAGAAUCAAAGUAAUAAAUUUCGGAUGAAAUCGAAUAUUUGAAAAAAUCAAAAGGUUACGGGUGUAAAUAUGCCAAAGAGUGAGGGCGGCGUUGCAAGAAAUGGGGUAUUUUUUGUAAAUUUAAAAAGUAAGGGGUGAGAAUAAAUUACCCAUUUUUGGCACCUAUAAAUAAAUAAAAAACUAUUAAUUCUUUCAUUUUAACCUCAUUUUUUUUCAAAAAAAAAAUCUUCCUCUUUCUCUUCCUCCUUCUAUGUUGGCCAUGGCUCUACCACCAGAGAGCCCAACGACUCUCUGGCCUCAGAUGGUGGAGCUGUCGCAUACGAUGGUCGAGUUUUUUUUUUUUGCAAAAUUAAAGUUUUGUUUUUAAAAAAUCGUUACUUUUCUUACAAACUGAAACUUUAUUUCAAAAUAGUUGAAAAAUAUCAAAACUUUGUUUUAAAAAAUUUAAACUUUUCCUUUAAAAUAACUAAAAAAUAGAUUUUUAUAUUAAAAAUCUAAACUUUCUCCUUUUUUUUAAAAAAAAACCCUAUUUUUCUUGAAGUUCAAAGCUUUCAUUUUGAAAUAGUUGAAAAAAUAAAAAAAUUUGUUUUAAAAAUUUAAACUUUCCUUUUAAAAAGACUGAAAAAACAUAUUUUUAUUUUUUAAAAUCUAAACUUUCUUUUUUAAAAAAAAAUUAAAACUUUUCCCAAGAUCAAACUUUUGUUUUUAAAAAGAAACCUUUAUUUUAGAAAUGGGAGGGAAAAAACAAGAUUUUUGGGGCUCCUAGGGGGUGGAGGAUCGACGGUCCGGUGACAUCCCCUUCAUCGGAACCCAAAACCCGAUCCUUCAUGAGAUAUCUAUGGCCAAAAUAAAAUAGAAGAAAACAAGAGAUAUAGCAUGCUUGUUGUUGUUGUUUUACCCUUUUUUUAGAACAAAAAUAUGAAAAGCCUUCCCCUUUUUUCAUUUUCAUUUCAUGUUUAUAUAUUGUUUUUUAAUCUUGCUUAUUUGUAGAAAAUGAUGAUAAUAAUAAUAUUUAUUAAUAAUAAUAGAAGUAGUGAUGAUAAUAAUAAUUUGAGCCCUUGACAAGCCUAAAAAGGAAAGAAAUAAGUCUCAAAUUGACCAAAAUUAAAUGGGCUUCAAACGGCCCAAGAGAGAACAAAAAUUUAAAUGGGCUUCUAAUUGGACUUGGACAAGAUGGGUGUCUACAACUGUUGCUCUCACUGUAGAUACACACUCCAUUAUCCAUCAUAUCCAUUUUUCUCCAAAUCCCAUCUUGAAUAAAACCAACUCCAAAAAAUCCCACCGAACACAGUCAUAUGCUUUAUAAAAAUCCAAUUUGAAGAUCAGAUUGCCCCUUCCUUCUUUCUCCUUAAUCGAGUGGAUUAUUUAUUUUUCUAUUAAAAUUCCAUCAAACAUUUGUCUUCUUCUAAUGAAUGCAAAUUGAGUAUCGCUCACCAGCUCUCUAAUGACCUCCCUUAUUCUUUGAGACAAUACCUUACAAGUCAAUCACAACUCACAACAGGUGAGUAUGGCACAGUACAAUAAUUCAAAUCAUAUUCCAUAUUACUAUUAUUUCAACUUUCCGAAAACACUUAUACUUGGAUAAUUCACAUCAUCAAGAUGCCAUAUGAUAAAUGAUCAUAAACCAAGUCAUAGUUCUAACAAUAUAUCAUUUUAGGUAAUCAAAAGGGUAUCACUCAUUCAAGUUAACAUUUAUAACUUUAACUGACUCACGAUGCUGCUCACACAAGUUUGAAAGAAUCCGCAACACAUGUAGGAUCUCAAGCCAUCGCUACGGUCUAUAUCACAGGUAAGUACCUGCUAAAUAAUCACACCAGCCCACAACCUACUAUUUAGGUACACCACGUACUCAUCAUACUCAUUUAUUAUUUAUUCUUUAAGCAUUCAAUGGAUAAUUACAACAUUAUAUCAAAUUCUAAUAAAAAAUGUAGUAUGUAAGAAAUCAUUAUAAACAUAAAAAUAAUAGCACGAGCUUACAAGACUAAUUUGCUGCAACAGCCAAAGUAUAGGGACUACUCAACUACUUUGUCCUUUCCACGGUUAUCAACACGUUCUUAAUCUAAAAUAAUAAUUUCAUUCAAUUAACCAACACCAACAACAAAAUUAACUUAUCUUGUGCUAAUAAGUCCUUUUCGACAUGUUUACGAAAUUACCCCCAACAUUUUAUUUUUAUGUAAUUUAGUCUCUAAGCUCAAAACAUGCAAUUUAACCAUAUGAAAGUUUACUUCAUUAACUUAUCUUGGCAUUACACUAAUUUAGGAAUCAAAAUACAUUGGUACAAACAGAGCAAUCCUUUGACAUCUUGCACAUUUAUUUACUUUCACAAAUACAUCAAAUACGUUAGUUUGAUUAGGAGCCAUAAGCUUAAAACAAAUUCAUAUAGUGAAAUAAAAAUUCAUCUUAUCACAUAUACUAACCAAAUCAUAUUCAAUUUGUAACACAUAAUUUCAUUCAUAUACAUAUAUAUUUAUUCCAAACAUAUUGAUUCCAUUUAGUACCAUUUUCAUUUCUAUUUUUCGCCUAGAAAACUGAAGUAAAAUGAAAUCAGAUACAUGGGAUUGAUUUGCUCACACAAGUUUUAAUAUUCAAAUUUUCUCACACGAGCUAUGGUAUUUGAAUUUGCUCACACAAGCUGUGAUAUUUAGGCUGCUCACAUAAGUUGUAGGUCAAGUUUACUUUUGCAACUUUAUUCGAGACUGCUCAAUCAAGCUGUUAAGAAUCCGCAACACAUAUUGGAUCUCAACCAUCAAUAAAGAAACCCCUGAACAAUUCCUUAUUUCUUUUUGAACCUUAAUGACAUGCCAUUCGUAUUCUAAUCGUUUACUAAGUUCAUACAGGUACCAUUAUAGUUUCUGUAUCAUUUCAAACUUGUAAUCAUAUACAUACUGUUCAUAUUUUUUUGAAUAGUAAUCUAUAUACCUUUUAAACCUUGUAACAUCAUCACAUACAUACUAUUCAAUUACAUAAUUGUUCACAUCUAUUCAAUACCAUGUACUUAAUCAAAUUUAUCAUUUAAUUUGUAUUUUAUGGUUUGGUCCAUUUGAUACCAAAAACAUCAUAUUCAUAACAAUUCAACUAGAAAAUUAAACAAUAUAACACAAACAUAUUAUGAAUUAAUAAAGUAAGUCCUGUAUGAACUUACCUGGAAAAACAACAAGCAAACAAGACGUCGUGGACUAAUCCACAAUUUUGUCUUUUCUCCAAUUAUCUUCUAAUUGAUUUAAUUCCCGAUAUAUAUGAUAAUUCAUUUCAAUUUAUCAAUUCCAAACAUCUUAUAACAGCCUAUUUUAAGCAUAUAUUAACUCAAUUUUAUUUUUUGAAUGCUUCCUAUAGUUUUUAUUUUAUUCAAUUUAGUCCUUAAAAUUGAAAUAAACAUAACUUUCACCUUUAAGCUAUGUUUUUCAAUCCAAUUUCAAUUUCAAUUUCAUCCUUCUAUAAUUCUCUUUUAUCUAUAUUUAAAAAAAUUCAUGUCAAUUUUGAAUUAUUUACACUUUAGUCCCUAUGUUCAAAACUAACAAUUUUCACUUUACAAAGUCAUUAUUUUUCAUAUCUAAGCUUAAAAUCUAACUAUUUAACACUAAAGUUUCAAGCAUUAAUUAAUGGCAUCAUUUAUAAACUUUAAUGGUUUCAAAAAAUUAACACACAAGCUAGCUAAACAAGCUCAUCAGAAUUCAAAAACAUAAAAUUACAAGAAAAUGACUAAAUUGAGCUCACCAAUUGAGAGACUUAAGCUUGGGACUCCAUGGUCGAAUUCCUUCUCCUCAAAAAUGGAGUUUUUGGUGGAGAAGAUGGAAUGAGAAAAAAAAUGUUCUCUUUCCACCCAGUUUCAUCUUUUAUUAGUUUUCUUUAUUUUAGUUAUGUUCAUAUUUUAAUUUUAAUAUAAUUUCUAUAAAAAUCAUGCUAAUUACAUAUAUUAACCGUCCACCGUAUUAUAAAAUUAUCUAUUUACCAUUUUAACCUUGAUUUAAUUAGCAAUUAAGUCUUUUAGUAAUUAUAAGUCUAUAGCGAUUAAAUUUUACUAUUUUUACGAUUUAGUCCUUAUACCUUAAUUAGUCACUAAUUUGACAAAACUACCUAUCCAAAAUUCAAUUUACCUAUAUAAUCACUUCAUAAAUAUUUAAUAAAAAUAUUACGAGUUUAGUUUUACGAAAAUGAGGUCCCGAUAUCUCAUUUUUGACACCACUAAUUUUAGGGUCAUUACACUUGUACCUUACUUAACUAUCCAUUCAAUAAAAUUACUGGACCAAAAAUCAAUUUAACACUAUAAUAGACUCAUAAAUAUUAAUUAAUAAUAUUUACUGGCUGAAUCAUUGGAAAAAGGGAUUCCGAAACCAUCGUUUUUUAUACCACUCAAAAAUGGGUUGUUACACCAUUUCAUUCAUGCCAUGUUUUAAUGAAUGAUUCAUAUAGUAUUUAACCCAACACAGAUUCUUUCAUAGCAUAGUUCCUAACAUUUUCAUACAUACAUACAUACAUACAUACAUACAUACAUUUCAUUUCCAUUUCUUUUACUAAGGCGUGCAAGAUUCUAAAUUACCAUAAUAUUAAUAGAAACAAAUUUACCCAUAUCAAUUUCUUUAUAACUUACUUAGAUCAUCACCUUAUAACCAUAUUUUUCCAUUCCAUUAUUAAUUCUUAUCAUAUCUCUGGUUGACGCCCACUAUAAUCUCAAUAAAACAACAAACAGACACUAUUGGAAAUCCAUAUACACCAAAGAGCACUGAGGUGCUAUGCUCGAAGGAAACAUCUAACUCCAUAUAUCAUAAGGGCUUUCGAAGAGGUAACAUGAGUCGAAUGGUCAAAAAGAAAUGCUCGACCAAAGGUAACACAAUAGAACUCCAAGAACAUAUCACAUAAAUCCAAAGCCCACAUAUCUCCGGUACAAAACUCUAAUGAAACAUAAACAUGAGACCCUAAUUGGCAUGUUAACCGUAUCCUAACCUUUCUAGUAAGCUUACAAAGACUUAAAUGUUCAUAACAAUGAUUUAUGGUUCAUUACACCCAUAACAUUCCCUAAAAAGUGUCAUAUUGAUUCAAUUUCAUAAUAGAAGGUUCUUAGACCUCACAUGUUCAAUAUCUUUUUUCACAUUGUCAUUGUCAUCUUUCCAUUAUUAUAUUAUAGCAUAACAAAAAUUAUGAUUUUGAUAUAGAUUAUAAUUAUAUAUACUUUGUUGUGUUUAAUUGCUAAAUUGCUAAACUUUGGUUAAAUCCAUGCAUCUAGGGAAUUUUAAACUUAAUAGUGGACUUGUGAUGUGAGCCAAUUUGGGAGCUAUCAACUUUAUGGACUUAAUUAAGAAGGUCUAAAUUUGGAAAGGACUAAGAUGGUAAUUAUGCCAAUUUGAAUUUGAAUUUCACUCAAACAUUAAAUGCGACAGACUUGUUUUGUUUCGUUAGGAUUGCUUUACUAUUUAUUAGGUUUACUUUUAGGGUCCGUUUGUUUACAUAUAAAAGGUUUUACGAAAAAUAUUUUUUUGCAUUUUCCUGUGUUUGUUUCACAGAAAACAGCUUGGUCAACGAAAAAUUACUUACUGCUCAACGGAAAAUAAGCCUUUUCCUUGUAAAAUGAUUUACCCUUUUGAAAAGUGUAAGUCAUUUUCCAGAAAAGAGCUACUCAAUAGAUAAUUUUACUUUUAUAGAAAAAUUAACUUAAAUCAAGUUUAAUAUUAUUAUGUUGAUAAUAAUUUUAUUAUUUUUAAAAAUAUUAAAAAUAUUAAUAUAAAAUAUUAUAUUUUUAAUAUUAUUAAACAUACAUAUUUAAUUAUUUAUAUUUAGUCAUAUAAUAAAUUAUUAAUAUAAUUAAUAUAAUUUAUUAUUUUUAAUAAAUUAUUUAAUAUUUAAAUUUUAUUUUAAUAUUAAAUUUUAAAAAUAAUAAUUUUAAAUGAUAUUAUUCACAUAUUAUUGAAAAUAUCAAUAUUAAUAUUUUAAUACUAAAUAUUUAUUACAAUUAUAAAUAUAUUAAUAAUAAAUAUUUUGUAGUAUAAAUGUUAAAAUAUGUCAUAAGUCUAUAUACUCUUCACAAAUUUGAAUUUAGUUUCUGUACUUUUAUUUUCAAGAAUUUAGUCCCUCUACUUUCCAGAUUUAAAAAUCAAGUCCAAUUGCUGACAUUGUUGAUUUUUUUUGUCAAUUUUGUUAAAGUCACAUUUUUAAAUAAAAAAAUACUCAGUUAGUAGUCAUGUAGCUAGAAAAUAAUCGUUGCAAUGUACCUAAAUUUAACAAAAUAUUUUUAAUAUAUGUAAAAACAAUGUAAAAUAUAAAAUUAUAGAUAUAAAAUAAAUUGAAUUAAAUAAUAAAAAAAUAAAAAAAUCUCAAAUGUAUGUUUGUUUAAUUGAAAACGACUUUUAUGAAGUAUUUUUAAAGAACCUGCCAAACAAAAGAAAAUAUUUUACACAGAUUCAUCCAAACGCCAGAAAAUAUUAGCUUUUCUAAAAAAGUAAAUCAUUUUCCAGAAAUCAUUUUCCGGAAGUUAUUUUCAGUGAAAAAAAUGGAGCCUUAGUAUAUAUAUAUAUAUAUGUAUGUUGAGGGAGUAGUCGAGGGAGGAAAAACACGAUUAGUUUUUAUUUCUUUUUCUUUUCACAUUGAAUUGUCAUAAAUGAUUUAUAUAAGUACCAAGGAGUGGACUUAUGUGUGUUGUUGUGGCUUCCUCAAUUUCAUAGCUUGGAAAUAAAAGUACAAGAUUAAUUUAAUUGUAGCUAUCUCAAUCAAGUGAUUUUGGUUUAGUCCUCACGAUUCUUAAUGCCAUGAUUGAAUUUAAUAUGGAACGCUAUUGUGCCCACCUAUUUAAUGCUAAGCUUUAAUUGAAAUGCUUGGUUUGAAUAUAGAGUUAUUCUUUUUGCGACUUUUUCGAAUAAGUAGACUAAGCAUUUGGGUAUGAGAAAUUGAUUUUUAAGUCUAUGAUCAGAAUUACAAUUGGAUGGAACUUACACCUUUGGAUUGGAAGUUUGCUAAGAAUUGAUUUUCAUUAUUUUUAAUAUUCAACUUUUAAUUAAUUUCUUGUUUAUCUUUAAUUAUUAGUUCAAUAUAUCAAAAUCUCCCUUUUUUAUUUUAUUGUCUAAACUUUGAGACUAAUAAAUUUAGCUCUAUUGGGAUUCGACCUGAUUACACUAUUUCUACGAGUUAGUUUAGGAGGAAAUGAGUUGGAAAAACACAUUAUUACCAUAUUGAACUUUCUCUUUCUAGUUUCCAUUUUCUCUUUCAAAAAUCCAUAAAACCCUUAGCUUGAAUGGUGAAGUUGACAGAGGAAAAUGAGUUUAAAAGUUGAUUCUCCACUUGAUUUUUGUAAAAAUCGAAGUUUGGGAUUGAAAUAUGGCUUAAAUUAAAGAUAAAUAGAAAGGAGACCAAUAAAGGUGUCCGUGGGUUGAGUUGACUUGAUGCCCGAUUAAAAAAAAUUUUAAAUCCAGACCCGCCCAAAAAACUAAUUUUAUUGAAAAAUUAAUAAAAUAUUUAAAAUAUAUUUUUAUAAUUAAAUUUAAAUUAAAAAAUACUUUUUAUUAUUUAAAUUAAAUUUGAAUUUAACUCGGAAUACAAAAAUUCUUGUCUAAACUCAAACCAAACCAAGCAAAGCCUACUGAGUAAGGCUAACUACGUGAUUUUUGGACAGAUCUAGUGAACAAAAUCUCCGUCCCCCGUAAUGGCCACCUGGUUUGGGGAUGGGGUUUUUUUUUUGCCCCCCUUCCCUCUGUUAGAAACAUAUAUUUAUUAGUUCAAUGGUAGCGACCACGCCCCUUUAAUCUCAUAUAUAUAUAUAUAUUAGUUCUCAAUAACAGAGAUCUACUUAUACUAGUGUAAAACUUAAGUGGAUUUACACCUUUUCGUAACUUUUUAUACAAAUAAUAUUUUAACAAUCUAACAAUUGAAUUCAUCAUGAUAUUUGUACUUGUCAUACAUGUAAUUUGUUAAAUUUAUUCGAUAACUCUAUCAUAUCAAUCUAAAUAAUUGUCUAUAUUAAUAAAUAUUUAAUGGUUGGAAAGUUUUUUACAUAAAAUAAGUAGUUAGAAAUUUUUAACUUAUGUCAAACUUGACAUGUAUGAUCUACAUGAAUAGAGUAUGAAAUUUGACGGAAGAAUUAUUAAAAUAUUAAUUGUAUAAAACAUUAUGAACGGAUGUAAAACCAUUUUAAUUUUACUUCGUAUUCUUAAAUCUUCUCACUAAUCCCUUUUCUAAUAAAAUUAAUCUCAAUAAUUUAAUACCACAUUAAUAUUAUAAACCAUUUAUAGUAUUGCGUGAAAUGAUCAAAAUACUCACAUAUGACAAAGUUACCAUUUUACCUGUUUUUUAUUCAACACUUACAUUAAUCACCAUCACUUGACACUUAUCAUAUUUGAACUUCAUAAUAUAACUAUUACACAAAUCCAUAUCAUUCUCUCUUUCCUCUUCUCCUUAUACAUGUUUUGUACUUCCCUUAAGAGUCCAACCAGAACUACCCUAGCACGAGGUGCCAUUAGAGGGUCAUACCAACUAAAAUUAACGACAACAUACCCUUUUCCCAUUUCCAUAAUUUGGGCACCCAAGAAAUUUUCUACUUGGGUUUUCAUUACAUCAUGAUGUCUUUAACAUAGUUGGGAAUCAUAAUAACAAACAAGUAUAGCAUUUGGUGCCUCCUCUUAUUCUUAUUCUUAUUCUUCUUUUUCUUUGUUGUUUGGUUCAAAAAGUGGGAGUCCUCUUUUUUAAGGGUUUACUUAUUUUAAAGUGCAAAAAAAGAUUAAUAAGUAUUUUUAAAUUUGUAAAAAAAUGUCUAAAUAUGUGGCGCUUAGUUGGAGAACACAUUGGCAUUUAAUGCCCGUAAACUAGCCACGUGUGAUUCUUGUUGCCUCUUUAACGGUGAUUAAUGAAAUAGUGACUAUUUUGUUAUAAUACAAUAAUGUUAGUGACCACUUUAUAAGAAGUUAAAGUUUAGCGACUAAAACAUUUUGAGCAAAAGACGAGCACAAGGGUCAAAACAUAUUAUUAAGUAAUAUCACUAAUAACAACAUUAUGGAUUUCAUUUGGAUAAUCCAUAUUGAUAAACCACCUCUUAGCUUCACUACACAUUUUAGUACAAAUUAAAUCGGCCACACUAUUACAUGACCAAUGAGACCAAACUAAGUUGGCGGAAUUAAACAAACUAAAAGCUUUUUUACACUUUUUAACCCUACUACCUAUAAUGGUAAUGUCCUCAUCACAUAUAUUCAAUUUGUUCACCAACCUAGCAUUGUUAUUUUCAAAAGUCACAUCACCUAGAAUGUUUAGCUUGUCCGCAACCUCUAUGCUUCUCUCCAAGGCUAUGCACUCAGCCUCUAGUACACAAAAUCUACCCUCAUUGAAGCCUCCACCACCCCCAGCACAAACCCAUCCUCAUCUCUAAUGAUAACUCCAUAACCCAUCAUAUUAUUGUUGACUGUUGCAUCAAAAUUAAUCUUGACAAUGCCUUUCGAUCGUCUUUCCCAUUUCUUUGCAUCCUCAAUCUGGGUUAAUAUGGGGGGAUUCAUUAGGUUGUAGAUACGAAAUUUGUUACUCAGAUUACUAGCCUUCUCCCAUGUGCUUUGAGCUUUGUGAACUUGGCCUUUGAAAAUAAACUUGUUCCUACUGUUCCAGCAGUUCCAAAGCGUAGUAAUGAGGUCCGCCAUCCCCUUUUAUAUCAAGAAUUCUCAUCAUGUCUUCCAUCUAGUUGAUGCAUUUGUCAUACGGCUUCUCAUUACUGCUUAAGUCCCAUCCUCCUAUGGUUAGAACUUCGCGGGAUGUUGUACAUUCACGAAGGGCAUGGAGAAGAGUUUCGACAUUAGCACCACACCUGGGGCAGCUUUCAUUAAAACCAUUUCUGAUGGAAGCAAUUUUAACAUUUGUGGGAAGAAUCUCAUGACUAACUCUCCAGGCAAACACUGAAGUUUUUGGAAGAGUGUCAAGUUCUCCAAUAGAUCCUAUGCGGGCCAUACCCUAAUUUUUUUAACAGCAUCCACAAGUAAGCAAAUUUCGAAGUGAAAGACCCAUGAGGAUUGUGAAACCACACCAUCCUAUCUCAUUGGUUUUUAUUGCCUAUAGGAAUUUUACAUAUUCUAUUCCCCCAAUCUUUAUCGUACAACCUAUGCACCUUUUUGAUAUUCCAGCACCUAGCAUGCUCCAUCCAAAGAUCUUUAACACUGUCAUCACUUGAGGAAAGCAUAUUUGGGAUCAGUGUACUUCCAUUAAGACCUUCCAAACCCCAAUUGUCAUCCCUAAUUUUAAUGUUCUCACCAUUGCUUAUCUACCAACUGAAACCAUUCUUCAUAAAUUUCACAACAGCAGUAAUACUCGACCAAGUAAAAGAAGCUCUAUUCACUUUUUUAGCAUUGAAAAUAUUUCCAUCAGAAAAAUCUUUUAAAGAUAGAACUUUAAAGCAAAAUGACUCCUUGUUGUUGAUGAGUCUCCAAACUUAACGACCCAGGAGAGCUAUAUUAAAAAGUCUCAUAUUGUGUAAACCAAUACCACACAUUCCCUUAGGUUGACACAGAGUUCUCCAGGGGAGCAUAGACCAAAAUUUACCACUAUCCUUACCAGACCACCAAAUUCUACUAAGCUUUGUUUAAAUCUCCUUUAACACCCUUUUUGGGCCAAGAAAAAUAGACAGUGCAUAACUAGGGAUGGACUAAAGCACCGCUUUGAUCAUGACCUCUUUACCUCCAUAGGAUAAGAGUCUUUUUGUCCAACUAUUUAUUCUACAAGACAGUCUAUUAAUAAUAUCAGUAAAAGCCUCUCUUCUUUUACCAAUAGGGAGGGGUAGACCCAAGUAUUUAUCUAACUUCUCCACAACAUUCAUACUUAAAAGAUUAUUACAACUUUUUUUUGUUCACUAGGGGUAUUAGGGCUAAACAAAACCAUAGAUAUUUCAAAAUUUAUUUCUUGACCAGAAACAUUUGUAAACUUUCUAAGGAUAUUCAUGAAGCACUCUAUCUCUCUUUUUUUGUUCCUGACGAAUAAAAGAGCAUCGUCUGCAAAGAAUAAGUGAUUGUUGGUGCUGUAACUGAAACUAACAGACUCAGCACAGACUUGUCGAGCAAGUCUCGAGACUUGCUGAGCAAACAAGAGAAUUCGAGCAGAAGAAAGAAAGAAAAGCUAAGAAAAAUGAAGAGGAAAAUUGAUGAACAAACUGAACUUCAUUCAUCUAAUUGAAUAAUGGCAUAAUGCCAAUACAUAAACCAAGCACUAAGCUUGUCAAAAACAGCAAGUAAUUACCUAAACAUCACCUACUCCCACUAAUUACAUGGAAACUUGAAAUUUUAGCUUGUAAACCUAUACAAAGUUGUGUUUACAGCUCAUACAUAAGCUCAUUACAUCAGUCAACAACCUAACUUAGUUAGAAAUGAACAAAGAUUACAUUUCAUUGACUAGAAAUUACAAAAUAAACAAAAUAAGCUCGCAUCAGCAGCUCCUGCAUGUCUUGGUCUUCAUGGCCUGCAUGUUGUCGAGUUUGCUGCAUGCUGAACCAACUUCAUCACUCCUCCUUGGUUUGCAUGGAGCAAACACCUAGUUUCUUUCUUAGACAUUCGAACCUUGUGACACUAAGGGCUUUGGUUAAAAUGUCUGCAAGUUGAUCCUCUGAAUUACAGUGGAUCAGCUUUACUUCCUGAGCUUGCUCCAUUUCUCGAACAACAUGUAACUUGAUGCUAAAAUGCUUUGUUCUUCCAUGGAACACUGGAUUUUUAGCAAUUGUUACUGCAGAUUGGUUGUCACAGAAGAUCUCAGUAGCUUCCUCUUGAUGCACAUUCAAGUCAGCCAAGAUUUUCCUUAGCCAUAUGGCUUGGUUGACAGCACUUGCUGCUGCCACAUACUCUGCUUCAGCAGUAGAUUGAGCCACUAGACUUUGCUUCUUCGAGCUCCAGUAAAACAUGGCUGAACCAAGGUUAAAAGCAUACCCUGAGGUGCUUUUCAUGUCAUCUAUCGAGCCAGCCCAGUCACUAUCAGUGUACCCAACCAGCUUCAGAUUUCCUUCUUUGCUAUACUUCAAACCAUAGUUUAAAGUGCCUUUGACAUAUCUCAGCACUCUCUUUGCAGCUUGGAAAUGCUUCUCAUUGCAGCAAUGCAAGAACCUUGAGAGCAAUCCCACAGCAUACAUGAUGUCUGGUCUAGUGGCUGUCAAGUAUAGCAAGCAACCAACUAGACUCUUGUAGGUUGUUUCACAUACCUUCUCAAAAUCACCUUGGCUCGAUAGUUUUUCUCCAACAGCAACAGGUGUUUUAGUUGCCUUGUUGUUUUGUAUGGAGAACUUGGUCAAAAUCUUUGUGGCAAAGCUUCUCUGGCUUAGAAAUAUCUCAUUCUGUACUUGAGACACCUCCAUUCCAAGAAAAUAGGACAUCUCCCCAAGAUCAGACAUUUCAAACACUUCCUGCAUCUUGGUCUUGAAAUCAGCCAGCACUGCUCGAUCUCCUCCUGUCACCAGAAGGUCAUCAACAUACAGGGACACAAUGAGUUGUGUUUGUGUCCCUUGUUUCUUGACAUACAGUGUUGGCUCACUCUUGCUUCGAUCGAAUCCCAGAUCAGUCAAGUAGCCAUCGAUUCUGCUGUACCAGGCCCUUGGAGCCUGUUUUAAUCCAUAUAGGGCUUUCUUCAGUUUGUAGACCAUAUGCUCUCUGCCAGCUAUUUCAAACCCUUGUGGUUGUUCAACAUAGAUGUCUUCAUCUAAGAAACCAUUCAGAAAGGCUGAUUUCACAUCAAGUUGAUGGAUUUUCCAUUCAAGCUGUGCUGCUAAGGCAAUUACCAGUCUGAUGGUGUCGAGCCUGGCCACUGGUGCAAAGGUCUCCAGGUAGUCCAGGCCAUACUUCUGACUGAACCCCUUGACAACUAGCCUUGCUUUCAGUUUGUUCAAGGUUCCAUCAGCAUUGUGCUUGACUUUGUACACCCAUUUCACCCCAAUCACCUUCCUUUUGACUGGCCUUUCAACCAAUUCCCAGGUCUAGUUCUUCUCAAUCAUGCUGAUCUCCUCAACCAUUGCCUGCUUCCACCCUUGUUGAGCCUCAGCCUCUUCAAAGUUGCUUGGUUCAGCUAUGGCUACAUGAGCCCUUUCAUAAAUCUCAGUCAAUGGCCUUGUUCCUCUGACUGGUUCAUCAUCAAUGUCCAUUUCUGGAACAUUUUGGUCUGGCUCAGCUUGGUCUGUUGCUAGUUCUUCAGAAACUUUUUCAGGUUCAUGUCUUUCCCAGUUCCAACAUGACCUUUCAUCAAAUACCACAUCCCUGCUAACUGACACCUUGUUUCUUGAAGGAUCCAAGAUCCUAUAGCCUUUCUUAAUAGUGCUGUAGCCCACCAGUACACCAGGUUGAGCUCUUUCAGACAAUUUGUCCCUUUUAAUAGCAGGUACAUGUGCAUAACAGAUGCAUCCAAAGACCUUCAGAUGAGCCAGUGAUGUCUUGAAGCCAAACCAGGCCUCGAAUGGAGUCUGCUGAUCCAAAGCCUUGGUUGGAAGUCUAUUUUGAAUGUAUGUUGCAGUGUUAACUGCUUCUGCCCAUAGUGCUUUAGGCAGAUUCUUCUGAAUCAUCAAGCACCUGGCCAUAUCCAUCAAACUCCUAUUCUUCCUUUCACUUACACCAUUCUGCUGAGGUGUAUAUGUGUUGGUAAGUUGAUGUUUGAUGCCUGCCUUAUCACAGAAGGCUUGGAACUGAGCUGAGGUGUACUCAGUUUCAUUAUCAGACCUUAUGGUCUUCAGCUUGCAGCCUGUUUCAGUCUCAGAAGCAGUCUUGAACUUCCAAAACACUGAGGCCACCUCUGAUUUUUGUUUUAAGAAGUAAAUCCAGCAAUAUCUUGAAAAAUCAUCAAUGAACAGUAUAAAAUACCUGUUUCCACUUAAUGACUCAGUCUUCAUAGGGCCACACACAUCAGUAUGCACCAGUUGGAGUUUUUCAGAGGCUCUCCAGGCUUGAUUCGAGGGAAAUGGGAGUCUGGCCUGCUUUCCUAGUUGACAUACUUUACAUACAUCAUCAUGGUCCACUGAGUUGAUGAAAUUUUCAGCCAGGUCCUCUCUGACCAUUCGGGCCAUCGAUCUGAAGUUGGCAUGUCCCAGUCUUUGAUGCCACAGCUUGGAUUCAUCUGAUGUGGCUGUGUAGGCAGUGUCUGACUUCUUUGUCCAGUCAACCACAAAGCUCUUAUCAGCCAUAGGGACUGCCAUCAGUUUGGAUCCACUUGGAUCACUGAUUUGGCACUGGUGGUCUUUAAACACAACAGAAUAACCUUUUUCCAGCAACUGAGCUAUGCUGAGCAGGUUUCUGUAAAUUUCAGGCACCAACAGCACAUUUGAAAUCACUUUGGUACCUGUAAGGGUGCAUAUCAGCACAUCACCCUUGCCUUCAGCUUGAAUAAAAUGACCAUUUCCUAUCUUGACUUUAGUUCUGCAGCUUCUGUCUAAAGACUUGAAGAUUGCAGCAUUAGGUGUCAUGUGGUUGGUGCAUCCACUGUCUAGGAGCCAACCAGAUGAGGACCUUUCCUGAGCAGCUGAGCAUGACACAGCAAAGACUUGCUCCUCUUGGUCACUGUCCUCCUUAGCUACUCGAGCCUCAGCUUUCAUCUGUUGAAACUGAUUCUGCCUCGAUUUGGUCUUACUCUUGCAGACUCUCUCAACAUGACCCUUCUUCUUACAAUGCUGACAUACAGCUUCUGGAUUAAACCAGCACUUUUCUUCUGGAUGACCAACCCUUCUGCAGUGCUUGCAAGUAUGACCUUCUCUCCUUGCAGCAUCAUUCUUUGGUUUGUCUCUCCAGGCCUUCUUGCCUUUGUAGGCAGUAUUUGUUCUUGCCUGAAAGGCACCUUCUUGGUGCUCCUCCAGUCUGCUUGCUCUCCUCUGCUCUUGAGCAUAUAGAGCAUUGAUCAACUCUGUCAGGGAGAUGGUGGACAGAUCCCUUGAGUCCUCGAGAGAUGAGAUUUUUGCCUCAUACCUCUCAGGCAGAGUUGCUAUAACCUUCUCCACUAUCCUAGCUUCAUUGAACUGCUCUCCAAGGAGCCUGAUGCUGUUAACCACAGCCAUAAUCCUGUCAGAAUAUUGCUUGACAGUUUCUUCUUCCUUCAUCUUCAAAUUCUCGAAAUCUCUCCUCAAGUUCAACAACUGUUGCUGCCUUGUCCUCUCUGUCCCUUGAAACUCUUCCUGCAACUUGUCCCAGGCCUGUUUUGGUGAUUCACAGGCCAUAAUCCUUGUGAAAAUCACAUCAGACACUGAGUUCUGGAUGCAAGACAUGGCUUUGUGCCUCUUGGUCCUCUCAUCAGCAUGCUGCCUGAUCUGAGCCACUGUUGGAUUGCCUCUAAGUGGUUCUGGUUCAACAUCUGAGUUGACCACCUCCCACAGAUCGUAUGCCUGUAGGUAGGUCUUCAUUUUGACCACCCAUAUGUGAUAGCCUUCUCCAUUGAAGACUUGAGGUGCAGCUGGUGAAAAGCUUGAUGAAGCCAUGUAUUUGUAUAACAGAUCCCUUAAGAAAUAGGCUCUAGAUACCAAUUGUUGGUGCUGUAACUGAAACUAACAGACUCAGCACAGACUUGUCGAGCAAGUCUCAAGACUUGCUGAGCAAACAAGAGAAUUCGAGCAGAAGAAAGGAAGAAAAGCUAAGAAAAAUGAAGAGGAAAAUUGAUGAACAAACUGAACUUCAUUCAUCUAAUUGAAUAAUGGCAUAAUGCCAAUACAUAAACCAAGCACUAAGCUUGUCAAAAACAGCAAGUAAUUACCUAAACAUCACCUACUCCCACUAAUUACAUGGAAACUUGAAAUUUUAGCUUGUAAACCUAUACAAAGUUGUGUUUACAGCUCAUACAUAAGCUAAUUACAUCAGUCAACAACCUAAAUUAGUUAGAAAUGAACAAAGAUUACAUUUCAUUGACUAGAAAUUACAAAAUAAACAAAAUAAGCUCGCAUCAGCAGCUCCUGCAUGUCUUGGUCUUCAUGGCCUGCAUGUUGUCGAGUUUGCUGCAUGCUGAACCAACUUCAUCAGUGAUUAAUUCUAGGCCCAUGCACAAUAGCACGAAUACCUCUUAGCAAAUCAUUAUUCUGUGCCUAAAUAAGCAUUCUUGAGAAAGCUUCCAUACAGAAUAAGAACAAGUACGGGGAUAAAGGAUCCCCUUGACGAAGGCCUCUUUUAGGGUAAAUGGUUUUUGAUAACAAAUUAUUACACUUAAUUAAAUGCUUAAUGGAACGUACACACCCCAUGAUUUUGUCGAUCCACUGAUUUGGAAAACCCAUUCAUCGCAUCACCGCUUCAAUGAAAUUCCACUCCACACGAUCAUAAGCUUUACUCAUGUCUAGCUUGAUCCGUAGCCUUUAUUGGAAUUGUACCGGGUGUUUUGAUGAUAAUAAAGAAGUUCACGUGCUAUAAGAAUAUUAUCAUGAAUCAUCCUACCUGGAUAAAAAGAACUUUGAUUAUAGCUAAUACAAUCAGGAAGUAUAACCUUCAGCCUGUUUCCCAACACCUUAGCAAUAAUUUUGUAGAUAUACCUGCACAAACUUAUCGACCGAAAGUUAGUGAAAUCACAAGGGUCUCUAUUUUUAGGGAUUAAAAUUAUAACAGUUUCAUUAAGUGAGGAGAUAUUUCCCUGUCCAUUAAGAAUGUCAAAACAAAAUCGUGUAGUGUCAGCACCCACAAUGUUCUAAUGCUGCUUAAAAAAAUUACCAGAUAAGCUGUCUAUUCUAGGAGCUUUCCUUGGAUCCAUCUAUUUGAUAGCCUUGUUAACUUUAGCCUCAUUAUACUCCCUUGUGAGUCAAACGUUAUUAUCUCUGGUAAUACACUCAUUCAUGUAGCUCAAAUCCAGCUGGGUGAUAUCAUUUCCAUUAGAGCGAAAUAAGUUCCAAAAAUAACUUCUAGUAGCUUUACAGAUCUCCUUACUAUUCGUAACCCAAUUACCAUUCUCAUCUUUGAUACUUCAUACUUCUAUCUCCUUCCUACUUCAUACUUCAGAGCGAAAUGUCCUGUAGAUUUAGCAUAGAAGUACUUCAUACUUCUAUCUCCUUCCUUGAGCCAUUGCACCUUCGAUCUUUGUGCCCAGUACCUUUCCUCCCUAUCAUACAGGUGAUUCAGCCUAUGUCGAUACUCCCUCAGCAUUUUUACACUGUCACCUCUACUUGUCGAAUCGAUUAUAUUAUUGAUGUUAUCCUCCAGCCUGCUAAUAUCUCUCUUCAUCAUCAAAUAAUUUUGUUUUUGCCAGUUUCCUAGAGACACCCGAACAUUUUCUAGCUUGUUCUCAUAGUUGCCCCACAUUGCAUCCAAUCCUUGUUAAUGAUCCUCUUAAUAUCCUUUUCUGAGGUCCAGCAGUCUUCAUAACGAAAUUGGAUUCUAUUAUCACAAGGAUAACACUUAGGUGUACGCCCAUAUAGAUCAAAAAGAAUGGUGUCAUGAUCAGACUAUGAUUGCCGAAUGACGCUAGAAGCAAUGAAAGGAAACUUUUCCACCAUAGAGACAGAAGUAAAGAAGCGAUCAAGCCUUUCCUUUAUUAACCUAUGCCUUUCUCUGUUAUUUACCCACGUGAACCACCCUCGGUCCGGCUUAAUAUCCACAACAGCGAAAUCAUCGACAAUAUCUUUGAAAUCAUUCAUAUACGCCCAAACAAUCCGACGCCCCAUUCCUUCUUUGCUUCAUUCAACAUUGCGUUAAAAUCACCUCCCACCACCCACUCCUCAUUGACAGCUUGACCCACUCUUCGAAGCAUAUUCCAAGAGUUAUUAUGUUCACUAGGGUUUGCAUGACAAUAGUAUCCCGUGACCCUAAUAAUACUGGUACUUCCUAACUUAACAGUAGAGUCGAUAUGAUGCUUUGAGUAGCUUUGAUUAGUAACAUCCAACUCGUCCUUCCACAUCAACACAAGACCUCCGCUCCGACCUUUUGAAUUUACUACAAGCCUAUUUUGCAACUUGCAUCUUAUUUGAACUCUUUGGAAUUCAAUAACAUUCAUUUUAGUUUCACACAGGAAGAUAAUAUCGGGUCUAUUGGCAACCAAAAGUUGCUUGAGUUCCUGAAUUGUCGCAGGUGACCCCAUCCUACGACAAUUCCAGCUGAGAAACUUCAUUCUUCAUGGCGGGGCUAUUCACCAGCCACCGCCUUUGAAGGUGUAGAGCCGUUCAUCAACUUUCUACGCACUAUUCUAUGAGGGCUUACUUCAUAUAACUCCCCAUUAUGUCCUCUAUUUCUUUUCCUUUUUGACUUUAUUUUUCCUAUACUAUCGCGUCCAAUUUUCAUAGAUCAUUUUUCUUGUGGUGUACUCAGUUCUGAUUCAUCAUCCGUGUCUUUAACUUGCUCCGUUUCCACUGGAUCAUUCAACGUAUUCGUCCCUAUUACCUUGCCGAAUUUCCUAUAUGACUUUCUAUCAUUCACAUUAUUCUCUUUAAUCAUUUCAAUACCAUUCCUUCAACCCAUUAUUUUGGUUGAUAACUCUUACUGGAACACUUAACCAGUUACCGUAUUGAAAUAUAUUAUCUUGGCUCUCAUUAUUAAUCAUCUGCUCUUGCAUUUUUGUGUCGUAUGACCAAUCAACCCACAAAUGUAACAGAAUCUUGGUAACUUCUCAUAUCUGAUUACACAUACAAACUCCUCCCCUUCGUGAUCAAUAUAAUGAACAACCCUUCGCAACGGCUUGUUUAUAUCAAUAUUAAUUCUAAUGCGCAUAUAUUCAGUCCAUCCUCCAUCUCUGUCUCGCUAAUCUAUAGCUAUGACUUCCCCUAUCGCAUUACCUACCUCCAACGCCAAAUCUCUAUCCAUGUACUCCAUCGGUAUGUUGGAUACUCUGACCCAAAAAGGUGAAUGACUAAAAUCAUAAUCUUCCAUUGUUUUGUCUUUAUUGUAUGGGACCAUGUUAAACAAGCAUUGGUCAAACAACCAAGGAGAGAGAUUAAGAAUUCUUUUUCUAUCUUCUUUAUUACAAAAUUUUACCGGUAUGCCUCCUUCUUUUAUAGCUACAAAAUUCACCUCCUCCUUUGUAUACCAUAGUGAUAUAAAGACUCUGUACAUUGCCUCUCUGUUUACUUUCUCCUUUGUCAUCAAUUUACCUAUAGCCCAAUGUUCAUAUCCUUUUGAGUUAUCCAUGUUUGCCUUUUUACUGACCACCCUCUUUGUUUCUUCCUCUGAAAAACUUAAUUUCGCCAACAAAAUACUGAUAUCCUCUUCCAUGAUUAUCAUGGGUAAUGUCCAAAGAUUCUAACAAGCCCUCUCUCCUCCAACAAACACCCAGAAAAUAGCCCAGCAAUAAACAGCUAUAGCCAGAGAAAGAAUACCAAGGAAAUCGCACACCAAAAGAACAAGCAACAAACGAAGAAAAACAACAAGAAACCGAGAUCCAAAGAGAACUACAAAACGAAACUUACAGCUAAAGUUUAAAAAGAUCUAAAAUACCUAUACUUAGUAACACUAAAGGCAAGAGAAACCCCCAUAAAAGACAAGAGAUUAGUUUAAUAAAGAUAAUAAAGAAAAGUCAAAAGAAAAAUUAUAAAUUCUAAGCCAUUCAUCUUUCUCGGUUUUUGCAUGAACGUAAAAUUCAUGCAAGAAAACAUAAAAAAAACUAUUAAACAAAAAAACCACGAAAGAGAGUAAAAACAAAACAAAUAAAACCUGAACCAGAGGUAGAAAUCUUUCACUUCAUCUAGGGCCAUUGAUCUGACGUGAAAUCAUGAGACUUCAAAAAACUAGCUAGAUGCCUGGAACAAGACUCCACCGCUACUCCACCACCCCACUAUCAGAAGGGAAAUCAACAAAGAAAAAAACUUACCAUCCAAUUAUUCUAUUAGAGAGAAUAAUGGAAACUGAUCGUUCUAAAUGCAUUUCUUGGAUCACUCUUGGUACGAAGCAGCUUCAACAGAAUUUCCUCCGCUCCUAAAAACCGGGGAAUGUCAUACAAAAUAAAAUCAAACCUGACUAAAAUGUUAUUUAACCCAAAUAUAAGUAAUUAUUUUGUAGUUUACCCAUAAUAAUAUUAAAAAAUUAUAAUAUUGAAAAUUAUUACAUUGAUAUUAAUAUUUUAAUAUUUUUAAAAUAAAAUUAAAAAUUUAUUAAUAAUAUAAUAAUAUUAAACUUAACUCAAAUUAAUUUUAUAUAAAAAUCAAUUUACUUGUAAAGGGUUAUUUUCUAGAAAACGGGUUACACAUCUCAAUAGGGAAAGUCAAUUUCCCAAAAAUAAAAAUACUUAUUUCUAUUAAUGGGUAAAUUAUUUUCUAUUGAUCAAGUUGUUUUCCAAGAAACAAAUACAAAGCAAAUGCAAAAAAAUCAGUAUUCCAUAAAUCAUUUUACAUGAAACAAGCACACCCUUAAUUACCUUUUCUUUUUUUUUUUUUGGUGAAACAAAAUAAAAGCGAACAAAAGAAAUUAAACUAUUCCCCCAAGCGGGGAUCUUCCAAAAGGUGCAAUCCUGUUCUCUUAUCGUGAACCGUCUUAACCAAACUAUCUGCAAAUUUAUUCACAUCUCGAGGGAUAUGUUGAAUACUCCAAUGAAGGACUUUUGAUAAGAGCCGGUGAAUUCUUCUAAUCAGAGCUUACUUGAAACCUUUUACAGCUGCUUCCUAAAUGACGUUAACAACUUCACGACUAAUCAUUUGAAUUAAGAUACACUCGAUUAUCAAAACUUAUUCCCUUAUUAAUAAUUUUCAUUACCAAAAUUUUCAAGCAAUUAAUUAGUUAUUUUAAUGGAAAAGUUACACUUAUUUAAGGUAAAUAAAAUUCAAUGAGCGAGCACAUGCCCAAAAUAGAGCUUCACUAGUUAGUUUACUGUCUUACCUUUGCUUGCACCCACCUUUUCUUUAUCUAGAUUACCUUCAAAAGACAAAUACAAGUUCCCCUACCUUCCUCCCUUAAAGUGAUUAGCCUUAAUAAAUAUCUUUUUCCAGCUAAGAACAUCACACUAUCACCGAAUUGUAUAGCCAUUAUGCAUUAUGGUUUGAUUGCAGCUUUAAUCUCCCAUUUACAUUAUGGAAAAUUGCACCUUAGUCCUCCCUAAUUCACCACAAUUCCAAUUUAGUCCUUUCUCAAAUAUUAAAAAUCAUACUUUCAUCACCAUUAUUUCCAUUUUAUAUCAAUAACAUUACAGACCAAAGAUUCUUUACUAAACUAUGGGUUCUGUUCCAACUUGUGGAACCUUGUUCACGCAUCAUCUGCUUUCAGUAGAGAUUUGCUUACUUUGUUAAUCAUCAGAGAAGUCCAUAGUCCUCGCUUGCUGUGAUAGCAUCAUCCUCGGUAUAAUAUUACAUUAUCUCGGUGUUUCAGGGCCACAGGAAAUAAUAGUCACUAUAUGGGCAUUAUGACACAUACGCAAUCAAUGUUUAUUAUUAAUGUUUAAGGUUGUUAUCCUCCCAACAAUGUUGUUACUAUACACAGUCAAUUUAUUCAUAAAGAGAAACAUGGCUUAGCUCAAGAAGUGGUUGUUGUUGAAACCACUUGUUGAAAACAAAAAUUAGUUGUCGACAUACAAACGAAAAUUGGAGUCACCACUGAUCUUUUAUUGGGGUGUAAUCGGAUCACCUUGAAAACAAUUUUGGUCUACGAAAUUUGAGAAAACAGGUUCGGGAGUCGGUUACGCACGAGGAGGGGUCAACACCCUCGUAAUGCCCAAAAUUGGUACCAAAUUGAUUAUUUAAUGUCUUAGUGUUGAAAAUUUGAAAAGAUUUUAAAAUACAAUCCUUUUUAAAAGAAAAUUUGAAUAAAUUGAAUUCGAUGAUAAGACCCUCUUAUUUCAAAGAAGUAAAAUGUCGCACCCAGUGAGUUAGGGUGCAACAUUUCUAAUCCUCCAAAUUAAGUUUGUCUUUUGAUUUUUAAAAUUUAUGCAUUUAAAUUUGAAAAGGAUAUUCAGUUAUUUGGGUCAAGUAAAAACUCAAAACCCAGUAAGUUAGGCUUCAAUUUCUCAAAAUUCCUAAAUACCGAAUAUUGCCUUUAUUUUUUGGAAAUCCUUAACUCAAGGUAGCAAAAUGUCAUAUCCAAUAAGUUAGGAUCCAACAUUUUGAAAUCCAGAAAGAGAACUUUUUAUUUAGAAUCUAUACAAUUUUAUUAAACAAAGGAUACUCGGAUAUCUAAAUUUAAUGAAAAGAAUUGAAGCCUAGUAAGUUAGGACGCAACUUUCUCGAGAAUUUUUAGUUACCGAAUAUUUUGAAAACUUAUAAAUAAGGCAAUGCCGAUCUUUUAAUAAAACGUAAUCUUUUAAUGUAAUGCGAUUGAAUGUUUACGUACAACGUAAAAAGAACAAUUCACAAAUAAAAUGUACUCUAAUGAAUAACAAACAAUUAAUAAACCAAUACAAACAAGUAUCACAACAAUAAUUUUAAUCAUACAUUAUAUAAAUAUCAAUAUCAAUGGUCAAAUAUGAAGUGAAUUAGUAAUGAAAAAUCUUUAACGACACACUAAAAGUAACAAAAGGGGAAAUCUUAGUUCAUAAAUCCUGUGUACAAAAAUUAUAUAUAUAUAUAUAUAUAUAUGAGUAUAAAGUAGAUUUGAAAUAGAAUGAAAAACAUUGAAUAAUAGUAUUUGAAGCAAAUAAUAUACAUAUAUUAAUUUUAUAUAGGUAACACAUAUAUAGUAAAACAUAAUAGUAAUAACAUAUGUAUACUAAUAUAAAACAAAAAUUGAAAUAGGUAAGAUAUAUAAAGUUAGUUUAUUUAAAGGAAGUAAGUUACAUACAAAUAAACAUUGUUUUGAAAUAAGCCUAUCAACAUAUUUAAAAGACCAUUUAAAAUCAAUAAUUAUAAUAAUAUCAAAACAAUAACAUCCACAUAAAAAUAAUUUAAUAAGCCAUAUAUAUAUGUAUAAUAGUAUUAUAUAUAAAAAUAUUAUCAAGUAAAUAUUUAACAUAUGGGAAUAUACCAAAACUGAACUUCAAAAACAUAUUAUAAAAAUAAAAUAUCAAAACUGUAUACAAAUUAUAUCAAAUUUCAUAAAAAAAAUACAAAAUAAUUAAUGAUGAAUUAAAUAAUAAUAUGUUAAUUUUAAAAUAAUAAUACAUAAUGAAUUUAAAAUGUUAAUGUUUAAUUAAUGUUAAUAAUAAUUUAAAAUAAUAGCAUGUUAUACCUUAAAAUAAUACUAAUGAUAAAUUUUAAAAUGUUGUUAAAUUUAAAUAUUAAGUAACGCUAGAUUUAAAAAUAAAUAUAUUAAGAACAAGAACCAAUUAAAUUUAAAAAUACUAAUAAGGACUAAAUUUGAAUUAAAAUAGAAGUAAAAAAGGCAAAAUAAAAAAUAAAACAAAAUAAUGGGUCAAAAAUGGAUUAAAAUAAAAUUAAAGAGCAACAAACAGAAUUAAAAUAAAAAAAGGACUAAAGCGUAGCGCAUGAAUAACACGAGGGACCAAAAAGGGAACAUUCCCAACACCUCAAAACGCAGCGUUGCAAUUGGACUAAAAUGAAAUCAGUAAGAAAUUAUGCAGUCCAAUUUGAAGAAUCAAAAGAAACCAAAUUAAAACAAAGUGCAAAGGUGGAGGACCUAGCGUACAAAUAUCUCACCAAAGUGAAAACACGCGGAUCCUCCUCGGGCUGAGUCACGCACAUGUGUACAGGCCUAUACGACACCAUUUUGGAACCACUGAUCAGAAUCCAAACGAUGUCAUUUCGUAUGUUACAUAAAGGCCACAAAAAACCCUAAUUAGUAGCAACUUAAUCAUUUAAAAGCAAACCCUAAAGAAAAAAACCUCUCCUCUAAGCCCCGCUCGGCAGUUAGGCCAUUCAAAGGCCUCUCAUUCUUUGCCCACCUUCGAUUGCGACGGAGGGAGAAAAAGUUCGGCCACCAGGUACACUUCCUAUUCUUUCACUCUUUUUCCCUUUUUUUUUUAGCGUAUGAUUGAUAAAUAAAGAGAUAGAAAGGAACAACCAGAGACGAAAGAAAAAAACUCGAAAAUCACCUUUUAAAUCUCUUUUUUCUGCUUAGAUUUCUUUUGUAUUUUCAAUUUCGUAUCUUUUUUUUACAAUGCUUGAAUCGGCCCUUUUAUAGCCGAAAAAAUGAAAUAGAAAUAAAUAAUAAUAAUAAAAGAAAUACAUUUUUCUAUAUUAUGUUAUCCCCUUUUCUGUUAUUCUAUUUUGCUUCUAGUGUGCUCCUUUCUUGCUGGUUUGCUGUGUUUGUUACAAGUGCUGACAUGAUGGUUGGACACAACAAUUAAUGGUUGGACACAACGAUGACAACAAUUAGAGAGGAAGAGAGAAAGAGGAGAAGAACAUGAAAUUUUCCAUCCAUUUUAGAGUGAUUUGACGAAUGAUGCAAGUUUAAGAGCUAAACAAUGUGAAAAAUUAACUAGAGAACUAAAAUGAUUUUUUUUUGUAAAGUUCAAAGGUUAAAAAGUCAUUAUGCCUUUCUGAUAUCAUGUCAUUGCAUGUGGACAUGCGAGUUUUUUUUUUUUUUGUAAAGAAAAUGGUAAAAACCACGUUAUUUGAAUGUCCACCUAAAACUCCAUUAUAUAAAAAAAGUCAUUGCUACAAAAUUACAACACAAAGUCACAACAAGAGCAUAUAACUUAACAAAGGUUAUUAACCAAGUAAUCACAAGUACACUAAAAGAAAAAUUUGUGAAUAUCACACUAAUAGUAGUUAACUUUGAAAGCUGAAAAACCCGAAAUGACAGAAUCCCAAAUGAAAAUCAGAACAUACACAUCGAAUAUAUUUGAGUAUACUAACUAUUCUAAAUAUACCUCCAAUUGAAAAACGGACAAAAACUAGUCUUUGUGAUAAAAAAAACUACUCAGACUUUUCUUUUCUUUUUUCAUUUUUUUCAUUUUGUUGCACUCUUUUUCUCUCUCAUAUAUAUAUAUAUAAUUGAAACCAUCCCCAUAUAUGUUUGAAUUAUUUAGUGUUUUCAAAGUUGUUUUUCUAUUUCAAUAAGUCCCAUUCUUUGGGAACAACUUUCUGCAUUUGUUUAAACUAGUGGUAUCCUUGUUUAUAGAUGAUAUAGGUGUUAGUUGUGAUUCUAUAUUUGUCAUUUGUAAGGCUAUAAAAAGCCAACUUUUUAUCUUCAAAAGUGACACUUGUUUCCAGCUUUCAUUUGAUGUUAUACUUAACAUUCUGGUAUCCGAACUUGGUUGUUGAGAAAAUAAGUGGAUACGAGUGAAGAAAAGAGUGCAGGUAGUCUUACAAAGAUUCGUCAUUUUGAUGGUCUUCACUAUGACCAUUGGACUGAGCUGAUGGAGAAUCUAUUGAAGUUUAAGGACUGUGGAACCUAGUUGAGAAAGGCUUCGAGGAGCCUGAAACAACGACUGUGCAGAUCAUCGUGCAAUAGACACAGAUGGACGAGAUAAAGAUGAAGGAUCAUAGGGUCAAACACUAUCUAUAUCAAGCCAUAGAUUGUGUUAUUUUUUAGUAGAUUUUGGAUAGAUGAACCUCCAGAAUUGUUUGGAAUUCUUUGAAGAGCAAGUUUGGUGGAAAUGAGAGAGUGAAAAGGUCUCUUCUCAACACAUUAAGAAGAGAAUUUGAGGUGUUGGAAAUGAAGAAACGAGAAACGAUCAAAGAUUAUUUUCCUAAUGUAAUGGCUGUAACAAACUUGAUGUAUAGCAAUGUGGAGAUAAUCUCUGACUUGGUGACAGUGGAGAAGAUUUUGCAGACCUUGAAAAAACGUUUCACGUAUGUGGUAGUAUCUAUCGAAGAGGAAAAAGAUGCACAUACCAUCUCUAUUGAUGAAUUGCAAAGUUCAUUAUUUGUACAUGAACAGAAGUUUAAGAGAAUGGAAAGAGAAGAAGAUCAUGCCUUAAAAGUUAUUGCUGGUAACGAAAGGUUUAAGAGUAGAGGACAUGGUGCAAAUUCAUACAGAGGGCGUGGAAGAGGCAGAAGGAGAUCAUUUGACAAAGCCCGGGUAGAAUGCUAUAAAUGCCACAAAUUGUGGCAUUUUCAGUAUAAAUGUCCAAGGUAGGAGAGUAAAGCCAACUUUGUGGGACUUGAUGAAGAGGAAGAGCUGCUCUUAAUAACGUGUGUCGAAACCAUUUUUAUUUUAAAAAAUGGGGUCGACUUUUAAAAUGAAAAUGGAGUUGCCACCAAUCUUUUUUCGUGGUGUGAUCGGGUCACCUUGAGAUUAAUCAUUUUAAUAAAACAUUUUGAUUUAUUAAAAUAAUGUUUUGGUCUACAAAAUUCGAGAAAAUGGGCUCGGGAGUCGGUUACGCAUGAGGAAGGAUUAGCACCCUUGUAACGCCCAAAAAUUGGUACCUAAUUGAUUAAUUAACGUCCUAAUGUCAAAAAUUUGAAAAGAUUUUAAAAUACGAUCCUCUUUAAAAACCUGAAUAAAUCAAAUUUGACGUUAAGACAUCAUUGUCCCGAAGUAAUAAGAUGUCACACCCAGUAAGUUAGGAUACGACAUUUUAACCCUCAAAACUAAGCUUGUCUCAUGCAUUAAAGUUUAAAAAGGAUAUUCGGUUAUUUGGAUCAAAAAAAUCGAAACCCAGUAAGUUAGGGCAUGAUUUUCUCAAAGCUCCAAAGUACCGAAUAUUGCCUUAUUUUUAAAAGUUUUCUUUUUUAAAAUUGGGGAAAAUUGACGCAAUAUUAAAGCGAUGCAUAAAAACUUUGAUAAAAAAAAGACAAUAUGAAAAUACAAAUAAACAAUUUAUAAAACACAUAAUGAAAAUUAUUUAAAUACUAGCAUCAAUAAUCAAAGACCAAUGAAUUUAAAACAAAGAGUAUAAAAAAAAUAUAAGACAAAAUAAAAUGUAAACAAAUUUAAAAAUAAUGAAUUUGAAAAUGAAUAAUAAGGGAAAAAGAAAUUUGAAAUCAACAAUAUACAAAUCAAUAAAUAAAUUAUAUAAAAAAGUAGGUAAUAUAUGUAUAAGUUUGGAAUAAAUAAUAUAUAAAAAAUGAAAAUAGGUAAUAUAUAAAAUAAUAAUAUAUAAAUGAGUUUAAAAAUAAAUAGUGUAAUAAGGAAUUUAGAAUAAGGUAUACACAAAACAUCUUAAAAAUAAAUGGUAUAUAAAAUAGAUAGUAUAAAAAAAAUUGCAAUUGAUAAUAUAUGGAAAAAAAUUUAAAGCGAAUAAUCAAACAAUUUAAAAUGGAUGAUUUAUAACACGAGUUUUUAAAAAAUAAACAACAUGUGUGACAUAAUAUUAAAAACAAAUAAAGUAUAUAAUUAAUGGAAGAAAAUAAAAGAAUGAUAAGAAUGGUUAACUGAAUGAACAAUAUGUAAAUAAAAAAAUUAAUGGAUAAAUAAACGAAUAAAAGUAAAAGAAUAAUUAAUGAUUAAACCAUUAAAUGAAUAAAUAAAAAAGAUUAAAAAAAUACUUAAGUUAGCCUAGCUCUCACAAUAUGAAGAUCUAAUGAAAUUCCUCCACCAAAAUCCAACUCAAAUGAAAGCAACUUAAAAAGAAACGAAGAUGAAUGAAGAACAAAAUAAGAAUAAGCCACAGAAAAUAAGAACGCAAGAGAGAGAGAAAUUUGAGUGAAUGCUCUUAAGAAUUAUUAUUGCUCCAAACUCAAGUGUUUUACAAUGAAGGGAGAGGCCUAUAUUUAUAGUUGAGCCUCCCCAAAUCCAACGGUACAGAUCAAUUACAUCAACGGCUAAGAUUAAAGGGUAUCUACAAAUUAAAUCUCUAAGAUUACAAAAUCAUAUCUUCUAAGAUUGCAUAUCAUAUCUAAGAUUCCAUAUCCUUGAAGAUUAUGUUUCCAUAUGCGUCAAGCUUGUAGAUGAACCUUCAACCUUUUCAAGUAAUGGUCAUUCCGGUCGGGCCAAAUAAAUGAUAUAAUUUUGGACUGGACUUGGACUUUGUUUUAUUAUUUUGGGUUUAUUAUUUUUUUGGGCCCGGGCUAAAUUGACCUAUUACAACGUGUGUGGAGACACAUAACUUACAACAAGAUGGCAUAUGGUUUCUUAAUUCGGGAUGCUUGAAUCAUAUGUGUGGGAACAAGAAGUGGUUUUCUCAUCUUACUCAUAGCUUUUGACACUUCAUCAAGCUUGAAAAUGAUACAAAAAUGGUAGUAAUGGGAGAAGGAAGUGUUAGAUUAGAGAUUGGAGGCACUAAAUAGGUAAUCUUUGAAGUUUUCUUUGUUCCAGAUCUAAAAAAUUAUUUGUUGAACAUGGGAUAGCUUCAAGAGAAAGGGGUAGAUAUUUUGAUUUAAGGGGGUGAGUGCAAGUUGUAUCAUUCACAAAGAGGGCUCCUUAUAACAACCAAAAUGACCAGAAAUCGGAUGUUUGUGCUUUCAGCUAUUUUUUACCAUGCUCACAACCAUUGGUUUCAUCAUGCUUCCAAAAUACCACAAAAUAUAUCUCUCAUCUAUGGCACUGCAUGUUUGGUCAUUUGAACUACAAAAGCUUACGUAUGAUGCAGUGCAAAAGGUUAGUUCAUGGCUUACCAACAAUCAACAUUCCAAUCAAAGUAUGUACUCAUUGUUUGGUCAGAAAGCAAAUUAGGGAGAAAAUGAUAGAGCAUAAAAAAAGUUGCAGUUGAUACAUUCUGACAUUUGUGGACCAAUUACAUGAUUUUUAUAAGUGGGAAAAGGUACUUACUCAGUUUUAUUGAUGAUUUUAGUCACAAAAUUUGGGUCUAUUUCUUGCAUGAAAAAUUAGCGAUGUUUGAGGUAUUGCAGAGCUUUAAAAAAUAUUUUGAGAAUGAAAGUGGUAAGCAUAUAGCUUGCUUACGCAUAGAUAAGGGUGGAGAGUUCACCUCCCAUAAAUUUAAUAAUUUAUGUAUGGAGAAUGGUAUUCGCAGGCAAUUGACUACAGCCUACACCUAGCAACAAAACGGGGUAGCAGAAGAAGAGGAAUCGAACCAUUAUGAACUCGGUUCAAAGCAUGUUAUUUGACAAAAAAUGUCCCAAAAGAAUUUUGGGCAGAAGCAGUUCAAUGGUGUACCCAUGUGAUGAACAGGAGCUUGACAGUAUCCGUGAAUGGAUGAAUACUAGAAGAGGUUAGGAGUAAUGUUACACCUUCUGUGGACCAUUUUCGAGUGUUGGGGUGUGUUGCCCAUGUACACAUACUUGAACAAAGAAGAACAAAGUUAGAUGACAAAAGCUACAAGUGUGUUUUCUUUGGUGUGAGCAAUGAAUCCAAGGCUUAUUGAUUGUAUGAUCUAGUCUCUAGGCAUAUUGUGAUAAGUCGUAAUGUUGUUUUUGAAGAAGAUAAAGGAUAGGAUUGGAGUCAAAAUUCAGAGGAUGCGAACAAAGAGUUGGAAUGAGAAGAUAUUACUCUUGAGGAUGAUGUGAGUGAAGAUGAUGUCGUUGUACCAAACAUAGAGGAAGUAGUUAGAGAAAAACCACCAAGUCCAAACAUUCUAUCUAAAUAUCAAGAGAGGAUUAGACGAGAGAAUAGAAGAGCACCAGAGUGGCAAAAAGAUUAUGUGAGUGGCGUAGGACUAGGCCAUUCUGAUGAAUACGAAGAAGUUAAUAACUUGGUUCUAUACACCACAGUAGAUCCAAUCACUUUUAAAGAAGUUGUUGUAAGCAAAAAAUGGCUUGAAGCUAUGAAACUAGAGAUUCAAGCCAUUGAAAAAAUGAAACAUGAGAAUUGAUGGAAAUUUUGGUUGGUGCAAAGAAGAUCGAAGUAAAAUGGGUGUUCAAAACCAAGCUAAAUGAACUUGGUGAGAUUGACAAACACAAGGCACGAUUGGCGGCAAAGAGAUAUGCCCAGAAAUAUGAAAUUGAUUACAACCAGUUGCAAAAUGGGAUACAAUCCAAAUGAUGAUUGCAAUGGCUACGCAAAAACGUUGAAAUAUCUACCAACUUGGUGUUAAAAGCACUUUCCUUCAUGGAGAGCUAGUGGAGGAAGUCUUUGUUGAUCAACCGCGUGGCUUUGAGAAAGAAGGGAGGAGCAUAAAGUCUACAAAUUAAAGAAGGCCUUGUACAAUCUUAAGCAAGCUCUAAGAGCGUGGUAUUGUCACAUUGGGUCCUAUUUUACAACGGAAAGUUUUGAAAGGUGCCCAUUUGAACCUACUCUUUUUAUUCAAAGUGAUUCGAAAGGAAGAAUUUUGAUUGUUAGUUUGCAUGUAGAUGAUCUCAUAUUCACGGGAAAUGAUGAGGAAAUAAUUAAAGCCUUUAAAAAUUCCAUGAUGCAAGAAUUUGAAAUGACUGGUCUUGGAAAGAUUAAAUACUUUCUUGGAGUUGAAGUGUUACAGAAUGAUAAAGGCAUAUUUAUUAGUCAAAGGAAGUAUGCUAAUGAAGUUCUUGAGAGAUUUGGAAUGUUAAGUUGCAACUCUGUUAGAAGUCCUAUUGUUCUAGGAACAAACUCGUGAAAAAUGAAGACGGAGUCAAAGUAGAUGUCACUGGUUAUAAGAAAAUUGUAGGGAGUCUUCGAUAUUUAACUACGACCAGACCACAUCUAAUGUAUAUGGUUGGACUGGUGAGUUGAUACAUGGAAAAACCUACUGAACUUCAUCCUAAUACAACAAAAAGGGUCCUUCGAUAUAUAAAAGGAACCUUAGAGCUAGGCAUUUUGUACAAAAAACGUGAAAAUAGCGAGUUAGUUGGCUACACAGACAGUGAUUAUCUGGGGAUCAAGAUGACAGAAGGAUCACUUCAGGAUAUGUUUUUCUGUUUAGAGAAUGUGCCGUUGCGUGGUCUUCAAAAAAAUAGCCAGUAGUGACCUUAUCUACCACCAAACCAGAGUUCAUAGCAGUAGUGUCAUGUGCUUGUCAAGUAGCUUGGAUGAGAAGAAUCUUGGAUUCUUUCAAUCAUCCUCAAAAAGAAAGUAUCACGUUAUAUUGUGACAAUGCCUCCACCAUCAAACUAUCAAAUAAUGUUGUAUUGCAUGGAAGGAGCAAACACAUUCAUGUAUGGUACCACUUCCUUUGUGAAUUGUCUAAUGAUAAAGUUAUUGAGCUUGUCCAUUGUGGAACAAAGGAGCAAACAACAGACAUCAUGACUAAGGAAUUGAAGUUUGAGACAUUUGAAAAGCUUAGGGAAAAACUUGGAAUUUGUGGAGAAGUAAACUAACUGCAAAUAUGCAAAAUAGUUUAGGGGAGGAAUUGUUUGAAUUAUUUAGUGCUUUCAAAGCUAUUUGCUGUUUCAAUAAGUCCUAUUCUUUAGGAAGAACUCUUUGUAUUUGUUUAAACUAGUGGUGAUCCUUGUUUAUAGGUGAUAUAGGUGUUAGUUGUGAUUCUAUAUUUGUCAUUUGUAAGGCUAUAAAAGCCAGCUUUCUAUCUUCAAUAAAAGUGACACUUAUUUCCAGCUUCUACUUGAUUUCACACUUAGCAAUAUAUAAUGUAGGGCACAGUGGGACUCUUGGGCCAUCCCCAAUAAAUACAUAUAUAAGAUAUUAAUUAUUAUAAAAUAUUAUCUUAUAAAUAAAUUUCCGUUGUAAAGAAGAAAAUAUUUAAUAAGUUUUUGAGAAAAAUAUCCUCAAACAUUGAUCUAGUACAACCACUUAUAUCAGUAGAGAAAAGUCCAUUAUAUGAACUUAUGCAAUUGGAUACGAAGCUUUCAUGGCGAUGCCACAUAACCCACCUGGUGUAUUCACAUCCCUUUGAAUCCUCAUAUACCCAUUUUCACCCCAAGUUUCUCCCCAUGAAUUCUUAAUCAACCAAUAGUUUAAACCUUCUUCACUUGUCCCAUAUCCAACAAUGGUGACUGCAUGGGUGAGAUCAUUGCUACAAUCUCCUGUAAACACUCCACCUUUGUAAAACUGAAAGGAUUGUCCAUAUCCAUCGAGUGCCACCGAGACCGGUUGAUUUGUGACGGCCUUAAGUAAUGCUUCUUCGUCGUUUUGAGGCACCAUUUGAUAGCCAUUGAUGGUGGCAACUUUGUUUAUCUGUGCGUCGCAAGUUUCUUGCAUUUGUUGAUAUGGGUAGCUUUCUUCGGUGGUUAUUCCUUGGUUUUGGGUGAUGUAUUCAAAAGCAUUCAUCAUCCAUCCUCCACUACAACCUUGGUUUCCUCCAUUUGUGCUGCAAUCCAACAGUUGUUGCUCAGAUAAUGUGAUUAAUUUACCAGUUUUGAUUUGGAUUAUCCCUUCAACGGCUGCCACUGCUGAAAAUGCCCAACAACAUCCUGCAAAACUAAACCAACAAUAACCCGUUGUUAAGUAUAAAGCAAUUAAUGCAAAUAAAUAAAUAAAUGAAUGCUUCAACGCCAAUCUAUAAUAAUAUAUAAACUUUUGAUUGAGUUGAUCUAACUAAUUACCGAAUAAUGAAGGAAAAUACAAAAAUAAUGUUACAGGUGAAGUAAAUUAUACUAUUACAAUAAUAACUGUCUUUUCAAAUUUUUAAAAAAAUAAAUAAAAAUUUUGCAUAAGAUGUGAUCUAAACCCAUGUGGCAAAUAUUUAUAAAAAAAAUACCCUUUAAUCAAGAUUUUAUUUUAUAUAUUUUAAAUUUAUUAUAAAAAUAUUUUCAGCCAUUGUUUAUAUAUUGAUGAUGUUAUUGGUUGAGUUGAUUACAAAUCAACCUGAUAAUAAUUCAAGAGAAGUGACAAUAUUAAAAUAAACAAGCGGGUCGUAUUUAUUAUUUUUAAUAUAAUAUAUUUACUUGUUUAUUUUUUUACUUGCAAUUUAAACUAUUUUUUAUUUUAAUUUAAUACAUAUCACAUCUAUUAUUAUUAAUUUCAAACCUUAAGUUUUAUUAUUUAGGCUUAAUGACAAAUUUGAUCACUAGCAUUUGUGUGUUUUGUCAAAAUAGCCCUGAUUGUAUUUUUGAGCCUUUUUUAACCAUCAACUUUUUCUCUUUUUUCUAACAUAUGUGAAAUAUUUUAAUGAAAUGUAAUUUACUACUUAAUAACUCAAUAAGAUAAUUACAUGUGAAAAACAAUAAAAUAAAUAAUAUAUGAAAUUUUUAAAAAAUAAAACUUAAUUUAAAGAAAAUGGCUCAAGGCUUCAAUUUUUUUUUAAAAUAUUUCAAUCUUUCGUAUGUUUAUUUAUGGAGAGGUUUCAAUUAAGAGUUAUUUUUUUAAAUUUCAUAUAUUAUUUAUUUAUUUUAUUAUUUUUCACAUGUAAUUAUCUUAUUGGGUUAUCUAAGUAAUAAAUUACAUUUCAUUAAAAAUAUUCUACAUAUGAAAUUCUACAUCAUACUCGUUAACUUUUUUAACGAUAUUUUCAUCAAAUUUGUUAGAACAAACUGUUUGAGGAAAAAAAACAAAAGUUGAUGGCUAGAAAAGACUCAAAAAUACAAUUAUGGUCAUUUUGACAAAACAUGUAAAUGUUUGUAGUCAAAAUUGUUAUUAAGCCGAUUAUUUAUUGCAUGCAAUCUUUAAAAGCGACGUGUUGUAUGUAAUUCACUUUCUAAAAAGAAUGCUUACUCAGUCAACAAUUUUAUGUAUAUAUAUAAAUUAUUACUUACCACAUUGACCUUGAUUCUUGAUAGGAGUGACUGCACCUUGGUCCCUCCAAUCAAAGUUUGUCGGAACAUCUGAUACGUUCUCAUACCUGAACGAUGUUGACUCAGGCAUUAUGGGGUUGUCUUGCAUCUUGUAUCCAGUGUGAGCUGCAAUGAAUUCAUCUUGUGUCAUGUCUGCAAAUAAAUCAGGCUUAACUUAAAACUUCUAUUUCCACCAUUGUUGAAGCUCUCAAUGUAUUCCAAAUUCUCUUUGAAUAUAUUAAGACGCUUCUCCUUCUCUAAUUUGCUCUCAUAUUUUCGACUAUAAUCAACCAUCCAUUGCUCAUGUUUAUCAACAACAGAGGCUUCAUAGAUUGUUCGGGACAUAGCAAGAGAUGCCAAUGUCCCAAAAAUUAAAAACAAAAAGGCAUGGAUUAAACUCAUCUUGUUGUUUUGCACUAUAUGCUGGGAUACUACACUAAUUUCUGGGUUUAUUCUUUGCUAAUUGCUAAGUUGUGAAUAACUAGCACUCUACGAAUGUAUAUAUACUAAAAAAUUGAUUGAAAUAAAUAUUUUUUUAAUUAAGUCAUCUUAUGAAAAAUCCAAAUAAAACGCCAAUCAAGUCAAUUUCCAGGGUUUCAAUUAGAGACAUACAUUUUUUUUUAUAUAAAUCAACAAAUUAAUAGUGUGGCGUGAUUGACGGAGACAUACAAUGUUUUACUUAUUCCUUCAUUGCUGUUUCUCGGUUGGUGUUUGACUUCGAAGUCAAUGUUAACAUUCCAAUUCUCCCACUACAUGUCCACUGGGUCCUCAGCUUUUGGUCCAAUAUCAGUUUUUUAUUGAAGAAAUUAUUUAAUAAUUAUUUUAAUAAAAUAAUGAACAUUAUUAAAUAUUAUCAUAAGAAUAUUUUAAUUCUAUAAAUAGAUUUUAAAUAUGGUCACUUAUCUCCUUUUUUUAGAAAUAUAAUUUUUUUUUAUUUUGAGCGAAUUACACAGACAAUUAUCUAACUAUAAAUUUUGUUAAGUAUCCAAAAUAAAAUAAAAAAUUAUAAUUUAAUUACCCACGCUUCAUAAUUCAGCGCUUCAUAAUUCAGUCAUUUUAGUUGCUCCCGUUAAAAUACAAUAACAAGCUAGCAUUAUAGUUAAAAAAAUCAAUAUAAUAACAAAUUUAACCCUCAAUUUUUAUAUAUUAUAUCAACUUAGUCAUAAUUUUAAAAAAUUAACUCAAAAUUUACAAAUGUUCUCAAUUUGAUCUUAAUUCUAAAAGAUUCAAUGAAAUAUAUAAACAUACAUAAAUAAUUUUAUAAAUCAUGAUAAUACAUUUAAAUUUUAUAUUAAUGUUAAAUAAAACUAAUUAUAUUAAUAUUAUGUUUAUUUAAUAUCAAUAUUAAUAUAAAAUUUGAAUUUAUUAUUAUAUAUUUUGAAAAUAUUUAUGUUUUUUUGAAUUUUUUAGAAUAAACUAAAUUAAAAAUAUUUAUAAAUUUUUAGGGUUAAUUUUAAAAUUAUGACUAAAUCGAUAUAAUUUGUAAAAAUUAAGGGCUAAAUUUAUUAUUAUACUAACUUUUUUAAUUGCUACGUUAGCUUGUCGUUUGCGAUAGUAACAUGGGUGAUCAAAAUAAUUGAACAAUGUAAUGCGAGUGCUUAAAUUGCAAAUAUUUUAUUUUAGGUGCUUAAAAUAAAAAAAAAAUUAUAAUUUGGUGACAAUCUGUGUAGUUUACCCUUUUAAUUUUUACUACACCUUAAACGAGUAUGUGACUCCCUCUAAACUCUGCUUAUAGAAACUAAGAACUCCACUGUUAAAAGGAAUAUUUUAGCUUCUGUUUGUUUGAAAAAAUGACCCUUUAAUCCCUACAUGUUAACUUUAUUGUUAAUGGAAAGACAUUGCUUAAAAGUGACAUUAAAUCAAAUAUUAGAUGAAAUUAAAAAGCUUAUUAGAUGUGUUUUAACCAAGAUAUUUCGUCUCCUGGAAAAUUUUGGGGUGUUGGCAAAGUAUCAUAAAGUAGGGUAACCAACAUGUUAGUGUGGUGUUCCAAUUGUGACAUGGUGAUGAUGGUUAGAAACUUGUGUUGCAAGGAGUAAGAAGAAGAGAAUAUAGUUAAGACUUGAGGCGUGAAAAAACACUUUCCUUUAAUGCUUUUAAGUUUGUCUCUAGAAUACAAUGAAAAGAACAGAACAGUGAAAAUAGCACAUUUGAGUAUUAGAUAGGCACUGCUUGUUUCUUUUCAUCAAAGAAUAUGUGACUUAGCACAAACAUAACUCGUGGCAUAAGGUAUGUUUUUUUUCAUAACAUAACGAUUUACCAUAAAAUUAUGUUUCUUCAAUUCAAAAACAUUUUAAGAAGAUUAUGUUAUUUCAAUAAAUUAGUUUCGAUAAAAACAAAAUAAUUAUUAUUAUAUAAAUAAUUAUUGCACCACCAAACUAAAGCUCAAGUGCCUAAAUUUUGAUAUGUAAAAGUCCCAAUCUAGUGGGUUAGGGCCUAACUUAAUUACAUAAAUUAUAAAAAAUUGGUUAUUUAAAUUCUUUAUAUUAUAUGUUUGUUAGUAAUGUGGGUUAGAAUCUUUCUUGGAUAAAUUUGUAAAAAUUUGAAGUGAAUUAGAAAUCUUGAUUUCUCGUUCAUUUAAUUUUAAUGCUAGAAUUUGCAACUCAUGCACUUUGUAACACCCACCUCGAUCCAAUUGUCAUGUUCGAGCAAUAUAAUACUACAUUCAUUACCAUAGCAACUACAAUUAAUAAUACAUUAAAAUAAUAAUUCAAACAUACAAACAUGUCAUACACAUUUACAAUAUGAUACAUAAUUAAAUUCGAGCUUUAAUCUAACUUACGAAAGCUCAAUUGUUGACCCGAGCAUGAAAUAAGACCAAAUUGCAAAGUUUUUAAAAUUUCAUAUCAGGUAUCGAUACCCCUUGUAAUACCCCAAAAUUUGGGGAUAGAAGUUUUGAGGUUGUGGUUAGGGUCAUUGAAUAGGUCGAGCACUUGAGGGGGUUUUCGCGUUUGAAUGUUAGAAUGAGCUUGUUGGUUUGGUGGUGGUGAGUGUGUUAGUUUACCUUUGGAUUUCAGGUUCAAGUCCUCAUGUGUGUUUUGAGGAAUUAAUUUAUUUUGGUUUUUCUUUUUAAUUUUUAAAGAUUUACUUUUAAAAUUUGAAAGAGGAGGGUUUUUCAAUUUCACGUUCUAUUCCAUUUCCUUUUCCCUAUUUUUUUUGUUGGUGUUCCCUUUGUUAUUUUUUGGUUCUUUCCUCAAAUUCUAGUUCUUUUGAUUUCUUGUUUCUUCCAUUUUACACUCACGUUACGUGUUGUCUGUCAAGACUAAUCGUCCUUGUGUGUUUUGUUUUAUCGGAGGUGAAACGGGUAGGUUUUGUUCAUGAGGUUUAUGAUAGAGUUACUUUUGUUUUUAUUAUUUGUUAAUUGAAGUUCUUAUAGUUUAAGUUGUGUGAAAUUGAGGUUUCCAAAUAGUUUCUUGAGAGCGAAUCGAUUGAUCAUUGGUGCUUGAUAUCGCGUUCUAAGUUGUGUGUUUUGAAAUGGUUUAACUUCGGUAUUGAAUUACGGUGGAAUUUGAUAAUGUCUUGUGUGUUUAUGAAAUUGGUUAUUUGAAGUAUCGUAUUGUUACUGAAUUGCAUGAAAUUCUAUAUGAUUUGCCAUAAUUCUGGUUACCAAGGGUUGGGGAUCGUUUUGACAUCAAAAGCAUGAUUUUCAGGCUAUCUUAGCGUGGUUCCGUGACCAUACGGGUGGCCAUAUAGUCGUGUGCCGCACACGGGCGAUCCACAUGGCCGUCUGCAAUUGGGAAUUUAGGGUUUUCGAUGGUUUUUGGUACCACACGGCCCGGCCACAUGGACAUGUAUCCCUACACGAGCGUGUGAGAUCUCCACACAAUCGUGUCUUUUUUGCUCUUUAUUUUUGGCACUUUUGGACAGUGAGUUACACGGGCUACUCACACGGCCAUGUGACUUGGUCACACGAGUGUUUGUCUCCUCCACAUGGGUGUGUAGCCCUCCACACGGCUGGGGCACACGGCCUUGUGGCCCUAUUUUGCAAAAUUUUUGUUUUGAGUCAUAAACUGUCUGUUUUGUGUUUUUAUGUUAUCAGACCCUUGUUCAAGCCUCGGUAACUGUGUUUUAGAGUCGAUUUAGUUUGGUUUGUGUAUAUAUGUGCAUUUAUGGGCCUUAAUUUUAUUGCACGUUUAUGUGAUGAAUAAGUAUGAGUUUAUUAUUAUUGUCGUAACUGAAUAUUAGAAUAUAAGUGUAAUCAAAUAUGAAUCUGUUCAACUAGAAAUGUUAAUGUCUGUUUUUGGAUGUUGUCUGCGUAAUGUGUACAUUGUUGCAUAACAUGAAAAUUUUGGGAUCUGGUUAUGAAGAGAAGGAAGACAGACUUAGCAGUUUUAACUGCGAUACUUUUAUAUAGUAGUUUACCGUACUAUCUUAUACGUAUAUCAGCUUAGUUGUAUACAUUUACUCAAGUAGCAUAGUUCUACGUUAUGGUGUGUAGGGCAGAUGAACCUAUUAUGGUUCUAUAUGGUGUGCAUGGUGGACGGGCCUACCAUAGCCAUUAUGUGGUGUGCUGGAUGGAAAAAGUGCUGUUUGGUUGGUGGGGUGGGAUUUUGACUUGUGCAUCCAUUCGCAUCUGAAUAUACGUCUAUUUGUCAGAACAUUUGGUUAUUGACAAUAUAGUUAAUGUCAUGUAAUAUGUUCUGAUAUUGUAUUUAACAUACCGAUUGAGAUUUUUGUAAGUGAUAUUUUUAUACAUAUGCUUGUAUUAAGUAUUUAUUGUGUCACUCUGUCUUUUGUCAUAUGUUCAUGUUUCAGACUCACACUGAGCUCGCGUAGCUCAUAUCUAUAGUGUUUUUCAUAAGUCUAUGUGUACUGUGGUACGAAGAUUUUUAAGUUACUUCAAAAUUGUUUAAAAACACUGAUUUGAUUUAUUCCUAACUGUUAUUCAACUUUUUUUUAUAUGUGGUUUCUAAAAACAACUACGUAUUAUUUAAUCUACGAAAAUUACGAAGCAUAAGGGUUUAGCGAAGAAUUUUCUAUGGUUAUAAAUGAGUUUUAUCUCCGCCACUUUGGUUGGCCAAUGUAACUCCCAAAAUUCGGUCUAACUUCUAGGUCAGGCUUUAGGGUGUUACACCCUACUAGGUACAAGAACCAUUUUAAACCUUGAUGUUUAGAAAAAAAAUGAUUUAAAACCAAAUGAAUCGAUACCAGUCCUAAGGUAUCGAUCCUUUACCUCUGUUUUGAUACUAUUUUAAGGUUCGAUGAUUUGAAAAUUUAUAGAAAAAUUACUAAAGCACCGAAUCCCUUUAUAAGGUAUUGAUACCUCAAGGAAAAAUGACAAUUUAUAUUGUAAUAGUCUGUUUUUCAGUAAAAAUGACAAAUUAUAUUGUAAUAGUCUGUUUUUUAGUGCUAUUAGAAACAAUGGUUUCGGGACCACAAUUCUGACGAGAGAGUUCACAGAUAUAGUUAAUUAAAAAAUGAGUCAAAUAUAGUAUAAUAUUGAAUCGUGAUUUAAUAAAUUUUAUUAAUUGGUUAGUUAAUUAAGGUAUAAAUGGUGCAUAUUGAAAGUUAAGUGGUUUUGGAAAUUGAGCUAUUAUGACUUUGUUUUUGUAAAUUGAGCAUGUGAAUAUUUUUAUUAAAUAUUUAUCGAGCUGUUAUAUAGGUGAAUUGAAGUUUGGUCCAAAAAUUUUAGUGAUUGGAUGGUUAAUUAAGGAAAAAUGACUAAAUCAUAAAAAAAAGAAAAAUUAAUCACUAUUAGUUUAUAUGUGUUAAACGAUUACAAAAACAUGAAUUGAGGGCUUUAAAAGGAAAUUUUACCAUAUUAGAUUAUAGUGGAUGAUAUAUGUGGUGGAUUAUAGGUUAAAAUAAUGUUUUAAUGAUACAAAUUAAACUAAAGUAAAAUUUAAUAAUAUUUUAUAAAACAUAGAUCAUUUUCUUUCUUAUUAUUUUCUCUACCACCAAAAUACAAUUGUUAAGAUAGCUUAGAGGUUCUGUCGAUUGUUCUCGUUGCAUUGCAAGUUUAUUUCAUUUUUUUAGUAAAUUUUAUAUUUUUGAUAUCGUUACAAUUAGGUCCAGUUAAUUUGUAUAUCUGUUUUUUAAAUUUUUAAAGAUUUUUAAAGUUGUCAUUGAUAUUAAUUGAAGUUUUUGAAUAUUUAUGGUAGAUUUUGGAGCAUAAAAAUGAAAUAGGAUUAAUUUCUUAAAUAAAUUUUGUUACUUUUGAGUUAGGGAUUAAAUUGUGAAUAUAUUGAAAUUUAUAUGAAAUUUUUGUAAAUUGUGAUAAUAGGUUGGUCCUUUGGCUAAUAAAAAAUCCAUUUCGAUUAAUUUUUAUCACUUUUACAAUUUAAUCCUUUUAUCUUAAUUAAAUAUCAAAUUGACAAAGCUGAGGGACCAAACUUUAAUAGACUUUAAUACUAACAUCGUAAAUAUUAAAUAUUAAUAUUUAUAGACUCGAACAUCAAAUAUGGGGUUCCAAAACCGUAUUUUCUGACACCAUUGACUUUCAGAUCUUUAAACACUUGAUCCACAAUAGACUCAGUAUCAAUGAUGGUAAAUUCAAAAUAUUUAAUGCUAAGAACUUAUAUGUGCAUUUUUUUAAAUAAUUUUCUCAACCCAAAUCCAAUUUCGUUAAAGUUAUAACAACUUUACUGUAAUAGAAUCUAUGAGGAAAUAUAUUUGAUUUCCUUAUUCUAAAAUCUCAUAGUGACUAAUUAAUUUAACUCCAUCUUCAAACUUCAAUUAUUUAAUUACAAUUAAUUAAAUAAUAAUUUGAAGAAUCUUAAUUUGCAUAGAAAACGAGCUCCUUAAGUGCAGAAUGUUAAAGUUCACCACCAAUUCAAUUAGUGGCCUAAAAUCUUGGGCGUAUCAGCAUAUGAAAUAUUCAAAUUAGUUUCAAUAAAGUUAUUGAAUGGUUAGCUAAAAUCAUGGUUUAAAUAUCUGAUUGUGAGUUGUCCUAAUUUUUAGCUAAAGUUGUAGUUUCAGCCUAUAUAAAGGAUGUAAAUCAGUGAAUAAAACGUGUAUUGAGUUCUUGUUUUUCAUUGAGUCUUUGCAUACAAUUCAUAAAGUGUUAUUGAGUGAGUUUCUUUUGGUUUUUUAUACAGCAAAUCUUUCGAUUUAGUUUCAUAGUGUGGUCUCAAUGCUAGGUUCGUAAAGGUAAUCAUGGUUAUUUUUCAGUUGUUGGAGCAAUAAAAAAGCUUAAUAAUCAUAAUUACAACACAUGAACAACAUGUAUGAAGUCUUACUUGAAGGCUCAAGAUGUGUGGGACAUUGUUAGUGGAGAUGAACCUUCACCAGUGCCUCAAGAAGCUAACAACUUAAAGAAGUGGAAGGCCAAUGUAGGCAAGGCUAUGUUUACAAUUAAAACCACUAUAGAGGAAAAAAUAAUAGAGUAUAUCAGAGAUGCUGGCACACCAAAAUAGGCAUGGGACACGUUAGAAGAACUUUUCUCACGGGAAAAUGACACAAGGCUAUAGCUCUUAGAAAAUGAAUUGUUAUCAAUAAAGCAAGGAGAUUUGGCAAUCAACCAGUACUUCACCAAGGUAAAAGCCUUAUGCCGUAAUAUUUUUGAACUUGGUUCUAGUUCCCAUAUUGUGGAUUCUAGAAUAAAAAGAAUCAUCGUUCAUGGAUUGAGAUUAGAGUACAGGAGUUUUGUUGCUACAAUUCAAUGAUGGCCAACACAACAAUUGUUUGUAGAUUUUGAGAAUCUGUUGAUGGGUCAAGAUGCUUUGGCAAAACGAAUGGGUGGAGUCUCAAUCAAAACUGAGGAUGAGACACUUUUUAGUUGAAAGAGCAAAGAAAAGCCCAGGUAUAAUGUUAGAAGCAAACCAAGAAAGAAUGAUGGCAAAUCAAAAAGCCAUCAUGAGAGUUCUUAAUUUGGAGAAACUCAAAAGCAUAACAACUACAACAACCGAUCCAACUAGAGGAAGAAGUUUGAUGGUGAUUGCUAUAAUUACGGUAAAAAGGGUCACAUAGCCAAAGACUAUUGGUCCAAGAAGAAAGCUGUUGAGAGUAAUGCACUGACAUCUGAAUAAGAUAUUCAGAGUGAUGAUGAGUCGGAUGUUGAAGCAUCCUUUGCUAUGGAAGAAGAAGACUUGGCACUCUCAGUAACAACUUCCCAGAAGAUUGACUACAAGAACGACUAGAUUGUUGACUCUGGUUGUUUUAAUCACAUGACUGGUGAUCGAGAAAAGCUUCAAGAUGUUGCAGUGUACAAAGGAAAUCGUGUGGUGGUAACGACUAACAACUUAAGGUUACCUAUCACCCAUGUUGGUAAGACAACUAUCGUACCUCAAUUUAGUUCUGAUCCAAUGUCAAUUCAAGGUGUUUAUCAUGUGCCUGGCAUGAAAAAAAAUUAUUAUCUAUGGCAUAGUUAACAUCUGCAAGCCACCAUGUUUUGAUUAGUCCACUGGGUGUAAAGGUAUUCAAAAAUGUUAAAGUCUCAGGAACACCAACCAUGGAAGGGAAAAGAAUGGAAUCUGUCUAUGUGAUGUCAGUAAAAACUACUUUAUAGACAAAAAAAGAAGAAUGAGACGACAAAUUUGUGGCACGCAAGGCUUGGACAUGUCAGCUAUCACAAGCUGAAAGUUAUGAUGAAGAAGUCAAUACGAAAGAGUCUUUCUCAACUUGAAGUGCGAGAUGAUACUGUUUCUAUAGCAUGUCAAUUCGGUAAGGCACAUCAACUACCAAAUGAAAAAUCUAAGUACAAAGUAAAGGCUCCAUUAGAGCUAGUUUGUUCUAAUGUAUUUGGGCGUGUCAAGCAACCUUUAAUUAGUGGGAUGCACAAUAUGGUGACUUCUAUUGAUGAUUCCUUAAGGUAUGUGUAGGUUUUCUUUAUGAAGAAAAAUCAGAGACAUUUGUUAAGUUUAAAGAAUUUAAAGAAGUAGUUGAAGCAGAGGUUAGUAGAAAAAUUUAAUGCUUACGCACAGAUAAUGAUGGGGAGUACACAUCAGAUGAGAUUUCUGCCUAUGUGAUAAAUAACAAGAUUCAUCACCAAUUCACAUGUGCCAACACACCACAGCAAAACAAAGUUGUUGAGAGGAAGAAUUGACAUCUUGCUGAGACAUGUCGAAGUAUGCUUUAUGCAAAAAAUAUACUUAGAAGGUUUUGGGCAGAGUUUAUGAAGACCAUUGCUCAUGUCAUUAACAAACUUCCAACACCAAAGCUUGGUUUCAUCUCACCAUUUGAGGUACUAUAGGAUACUAAACCUGUUGUUGGUCAUUUUCGAGUGUUUGGGUGUAUUUGCUAUGUAUUUGUUCCAGAUCAUUUAAGGAGUAAGUUCGAUAAGAAAGUAGUCUGGUGUGUCUUCGUUGGAUAUGAUAACCAAAGGAAAGGAUGGUGGUGUUGUGACCCUGUGACUGAUAAAUGCUACACAUCACGCAAGGUAGUGUUUGAUGAAGCUUCUUCUUGGUGGACUCCACAACAAGUGAAGUUGCCAAAUUUUGAAGUAAAAAAAUAUCAACCCCGAAGGAAAAUAGAGGAGCAGUUUCUUGAGAUACAACUAAGUCCUAUAGCUAAUGAAAAAAUUUAAGACAAUGAGUUUGUUGAGACAAAAACAAAUCCUUGGUGAAAUGGUGUUCAUCAGAGGCAGAAGGCUGAAAUCAAUCCAGAGGGUGAAGAAACUUUGCAGCCACAACUUAGAAGAAUAACUAGAUUUCGAAGGCAAAAUCCAAAAUAUGCUAAUGUAGCUGUAGCAGAGCAAAAACCCUUGGUCGAUCCAACAACUUAUGAAGAAACGUCUUAAGGUUCUGAGUGGGUAAAAGCAAUGGAGGAAGAGAUUGCUGCAUUAGAACAAAACCAGACUUGGGAGCUUGUGCCACGUCUAUCAGAUGUGAAACCCAUAUCUUGUAAAUAGGUUUAUAAAAUAAAUUAUCAUCCUGAUAGAUCAGUUGAGAGGUGCAAGACUUGGUUAGUUGCAAGGGGAUUUUCUCAAAAAUAUGGAUUGGACUAUGAAGAGAAGUUUAGUCCGGUGGCAAAGAUUGUUACUGUUCGAGUUCUCUUGGCUCUUGUUGCUAGCAAAGAUUGGAAGUUGUGGUAGAUGGAUGUGAAGAAUGCAUUUUUGCAUGGAGAGCUAGAUCGUGAAAUUUACAUGAAUCAGCCUAUUGGAUUUGAGAGUGGAAGUCAUCCUAGUUAUGUUUGCAAGUUAAAGAAGGCAUUAUAUGGGUUAAAACAAUCGCCGAGAGCAUGGUAUGGUAAGAUUGCUGAAUUUUUAACUCAAGCUGGUUAUGUUAUGGCUCAUGUAGAUUCUAGACUGUUUGUCAAAGUUAGUGAAGGGAAGUUGGCAAUAGUGUUGGUGUAUGUGGACGGUUUGAUAAUCAUUAGAGAUAAUAGUGAAUAAAUCCACUAAGUUAGACAAAACUUGUCAAUCAGCUUUCAGAUGAAGGAGCUUGGCCAACUUAAACACUUCUUGGGGCUAGAAAUUGAUCAUACACAAGAAUGCAUGUUUCUUUGUCAAGAAAAAUAUGCAAAAGAUUUGUUACAGAAAUUUGGAAUGCUCAAUUGCAAGACCAUUACUAUACCAGUGGAACCAAACACCAAGUUUUGUGCUCAUGAAGGGAAAGACUUGGAAGAUAGGUUGAUGUAUCAGCAAUUUGUAGGUAGUCUCAUUUAACUAACUUUAACUCGACUUGAUAUUUCUUAUAUUAUUGGGGCAGCGAGUUAAUAUAAGCAGAAUCCUAAGAAAUAACACUUGGAAGCAGUUCGAUGAGUUCUAAGAUAUGUGAAGGGUACUAUUGAUUAUGGUCUUCUAUAUAAGAAAGAUAAGGUUUGCAAACUAGCUGGUUAUUAUGAUACUGACUAUGUAGGGGAUCACGAUAAAUGUCGAUCAACCACUGGCUAUGUAUUCAAGUUUGGUUUAGGCACAAUUUCUUGGUGUAGUAAAAGACAACCAACUAUAUCUUUGUCAACAACAGAGGAAGAAUAUAGAGCAGCAACUAUGGCAGCCCAAGAAAGCACAUGGUUAGUGCAACUUAUUGAAGAUUUGCACUAAAAAGUUGAUUAUGCAAUACCCCUCUACUGUGACAAUCAGUCAGCUAUCCGUUUAGCAGAAAAUCCUUUGUUUCAUGCAAUGACCAAAUAUGUGGAGGUGCACUACCAUUUUGUUAGGGAGAAGGUGUUACAAGAAGAAGUUGAGUUGUCCUAUGUCAAGACUGAUAACCAAGUUGCAGACUUGUUCACAAAAGGCUUGAGUACAACUAAGUUAGAAAAGUUUUGCUCACAGCUUGGGAUUGUGAAAAGGUUUGGAGUUGGCAUUGAAGGGGAGUGUUAAAGUUCACCACCGACUUAGUUAGUGGCCUAAAAUCUUGGGCAUAUCAACAGAUGAAAUAUUCAACUUAGUUUUAAUAAAGUUGUUGAAUGGUUAGCUAAAACCAUGGUUUAAAUAUCUGAUUAUGAUUUUGCUUCUGAGUUAUCCUAUUUUUUAGCUAAAGUUGUUGUAGUUUCAACCUAUAUAAACGAUGUAAAUCAGUGAAUAAAAAGUGUCUUGAGUUCUUGUUUUUCAUUGAGUCUUUGUAUACAAUUCAUAAAGUGUUAUUGAGUGAGUUUUUUUUUGGUUUUUUCUACAGAAAAUCUUUUGAUUUAGUUUAACACAGAAUUGAUCCUACUUAACUACUAUAUUUGAUGAUAGGUCAAUAUACCAAUUAGGGUCAUAUGUGCAUUUUUGUAUGGGUUUGAUAUAGAGUUGGAGUUUUGUCAAUUUAUUCAAUGCUUUAACAUUUGUUGUAGAUUAUCAAAUAUACACCGUCUCUUUAGAGACUAUUUUAGUAUGGUGGAGAGAUGUAUAUAGUACCUUUGGGCCUUACAUUUAUGUUUUUUCGGUGUGGUGUAAUUUACACUCACAUGGGUUGUCUUGGUGUGGUGGUGGUUAACUGUGUGUCCAGGACCAUUUUUCUAAAGUUUCUUAGGGCGAUAAAGUUUACAUGGAUAUGAGAUACCGAUCGAUGAAAAUGAAUUGAAAUGUUGAGUUGUGAACUUAAAAGUAAAGUUAAUUGUUUUACAUGUAUGUGCAUUUGUAUGAAAGUUAUCUUCUGAUUUGUUUUAAAUGAGGAACACGUUUAACAAGUCACUUUUGAAAUACGCUAUAUGUCAAUUGAUAUGAAGGCACCCAUGCUUAACUUGUUUUGUAUAUUCUUUGUAUGUCUUGUAAAUUCCACUUGAACUUAUUAAGUAUUAUAUGCUUACACAACAUUAUUUUUGUGCCCAAAAUAUCGACUUGUGAAUUCCCGAAACCCUACUCUAGAUGGACAUCAACACUAUCAUCAACGUUAUCAAGAGUUAGAAACUAAAGUACUUAUAGCCAAUGGCACGUGCCUAAGGUGUCUAUAUGCAUCAAGAUGUUGGUUUUAUAUGUUAUUUGGUACUUGAUGACCUAUUCUGUUUUGGUUGAGCUAGGAGGCUCACUUGAUACCAUUACCAUGAGAUAAUGAGCACCCUUUUGCAUUCAUGCUCAUAGCUCUUUAAGCUUUGAUUUUUUGAGCAUAGAACUCAUUUUCAAUGGCUCUAUAUAUGCCUUAAUAUGAUAGCCAUAUUUUAUGAAUGGUUGAUGGAAAAUGAUUUAUUUUGAAUAUAUUUUAUGAAGAGAUUAACCAUAUUUUAUGUUUACCAUGAUUGGUGGUAUUCCUGUAGUUUUUUUUUUAAUGUUUUAAACUUGAUUUUUGAGUCUCUAAAUCUAAGUUUUGAUAUUAAGCUUUUUUUGUGUCAACAUAGGAGAGUUUUAAGUUCAAUUUUUUUCUCCAAUGGUAAGUUUCAAUACCUGAACCUUAUAGUAUUGCAACGAGACAGGAUGUCAAAGUCCAUACUAGCAGAGAGAAGUAUCGGUACUUCUCCCAAGUUGUAGUGAUGUCACAGUGCUUACACCUACAAAAGUGUGUUUUUAAGUUCCAAAAUUGAUUUGAAGGUUCAUGACCUCUUUUAUAGCCAAGAUGAGUUAGGACAUAUCAUAAAUUGUUUUUAAAGCCUCCAAUAGGUCUAAAAGUUAUUCUAAUGGUUUAAAAAAUAAAUAAAAUUUAUUUUUAAAAUUAUUUCAAGGUUUUUCACUUAUACAUGUUUUGGUGGCAUUUCUCAUCCGUACCAGUAGACAAGACGGGUGAGAGGCUAUCCAUUCUAAUUCAUAAUCAUACAAGGGCAAUGAUGGAUGUGUGUACCUUAAGCGCCAUCUCUCUUUCUUAUGCAUUCGUAGCAGAAGCUUAUACUGUCUUUCGUGCUUUGCUUUUUGCCCUGGACAUGGGUUUUCAGAACAUAAAAUUAGAAGGAGAUAGUUUGACUAUUAUUUGAAAGUUAGAAAGUAAUGACUUUGGCCGUUCACUUAUCUGUGCUCCCAUUGUUGAUGGAAAGCGGCUCAUGUCCAGCUUCCAUUCUUGCACCUUUUUCCAUGUUGAUAGAGAAGCUAAUCAAGCAAAUAGUUGUUCCCAUACAUAACUAUCAAACUUUUGCUACAUUGCCACUUUGAUUUGCUUUUGGAAGCUUUCUUUUUAAUAAAUAAUCAUUUAUUCAUUAUAAUGAUAAAAAAUUGCCAUGAGUACAAGGCUGAUAAUUCCAAAUAAACCAUAGAUAUCAAUGCCAAAUGAAAGGGAAAAAAAGUACGACAUAUAUUUUAGACCAUUUGACACGACUAGCUAAUUAUAGUAACUGGCCUAUAUGAACUUAUGCAAUUGGGUACGAAGCUUUCAUGGCAAUACCGCAUAAGCCACCUUUCAUAUUCACAUUCCUUUGGAUCUUCAUAUACCCAUUUUCACCCCAGGUUUCACCCCAUGAAUUCUUAAUAAAAAAAUAGUUUAAACCUUCUUCACUUGUCCCAUAUCCAACAAUAGUGACUGCAUGGGUGAGAGAAUUUUCAUAAUCUCCUUUAAACACUCCACCAUUGUAAAAAUGAAAGUCUCAUCCAUGGCCUUCAAGUGCAACCGAUACCGGUUGAUUCUUGACGGCUUUAAGCAAUGCUUUUUUGUCGUUUUUAGGCACCAUUUGAUAGCCACUGAUGGUGGCAACUUUGUUUAUCUGUGUGUCACAAGUUUCUUGCAUUUGUUGAUAUGGGUAGCUUUCUUCAGAGGUUAUUCCUUGGUUUGGGCUAAUGUAAUCGAAAGCAUUCAUCAUCCAUCCUCCUUUGCAAUCUUGGUUUCCUCCAUUUGUGCUGCAAUCCAAUAGUUGUUGCUCAGAAAAUGAGAUUAAUUUACUAGUUUUGAUUUUGAUUAACCCUUCAACGGCUGCCAUUGCUGAAAAUGCCCAACAACAUCCUGGAAAGUAAACCAAGAAAUAACCCUUUUCUAGUAUUAGUGAAUAAAUAAAUAAAUGCUUGGUGAAACAAUAUAUAUCUAAUUAUUUUAAACUUUUAAAUGAUUUUGUGUGUCAAGUUAACUAAAAACCAAUUCAAUUAUGAAAUUAUUAAAAUAUUUAACAUCAAUUCACUCAAGAAUUUAAGGGUUUAUAUAUAUAUAUCAAGACUGAUCACAUCGACCCUGAAACUUGAUAGGAGUGACAGCAUUUUGGUCCCUCUAAUGAAAGUUUAUCGGAGCGUUUGAGUAGUUUUCAUACAUAAACGAUGUUGAUUCAGACAUUGUGAGAUUGUUUACAUCUUGUAUCCGGUGUGAGUUGCAAUGAAUUCAUCCUGUGUCAUGUCUGCAAAUUUAUUGAGGCCUAACUUAAAACUCCUAUUUCUGCCAUUGUUAAAGUUCUCAAUGUAUUCCAAGUUCUCCUUAAAUAUAUUAAUACAUUUCUCCUUAUAUGUUAAUUUCUAAGUUAACAGUAAGAGCAACUAAAAUAUUUAAUUUCAAAAAGUUGUGUGAUCAAGUAAAAAAAAAAUAGUUUAGUGACCAAAAUAGAAGGAACUAAAUAAUUGGGUGACUAUUCUUAUACUUUAUCCAAUUUGUUAUUAUGCCAAUAAAAAUGGCUAUGAGCACUCCAUUAGUGAUUUAACUAUGGAGUAACUAAAAUAUCAAAUUUUGGUAACCUUAGUGAAAAAUAGAAUAUUUUACACUUAGAUGAUCAAAAUAGAAACAUAUUAAUAGUUGAGUGGCUAGUUGUGUAGUUUCCGUUAAUUAUAUUUAGUAGGCUUUUUCCACUUAAUCUUAGCCGUCUUCUUUUUACCAUUCAUACUCCCCCAAAGAAAAUCCCUCCUUAUCUUGUUGAUCUUUUUAAUUACCGUCGCCAGAGCUUGAAAUAAUAACAUGAAAUAAAUUGGUAAAGAUGACAAACAACAUUGGUUAACACUAAUUUUGCUGCCCAUGAGAGCGUACGACGUUUCCACCCUCGAUAAUUUCUUUUUAAAUCUCUCUACAAUAGGGUCUCAAGUGGCUACUCUCCUCGGAUCUGCUCCCAAUGGAAUCCCCAAGUAAUUGAAAGGCAAAGACCCUAUGUUGCACUUACAUAUUGCUGCCAUCCGAUAUAAUAUUUCUUCAUUUACAUCGAACCCCACUAGGCAAGAUUCUUUGAAAUUGAUACUAAGACCCGAAAAGAUCUCAAAACAUAGUAUAAUAUACUUCGCUUUGCUCACCUCCUUUCCAUCUACUCUUAAGAAUAGUAUAGUGUCGUCCGUGAAUUGUAAAUGAGCAAAAUUCUGUCCAAGAAUAACAUCUUGAAAGCCUUCAAUUAGCCCCAACUCCACAGCUUUAUCCAUUGCCAAAUGAAGCAUUUUCGUCACAAAUAAAUAAGAAUGGGGAUAGCAGAUCUCCUUGACGAAGACCACUGCAAAAUCUAAAUUUGUUUGUGGUUGACCCGUUGAUAAUUACUGUUGUCAUAAUGUUGCCUACAUAAGAGUACGGUGGCCUAGUAAGCAAAGCUAGACACGAAGGACCUAAAUUAAAAUAGAGUCGCCACUAACCAAUUAGGGCAAGGUUGGUAAGUCACCUAUCGUCUAAAAAUCUAGAAUUAAUACUUUAGAAAAAAUCCUAAAAGUCUAGACUCGAUCUCAUCACCAAAUUUUGGGUUCGAGAGUACGGUUACGUAUGGGGAAAGCUAUAGCAUCCCCACAACGCCUAUCCGGGGAUAAUCCUACGGGGUCAUAAAACCUAGAAUUUUUUUUUACUUAAGCUUAUUAAUGUCUUAAUCUCGGCUAAAAUCUUAUGGAAAUUUUAAAUAAAAACUCUAAAGAAAAUGCCUCCGGUUUACUUGUAACUGGAUUAAGAUGUGUUCACCAAACUUAUCUAAUUUGAAACUUAAAUGAGAGAUUUUUAAUUUUAACGGGAACCCUAAAGGAUACCUAAAUAAUUUUAGUAAAAUACCUUUAAUUUCUAAAAUUAAUUCUAUGUUAGAAUUCUAAAAAAACAACCUAGAAAUUAUCAAUAAAAUAAGAGAAAUAUUAAAAUUUGUCUACAACUUAUUUGGUCUUUUAUUAUUAUUUAAAAGAUUUAAUUAAUAACAUUGAACCUAUCAAGAUCUUACGAAAGUAUCCUAUGCCGGGUUUAUGAUCUAUCUUACUUUAAAUUCUUGAUCUAAGAUUUAAGUUCAUCAAAAUCCUAAAAUAAUAUAUCUUAAAUAACAUUUAUUAGCUUACUUAAAAAGUUUCUAAAAUAAAAUACUUAGAAAGACCUACUCCUGAUUUAUAAUUCACCUACAAAAAUCUUUAAUUUUAAUCUUGAAUAAAGUCCUAAAGAAUAUUUACAUAUUAAUUUAAGAUUCUAAAGAGGAAUCCUAUACGAUAUUUAAAACUAGUUUAAAACCCUAAAAAAAAUUCUACAUAUGAUUUAUAAUUUUUCUAGGGUAAAUGGUGGAUAAGAUCUUAAGGACUAACCUAAAUCCAAAUGUAAAAACCUUAUGGUUUCAUUAAAAUGUAACACCUAUUUAACUAACUUCAUGUCAACAAUUAUAGGAUGGAAAAAUGACCUAAAGUUUCCUCUUUUAAAAUGAAUAGUAAUAAAAUAGGAAAAUCAAUUAAAUUGGCUAAAGUUAAUGAAAAGUUAAAACUCUUUCAAAAUGACAAUAAUGAAAAGAAAGAUUAAAUAAAUGAAAUAAAUAAGACCUUAACAUGAUGAUAGUAAUAAUAACAAUAAUGCACCUUAUUCAUAAUACAAUAAAAGAAUCAAGGUAACAUAAACAAAUAAUAUUAAAAUGUAUGUAAGGGGAAUGUGUAAAAAAGUAAAUAUAAAUUAGACAUGAAAAUAAAUAAAAACGAAAUAAGAAUAAAUAAAAAUUAUACAAGGGUGAAUAAAUAUAAAACAUUAAAAUAAAGUGCAUAAUUGUCAUUAAAUAUAUAAGGUAUAAAUGCAACUGAAAGGGAAGAUAUAAGUGUAAAUAAUAUAUUAAAGAUGGAAACAAAAUGACAUAGCUUGAUUUUGAGACUAAAAGAUAAAAAAUGUGGAAGACAAAGGACUGAUGUAGCAACUAAUUUGCUUCUAAUUUUUAAAUUUCAGAUUAAAUUGAAUGUUUGAAAAAUAAAAGGGUUACGGGUGUAAAUAUGCCAAAGAGUGAGGGAGGUGCUGCAAAAAAUAGAGUAUUUUUGUAAACUUAAAAAGUAAGGGGUGACAAUAAAUUACCCAUUUUUGGCACCUAUAAAUGAAAAAAAAAACUAUUCAUUCUUUCAUUUUAACCUCAUUUUUUUCAAAAAAAAAAAAAUCUUCCUCUUUCUCUUCCUCCGUAUAUGUUGGCCAUGGCUCUACCACCGGAGAGCCCAACGGCUCUCCGGCCUCUGGUGGUGGAGUUGCCGCUUACGGUGGUCGGGAUUUUUUUUCAAAAAUAAAGUUUUCUUUUAAAAAAUCACCACUUUUCUUAAAACUCGAAACUUUGUUUCAAAAUAGUUGAAGAAAAUCAAAACUUUGUUUUAAAAAAUUUAAACUUUUCCUUUAAAAUGACUAAAACAUAGAUUUUUAUUUAAAAAAUUUAAACUUUCUCUUUUUUUUUAAAAAAAACCACUAUUUUUCUUAAAGUUCAAAGCUUUUAUUUUGAAAUAGUUGAAAAAAAUAUUUUUUUUAAAAAGUUUAAACUUUCCUUUUAAAAGGACUAAAAAAACAUAUUUUUAUUUUUUAAAAUCUAAACUUUCUUUUAAAAAAAAUUCAAAACAUUUCUCAAGAUCCAACCUUUUUUUAAAAGAAACCUUUAUUUUAAAAAUGGGAGGGAAAAAACGAGAUUUUUAGGGGCUCCUAGGGGCGGAGGACCAAUGGUCCGGUGACGUCCCCUUCAUCGGAACCCAAAACCCGAUCCCUCAUAACAUAUCUAUGGCCAAAAAGGAAGAUAGAAGAAAAAAAAAAGAAAUAGAAUGCUUGUUGUUGUUGUUUUUACCUUUUUUUUAGAACAAAAAUAUGAAAAGCCUUCCCCUUUUUUCAUUUCAUUUCAUAUUUAUAUAUUAUUUUUUAAUCUUGCUUAUUUGUUAAAAAUGAUGAUAAUAAUAAUAUUUAUUAAUAAUAAUAGUAGUAGUGAUGAUAAUAAUAGUUUGGGCCCUUGACAGGCCCAAAAAGGAAAGAAAAAAAAACAGUCUCAAAUUGACCAAAUUUAAGUGGGCUUCGAACGCCCAAGAGAGAACAAAAAUUUAAAUAGGCCUCUAAUUGGACUCGGACAAAAUGGGUGUCUACACCUAUUGCUCUCACUGUAGAUACGCACUCCAUUAUCCAUCCUAUUCAUUUUCACCAAAUCCCAUCUUGAAUAAAACCAACUACAAAAAAUCCCACCGAACACAAUCAUAUGCUUUAGAAAAAUCCAAUUUCAAGAUCAAAUUGCCCCCUUCCAUCUUUCUUCUUAAUCGAGUGGAUUAUUUCCUUUGCUAUUAAAAUUCCAUCAAAUAUUUGUCUUCCUUUGAUGAAAGCACAUUGAGUAUCGCUCACCACCUCUCUGACGACCUCCCUUAUCCUUUGAGACAAUACCUUUGCCACUAUCUUAUACAAAGAGCUCACUAAACAAAUUGGCCUAAAAUAAGAUAUUUCGAUUGAAUUGUUAGUCUUGGGUAUGAGUGUGACAAAUGAUGAAUUAAUAGUCCUCUCAAGCUUUUUGGAUAUAAAAACAUCUAUCAUCAAUAAAGAUCUUCCUUGUAACACCUCAAACCCAGCCUAGAUGUUAUGGUCGUAUCUGGCAAUGUCACACGAUAGUGUUUUUGAAACUUCGUUGUUACGAUGAAAACAUUCCAUGUUAUUAUCUUUAGUAAACCUUUGUUAGAACUUAGGAAGUCGUCUUUAUUCAUUUAAAACAUUUGUUUUGAAACAACCCUCGUUGCGGAAGCUUUAAUAAAAUAGUCUAAGUGAUCAUGCAUUUAGAAAAUACUUUAACUUUUUGAAAUUCGAAUUUCCUGCGACCAACAAGUAUAAAUCCAUAAAGUAAAAUAAAUAAAUAAAAACCCAAAAUUUAAAACCAAAGUCCCAGAGGGUCCUUAAAUUACAACCCAAAUAAUCAAUAAUAAUCAAAUCAUAAAUCGUAAUUGAAAACAAUGAAGUCCAAAAAUUACUGUGGUCACCGCUGAGUCCUCCGGCGCACCGAUCUGUCUAAGUCUGGAAAUUACCUAUGCACAUUAAACAAAAAGGGUGAGUUUACAUAAACUCAGUGUGUAAUCCCGCAGAAACAAAUAAACAAUCAGUAUUCACAAUGCACAGUUGAACCGUCUUGGGCCUAAGCGCUUUUCAGUAUCAAUGACAGUUUGGGCCUUAGCCCAUCUCAAUACAAUGUCAAAAAUGCAGUAGGGCCUUAGCCCAUCACAGUAGCAGCAGUAGUAACAGUUAUACAAUAGCAAAAUCCUACCCAACCAGCCUCUACACAUCAUCUCCGUCCAACCCUACACUCCAUGUGAGGAUAUAAUCAACCCACCUAUCCCUACACUCCAAGUAGUACCGAAUGCGGCACAAAACAGUAGUUUGCAAUUGAGCUGCUAGUAAAUUAGGCUUAAAGCCUUUCAGUACACUUCCUCCAAAUAACAACCCCCAACCCAAUACAAUGUAACAUACCAUGGAUGAUAUGCUAUUAUGCAACUUCAGUACAAAUAUCAUUCAGUCAAUUUUACACAUUUAGGGGACUAAGUAGCACUUAUUGACCUUACAGUAGGUUCACAGUCGACUUGGGCGACCUGUGCAACCUUAGAAACAUUUUGGUAAAAAUGAGCCCACAUGCUCGUGUGGGCCCGCGUGGCCCACUCGGCCCAAAUUGGCCUUGGCUGUGUGAUCCAUUUUUAAUGUAACCCAUGCUAGUUAAAUAUUCAUAUAUGUUUCCACUAUUUACUAAUAUGAUCAUUUAGAGCUGUCUACUUGAGUCAUUGUAACUAAAUUAUCUAUAAUUUGUGCUACAGAAUUCCAAAUUAAGAUCCGCUUGAUGUUUUCAAAACUAGACUCAAAUACCUUUUUACCAUAAAAUUUUUGGAAUUUAUAUCUUAUCAAAUAAGUACAGUAAAAUCUUCAAAGUUAUCCCUAUUUUGCUGUUUGACAACUUUAACCUUUCCUUACUAAAAAUUAUUUGUCUCUUAGUACGAAAUUUCGAUGAUGUUUUUGUUUAUUUCUCUUGAAAGUAGACUCAUUAAGGAUUUAAACAUAUAUAUAAGCCCCUAAUUAUUUUUUUUCCAAAUAUUGAUGAUUUUCCAAAGUCGAAACAGGGGAACCUGAAACCAUUUUGACCUUGUCUCACAAAAUUCAUUAUAUCUCAUAACUUAAAAUUUAUUGCUUACACUAUUUCUUCCAUGAAAAACUAGACUCAAUAAAAUUUAAUUUCAUAUUUUAUUCAACCUCUAACUCAAUUUCCACUAUUUUUGAUGAUUUUUCAAAAUUAGGCUACUGCUGCUGCCCAAAACUAUUUAGUGCAGUAUGUUGAUUUGCAAGUUUAUAACACCCUUAUUUCUUUUCUCUACAAUUUUUCGUAUCAUUUUUUCUUAUUUCUCUUAUUUCUAGACAACAAGCAAUUUUGGCUUUUCGCUGAAGCCCAGUUUUUGCAUUUUGGGUACACACCUGGUAUCGAUUCGCUGUGCAAAGUAACUCGAGCCUUCAGAAACCUAUAUUUGACCAAUAUAUCCCUUAAUUAAUCACUUGAUUCAUCAAUCAACCAAAUAUCCUCAACAUAAAGCCUGCGAAACUAAACCAACGGCGAUUCAAAAACUUACCGCGACGAAUCCGAUAACCAGUAGUCUCCACACACUGGAAUAUCCGCUUAAAACCUUUGAACAACACGUAAACGGGUGUAAAAUGAACACUUUGUUAAUUGCCUAAUCGAAAUACGAUAACUAAGGGGAAAAAUUCCACUUACCAAAACAGAUGAAGUCUAAAGUUGCACCCAAAGAGAUGACUCGCAAAAAAAAAAAUACAGAAACGAAAAGAUAGAGGAAAGAGAAGAAACAAGAUUUGGCCAAAGGGGAACAAAAACCAAAAGUGAACAAGAAGGGAGAAAACACGGCAGAGAAACAAAAGUCUAACGUCAGAAAAUUUGUUGGGAAAAGAAAAAAAUAGAAAAUAGAAAAUUGAUAAGGAGAAAAUCUUAUUUUAAUAACUUCUCCCCAAUUAUCUCCUAAAAACACUCCCUAUUAACCCACUAAAACACAACUACUCAGCAGUCCAGUUUAAUUUGAACUCCACCAUGCCACACACCUCAAACACUACCACUCCGCUUAACCACCAGACCAGCAGCCCCAUUCUGAUAAAUUUUUACCAACAAUCAAAUAAAAGCCUACUAAAUAAGAGUAAGGCCUAAUUCAUUCAAAAUACCAAAAUUUUCCCAAGCAAAGGCUUGAACUUGGGACCUCCCAAACAGUUCCAGAACUCAUAACCACUAAAGCUAAUAGAUAUUUGUGUCAUAUUUUCACAAUAACGAAAUUAGAAAUUUUGGUACAUUACACUCCUUUACUAUCUCCCAACUUUUUCUAAAAAGCACAGGAUAAAACCGUCCGGUCUAGGUGCUUUCGAUUAAUCACAACUCCAUACUGCCUCUUUAAUCUCAUCCAUCAAAAAUGGUGGCUCCAGUUUCAAAGCCUUCUCCUCAUUUAACUUUCUAAAAUUCAGUUCCAAGUCCAUUCUCCACUUCCUCACUGGGCAAUUAAAAUAAUUUUUGAAAAAAUUGUACUGUCUCUCUUUCAUCUCCUUAGGUUCACUACACCAAUGACUCCCUAUUUUCAAUCUAUCUACCAUAUUCCUUUUAGCUUUGAUCUUCACUGCUCUAUGAAAAAGUUGAAUUAGUAUCCCCUUAUUUUAACCAUGUAAUCCUUGAUUUUUGAUGCCAAACUGAUUCUUUAAAUUUAAUUGCUUCCCAAAGUUCAGUAUUCAACUUUUUUAAUUCCUUCAUCUCUAACUUAAUUAGUUCUUUGUGUUCACUAACUUCAUCGAUCUCCUUAAUCCUAUAUUCACUUUCUGUAAUUCUUUUUUCCAAUGCAUUGUCGGCAUCCAAAGGAGAUGGGAGGAGCGGGAGUGGUGAAUAUUAAAUAAAAAAUAGAGCAUUAUUGGCUAAAUGGAGCUAGAGAUUUACGAUCGAGAAAAAUGUGUUGUGGCAAAAAGUUAUCCUAGCGAAGUAUGGUUUGAGCUUGCAACAGUGGUGAUUUAGGACGACUUGUACAAAAGAUAUGUCGAUUGUUUAGAGAGGUAUUGUAGAGAAUUCUAAAGAUGCCAAUAUGUCUAAAAGGGUAGGGAAUGAAGCUUUUUGUUGGCGGGUUGGGAAUGGAAGGAUGACGAUGUUUUGGGUAGACAUAUGGUGCAGUAAUUGUCUACUAAAAUUGGAAUUUCUAAGGUUGUUUCACUUAGCAAGACAAAAAGGAGGUACAGUAGCAGAUUACUCGAGAAAUAAUAGAUUUAACAAAGUAAAGUGGAGCAAACUCUUUACAAGAUCCUUAUUGGAAAGAGAGGAAAAGAUGCUUCGUAGAUUGGAGGAUAAAGUGAGUAGCACGGAGUUAGUUCCUGGGUGGAGGAUCGACUUUGUUGGGUACACAAUAGUAAUGGAUUUAUCAUAAGGAAGUGUGCUACAUUAUUGAUAAUAGAUUGAGGGGGUGAUAUAAAUUUUGCUUUUGACAAAAUAUGGAAAUUAAAGGUACCACCGAAAGUGGGAAGCUUUCUUUGGAUGCUCGCUAUUAAUAGAAUUCCUACAAAGGAAUUUCUUGUCAAAAGAGGGGUGAAACUUCAAAACAUCUCGGUCGGUUGCCCAUGGUUUGAAAGGGUUCCGGAGAGAGCAGAUCAUUUGUUCUUCAAAUGCAAAUUUAUUGAAGGAUUUUGAUAUAAAAUUUUCAAUUGGUGGAAGGCUGAAUGGGAACCGAUAGAAGGAUUUGAUGAAUUAUACUCAUUGUGUUAUAAUAUGAAAUUGGCUAGAAUCUGGAAAAGCUUAUGGUUGAUAUCAAUUUCGGCAGCCUGUUGGACAGUAUGGUUGGCAAGAAAUGGACUUGUCUUUGAAAGAAAGAUGAUGACCAUGGAAACUUUGAUUUUUCAAUCAAAGAUGAGGGCAUUGCUGUGGAUAAGGUCUGUCUAUGAUGAUUUAUUGAUGUAGGAGAGCUCUUGGUGGAUUUGUUCGAACAGGUGCAAGAUAGACACAAUUAAAUCCAUAUCAUCCUCAUCAAUACGGAGCCCUCCUCUACAAGGAUGUUUAAAGUUCAAUGUACGUGGGAUAGCAAAUGAGGAUAGUGUAGGUUGUGGAGGUGUUUUGAGAGAUAUGGACGGUGUUGCAAGAGCUCUAUUUUCAGGUCCUAUUGUAGCAAUUGAUGCUGAUUUGACAUAGGCAGGAGAAGUGCUUUUAGCAUUGGAAGUAUUUAUAUCUCUGGAAUGGAAGAUAAAUGACUCACUGUUUGUAGAAAUUGGUUCUAAAGUGGUGUUCAACUGGUGUGCAAACAAGUCGAUGAGACCAUUGUCACCACAAUCAACAUUUGCAGAUAUUGAGAGGAAAAUUGAUAAGGUAGGUAGUGUUGUAUUUUUUAUGGCAGAAAAGAAAGGAAAUGAAAUAGCCUCAAACUUGGCGAUAGCAGGUAUAAAUCGUGGAGACAUGUUUAAAGCUAGGUGGUGAGCAUUAGAUUUGAUGUCAAACGUCAUUUUUCUAUUGUUGAAAAUGUUACAUUAUGGGACGUUGUAAAUUUGAACUUUUGAAUGUUGUUCUUGUUGUAUUUACAACAGGUCAAUUCGAAUGAAGAGAAACAAAUAUUUAGUAGGCUUUUUAUUAGUCAAUUUGGAUUUUGCUAAUAGAAAACUAAAAUAUUCAUUAAAAAAAUGGUUGGUUGGAAUUUAAUUUAGAUAUUUCUUAAGUUAGGCAAUUAAAAAUUUGACUUGAUUGGCAUUUUAUGUAGAUAUUUCAUAAGUUUCUAAAGUCAAUUUUUAAAAAUUCGCUUACUUCGCAUUUUAUGAUGAUAGUUUAUUCAAAUAUUUUUAAUGAAUAUGAAAUGUGAGUUUUGCUAUUAAAUUUUGGAUUGUGUUAAUAGAAAUUUAAAAAAAAUACGAAAAUUAAAAAUGAUGAAAUUAAAGAGUUUUAAUAGCGAUUUCUCUCUAUGUUGAGAUUCUAGCUCCAAAUGUUGGCAAAUAUUGGAUUGAAAUAAUAUGUGAGAGAUUUGUACGAGUUGUGGAUAUAUUCAUAGUAAAAAAAACUGAAGGUGAUACGAUUUUUGUAAAUGAAUGUGAGUUUCAUAUAAAAAUACGUUAAUAAUUGAGUGAUUAAUUAUCUAAUUUAUCUUAAUUAUUGUUGACAAACAUGAGGAAUGAAUUAUUUUUAUUUAAGAAAUUAUACUCAUCAAAUUCAAAUCACCAUUUAGUUUAAAAUUUUAAAAUAUUUUUUUAAUAAAAGAAAAGGAAUUAUCAAAUAGUUGUUUCUAUACAUAACUAUCAAAAUUUUUGGAAGCUUUUUUUUUAAUAAAUAAUCAUUUAUUCAUUAUAUAGAUAAAAGGUUGGCAAGAGUGCAGGACUCAUAGUUCCAAACAAACCACAAACAUCAACACCAAAUGAAAGGAAGAAAAACACGAGUACAACAUAUAUCUUAGACCAUUUGACACGGCUAACUAAUUGCAGUAAUAUGAACUUAUGCAAUUGGAUACGAAGCUUUCAUGGCGAUACCACAUAAGCCACCUUGCGUUUCCACAUUCCUUUGAAUCCUCAUAUACCCAUUUUCACCCCAAGUUUCUCCCCAUGAAUUCUUAAUCAGCCAAUAGUUUAAACCUUCUUCACUUGUCCCAUAUCCAACAAUGGUGGCAGCAUGGGUGAGAGAAUUUCCACAAUCUCCAGUAAACACUCCACCACUGUAUAACCGAAAGUCUCGUCCAGUGCCUUCAAGUGCAACCGAGACCGGUUGAUUCGCGGCGGCCUUAAGCAAUGCUUCUUCGUCGUUUUUAGGCACCAUUUGAUAGCCACUGAUGGUGGCAACUUCGUUUAUCUGUGUGUCGCAAGUUUCUUGCAUUUCUUUAUAUGGGUAGCUUUCUUCAGAGGUUAUUCCUUGGUUUUGGCUAAUGUAAUCGAAAGCAUUCAUCAUCCAUCCUCCUUCGCAACCUUGGUUUCCUCCAUUUCUGCUGCAAUCCAACAGUUGUUGCUCAGAUAAUGGGAUUAAUUUACC